AAAAAAAAAAAAAAAACAAAUAGAAUCAAUAUAAGCUUUCUCACUACAUCCAACUUUGAAACUAUAAAUUUACAGAAGCAUUUAAUCCCUCACCUGUACAAGUUCUGGUACGGUAUUUGGUGCUACCAUACUCAACACAAACGUAGGGAUCUUGUUUUGAGAGCCAUUCUGUGUCUUUCAAUCCCUUGCAUGCGAUGACUACAUAUAAACAAGUAUACAUUUAAAAAUAAUCAAAUGGGUAAAUUUAUUUAUGCAUCACAAUUAUUAUAAAAGAGAAGAAACAUUGAUCCCUUUUUUUUUUUUCAGUAAUAUAUCAUACCAGUGACCUCAAGAGGCUGCCCUUGAACAUUAGCUGCCUCCAUUGGAGGAUGAAAUGGAUAACGAUAGUGAUGCAUUAAAGUUAUGAUUUAUAUAGGAAAAUAAAAUUUUAUAAUCUUAAAAUAGGAAAUGACAUGAGCCAUUAGAAUCGGAUGAUUCUAAUUUAAGAAUUGCGUGUUUGGUUCUUACAAGGUAGACAACAAUCUUCCUUAUAUUUAUAUUAGUCAAACUGUUUUCUCCGGAUUUUGAUCAUUUCAUAUAUGUGUAUGUACGCAUUUCUUCUGUUGCUCGUCGUUGUCUUUGAUAAGACAGAAAUCCUCUCUGAAAAAAAAAAAUAACGGUUAUUUCCACCCUCCCCUAAAUGUUUUGAUAAUUUUCAACGAGCACCCAAAUGUUUCGAUAAUCCACCAUUUUCGUUAAUUUGACAGUUAUUUUUAAUGGAGCUGUUUGACAUUUAGUUAAAUGUUAGAAAUGCCCCCUAUCUCGAAUUGAAAAAGAAUUAAAUGGCAUAAAAUACUAAUCCAAUAAUUGAUAUUUGCACAAUAAUCCCGUCAAUUAACUUAUCAAAUAAAUUUAAUUUAUCAUCAUCAAAUAAUUUUAGCGUAUGAACUUCUGAAUUUGUCAUUUGACUGUUGGAAUAAAUGAUCAAAUAAACGAAUUUAGGUGCAUGGUAUAACGAGUCAAAACAUUAAGGAGCACGGUGGAAAAUAUCCAAAUAUUUUAAGGUAGGACAGAAUUAACCUAAAAAAUAAAUAUAUUAUUAAGAUAUUUAUAUUUAGAUGCAUUCAAAUUUUAAAUAAAAAACAACGGAUAUGUACACAAGAAAAUCCCAUGUACACAAGAACUGCAUGCGCACAUAUGGCGCCUGUUACCUAGUUGUCAGUACACUGACGUGAUGUAUACCUCAAGCCCUCAAUGCACGAAAGAUUUUAUCGAGUUCGAUGACUUUCUGAUAUCACAUCAAGUGGUUAGCAAACCAAUAAUACGCUGUCGUAUAAUUUUACACAGCCCCUGAAUUGUUUGAAUAGCAACACUUAGAGGUGUAAAGAAACUAGUUUUUGGGUGGUUGUAUGUUACAGAUUCUGUAACAUAGAAAGGUCCAAGAUUAUAUAGUGGUUACAUUGCAAAGGUGUAGCUGAAACACAUAAUGUAAACAUGUAUGGAAGGUCUCGUUUCAUUACAAAUAACAGAACAAAUUUAUAAAUUCCAACCACAUUUGAGUAAAACAAUUAUUUCAAUUAUUUUUCGCCCUCCAGCCAACUUUUGAUUUACAGAAACAAUAAGCUAGAAACAAGACUUGAUGAUACAAAUUAACGAAUAGAUUGAGCUUCAUAAUCGUCCCACCGUGCUCUUAUACUUUGUAAGGCAAUUUAUGUACAGGUUCUCUAAAUCAAAGCAACCGACUGUUCUGCUUGAGGUCAGUCACUUUCGUAGUCAUCUUCAUCUCCGAACGAGAACACAGAUGCAUCAGCAGCCAUUGCCUUGAAUUCACUUUCCCUGUUGCUAGCGUCGAGGCCGGAGGUAGCUCCCACAACAGCACCCCCCUUUGUCUCACCAGCAGCAUGUGUAGUUUGGGAGACUGCGUUUCCCAAAGAAACAUCUUUGGUCGCACGCGCUAAAUUUGCAACUUGAUCCGACUCGGUCUUUGUUUCUGAUCUGGGAGCGGCGGAGACAGUUCCUCCAGCCGCAGAGGCUGCUGGAGCUUUCUUCCUUUUUGAUCCAGCUUCCUCGGACUCAUUGUCUGAGAACACAUCAUCUUUAUCGUUAUUUCCCGAGCCCUUACUUUCUUUUGAAGCAUCUAGACCCUGGCCAACUGAGGCUGGAGCAGAACCUGACGUUUCAUCUGGCUUCUUGGCAACAGUUUCAGAGUUGGCUGCAGCUCGAACAGGGCCAUUAUAAUCUGCCAAUACGACUUCCACCUGGAAUCCUGGUGAAGGCAGUUUCCUCUGCACACAAACCAUGUCACAUGGGUUAGAGGAAUAAGGAAGUUACAUGCAUGUGAAAAGAAUCGAGAUGGCACAACAAUCAGUUUUGAUAUUAUUGCAAGCCAUGACAUGUUUCACAUGUACCUUAUCAAAUCCAUCAAGAUCGCCAGUGUUUAGAACUUUUCUGUUCUCCAUCAUGGUUGUGUUUAACCAGCUGGAAAAGCAGAAGAAAACAAAAAAACUGACAUUUUAACUUUACUUCAUAAAAGUUUAACAAAUGAUUAGUUCAAUCAUGGGUGAGGGUACAGUACAAACCAGUAGAAAUCUCCUUGACGGUCAUGAAAAUGGAUUUUGAAGUCCCCAGCCAACUCUGCCAAACCUGGCUCUCCAGGCAGGGCAAAGACCAUAACUCCUUUCUUAGGCGCACUAAACCAAAAGUCUUCUGGCUGUGGCAUAUUAGCAAAAAUACUCAAAUAGCCAAUCAAAAUGUCUAACUAGUUUUCAUCAAAAGCUACGACAACCUACCGACAAAUCCUUGGUUCUAGGAUGCUUCUUUGAGGAGAAGAGUACACCUGCACAUUAAAAGAGCAUUAAAGAAAACCUUUCAGAUUUACCACUUCAGUCCAAUACCGGACAAUACCUGAUAAUAUGGCAAAUAUGUACAUAAAUCUGGCUUGAAAAUAGAAGUCCACCGAGAUCAUAAUCGGACACUAAAUAGUUACAGGCCAACACCAAUAAUAGAAUCCCCCUAGGUUUCCUCUUUUGCAAGUGUUAAAUUUCACUUGGAAUAGGACCAAUACUUCAACUAGUUGAGAUUGCAGAAAUAUAAAUAGGACCAUAUCUCAGAAGUUUAUUAGACUAUUAGCUAUGAAGAUUCAUGAAUGGCAUCCAACCCCUAAAGUGGUCUCAUCAUUGUCAGUUGACCACAAAAGUAGUAUGUUAAAGGAAAAUUGGUAAAACCAUGCAAAUGCUAUCAACUUUGGCGGAAAAAAAAAUUGACAGGAAUGAUUGACGAUUUUGUAGUUAUGACAAGCCUAACAAGAAGCUGUUUAGGGAAAUAACAGACUGGUAAUUACACGGACCGAUAAGGGAUAUCAAAGAUUAAGCAAUUGCAGGAAAAUUAAUUAGGCGCAGCAAGAAUGCAGUAACACACCAUUAUGAUCAGAGACUGUUAUGUGGGGCCUAAUCCAGUAAGGACACCUAUGAAGCCGGAAACCCCUUAGCAUGCACCUGCACACAACAGGUGUUGACAGUUGUCAGCACAAAGCUAUAGUUAAAUUUUUUUGUUGAAGCAAAAUCCAUAUGAGAAGUAUACCGACGCCCGGGCUGAUUCUCUCCAUUGAAGUAUGUUAAGAUCCUUUCAAAGUAUUUGACAUACCUCUGGAACACCAAUAAAAAGAUAAGCACAUGAAUAAGUAACUCUCUCAAAAAAUUCGCACCUGUUAAACAUAGACUCACAAUUUGACUUGGCAGGACAAGGCCUUUCCCAUCCACACAUCUUUUCUGGUUGUAGUAGUCAAUAGAUUCCUCAGCAGUGGGGAAGAACUGCAAAGAAACAGCAAAAUUUUCUAUAAAGUUUAAAAACAAAGCAGUGAUGGCAUAUGAAAACUUCAAGGAACUUGUUGAAGCAUCUUUCAGUUACAUGCUACAAGUGUCUAACCUUCAAGUACAGUAGAAGGCUAGAAAUCAUUAACCCUGUCCUUGCCAUUCCAGCCUUACAGUGCACAACAACAACAUUCUCAAUAUCUUCCUUCAACCACGAAUAUGCACUAUGACAAAAUGAUGUUAUUAGUUGAAUUGGGGGGCAGUUGUGAUCAUCAAAAGGGAAACUAGCCACCUGAAACAAGCAAUCAAUAAAUUAGGUAUCAAAAACUGCCAAUGAACUUCUCAACAAUGAAAUCCAAAAUAUGAACAGCCUGAACAAGUCUCAACUGCGUCAAUACCAAAUUGAAACAGGAUAAUCAUAAAAUUGAAAUUCUAAUAAUUUAAUAUGUUUUUUACUCUCUGAAGUAAUUUACUACAAAUCCCUCUUCAGCCGUCAUCAGGCAAUAAGUUGAAUAUUGACAGUCAUACUUCUUGAUUGUCAUUUAAAAUACAAAGUACUUAACAUAUAGGAGGACCUACUAGAAAAUAGAAAACACAACCAUUUUCCAAAGCUGAACAACACCCAGGCCACAUGUGAGGGCAGCCUACCACAGUUCAGAUUUUUGUUACUGAUGAUGCAAGAAACAGACCUAGUUUAUUCUAUUUAUUUUAUUCCAGUAACACACCUUUCCCUCAAAUAACGAUGCAUCAUAAAGCCUCUCUGAACAAAGAUUGUACACUUUGUACUUGUCCUGCACAUAAAAAGUAGUAGAAAAUAAGGCAUAGAAUCCCAUAUGUAGCAAUAAGAGAAAAAUAAAUACAGCAGGUCAAUAAAAAUGUAGAAUGCAAACAAGUAGUGGCAGAAUCUCCAUAUAUUUUAUUAAAACUCAAAGAAAUGUCCUAAAAAAAAAAAAUCACCUUGUGAUAGGUUUCAAAGAAUUUAAUCACUUCUUCCAUGUGGUUUCGGUAGAAUCCCUGCAUUACAUGUCUAAAUCCUAUCACUGAAAUUUAAGUGAAAAACUCAACUGCAAAUGAAGGUUAACUUUCUUACCUCAACAUAUCCGAAAAACCCUGAGCUCAUGUCACCAGCAGGGAAUCCCAUUGCAAUUAUAUUCUCAGUGAUAUAUGUCAUAUCCAAAUCAAAUCCUCCAUCCUGAAGAAAAUGCAUAUGGUAACAAAAAGAUCAUUUCAAAAUGAUUGGGAUAUCCGCAUAUGAAUGAAGAUGUAUCUUUAUAGUCAUGGUGGUUAUAUUUUAGGCACAAAGAAAAAUGGUGUUGUUCGCAGAAAUGCACCACUGUGUCUAAGUCACACAACAUUAAUUUUUUAUGGCCUAAAUCAUACACCACGGAAAGUGUAGGACAACAUAAAAGCUAAAAAUAUAUAUUUAAAUCACACCAAAAAAAAAAGGGACAGAAAGCAAAAGCAUUGUGCUUCAUGAUACUGUUAUUUGAAUGGAGUAAGAAAAAAAAUUGAAUAAAAUCACAACAUCAAGAACCACACCUGGUAUCUUCGUUUAUUUUGAGAGACAACAUGGCGAGCCUUGACCUGUACAGCCUUCACUGCACUCUUAGACGAGUCAACCAACCCCUUUGUAAUUGAUCCAAUAAAACCAGGUUGUGCAGCUGUUGAAGUCCCCUCAGAACUAUCAUCUGACUGAGGAGAUUUUGGAGAUGAGCGCAGUCCUAAGCCACUAGUAAGACGUGCAAAAGUUGAUUUUCCAGAAUUUCCAGUUGGUGAAUCCUCUUGUGAGCCAGAAAAUGGCUGAGGAAUUUUCAAAUUUUUGGCCCAUGAUGAUAUCCCAGUAGCAGAAAUCUUUGAUCGUGCAUCACUUGCAGAAUUAUCUGUAGCAGAUUCUGUAGUAGGAGAAGGUUUUACUUCAGAAGCCUUCGUAAGAGGCGAAGCUGAUGAAUCAGCAGAUCCAGAAUCCAUUCCGGCUCCUUAGAGGUCUCAAUGGUGAUUGAUGAUAAAAUUCACGAACACUGCACAUAAGAUGUACUGUAAUGUCUCACAAUAGUAACUGUAAGCAUAUAAAAACAAAAAAAUUAAAAAAAAAAAAAGGAAAGAUAAGAGCAAUCAUCUUACAUCUGAAGCACUACAAAUAAGGAAUUUGCUACCAUGAACACAAAUCCAUUGAUAAUAAAAAUAAAAUUUUAUAUGUGCCUAAUAGUUAGGAGCUGUUAUUGGAUGAGAAUAAAAUAUGCAACAGGCUGCAAAAGAACCAUGUGAUUGGUUCAUUUCCCAUUUCUACUUUAGUAAUCUUUUUUCCUUCCUUAUUUCUUCUAAUCUAUACAAUAUAAAAUAAGAAAUAAGGGAGACAGCAAAAAUAACGCAUGUCCAACGCAAAGAGGAAAAAUGAAAAGGAAGCUAAAGAUUGCAAAUUUUGUAUUUCUGAAACAUUCAAGCUUUGAAUCACCCAAACACCAGCAAUGCAGUAACUGACUUAAUGAAGUUUCUACCAUCUCAAAUCAAGCGAUACUGACCUCAAACCCAACAACAACUAUCACUAUUACCUUAGAAUUAAAAUUGACUUCAAAAGCGAAACUUAAUCAAAUUUUAUAAUUAUUUCACCGUACAUUAUAACAACAGCUAAUGCAAAAAGCAAGUUUUAAUUCAAGCAAACUCAUUGUAUAAACCUAACCACAUAACAAUUCUGCAAAUAAUGGGUCAUCAAAAGUCACUACAAUUCAUUUACGCCACCCAUGAUUCACGAAGCUUGAAAAUCAUACCUUUAGCUGAAACAACGACACAAUGCACUCUAAAUUAACAAAAUUCGCAUCUUAAAUAGAAAAAACAACCAUCACCAUCACCGUUACCUUAGUUUCGCUUUGGACACCCAUUUAAUAUUCAAUAACAAUUCAAAUUUAAAGAUUCUUGCUUUCACAGUGAUUGUUGCAAAAGAAAUAAUAAUAAUAAUAAUAAAAUAAAAUGAAAACCAUAUACAAAACUAUCAGCUAAAAUGUUCAGUUACCAUCACAAUUUAUCAAAAAAAUUAACAAAAUUAUAGCUUUCACACCAACGAUACCUCUUUACAAAUUUAGAAAUGGAAAAAAAAAAAUGAAACUAAAAGCUGCUAAGUGAACGAUUCCAGAUCUACGGUGAGGAUCUUGUCUUACCGGGAUUGGAAUUGGAGUCCAGUUGAGAUAGUUGCAGAGGAUUACACAAAAGAUUAUGGUGAAGCCAAGCUAGGGUUUGUUUUAGGGAGAGAGAGAGAGAUGACGAUGAUGAGAGUUUCAAUUUUGUGAUUUGUGAAGGUUGCGGGGUCACGUGGUCAACGCGUGGGGUGCGUUGAUUUUGCAGAAACUCUGUAGUGUGAUCAGAGAUGAUGGGUGAUUAUCAUCAGACGGUGAGUGACGGUUUUUAAUUAAAUGUUAACGGACCAGAUCUCGUAAACAGAAUAAAACAGUUCUUAGUAAUUAUUUUAGGUUUUACUGUCAUUUCACCUAUUAUGAGUUCAUUUCAUUUUCGAAUUUUUAUUUAUUUUUAAACACAAAUAAUUAUCAAAUUUUUCCUUAAAUUUUCUUUAUUUUAAUUAAAUAACUUGGAAAAUUUGUUCAAAGAAAGUUUAGAAUACCAAUAAAUGCGAAUGCAUGGUUGUGGUUACAUCAGUCAUACUGAAAGGUAUGGGUUACCACGGUUGAACCUUGAAUGAAUAAUACAUAUUGGACUUUAUUUUUAAAUUAGCAAUUUCAUUAGAGUCGCAACAUGCUCAAAUAGACAUAGAACACAUAAAAUUAAGCCUCAAUUAAGAGUUAGAACAACGCAAAGCAGUGUAAACAUUAACCCAUCACGAAAUCCUUAAAAUUUAAAGGAACAAAAGCUCUAUACUCUGAAGAUCUAAUAAGAAAUUAGAAGAAUUUUUCAAAUUUACUCUAAUACCCACCUAAAGAAUUGUGAGCAGAUACAUCCUAAUAAAAUAAAAUAAAAAUACUGCUAUGAUUGUUAAUACAACACACAAGUUUCACUAGUUCUGAAUAGAACAAAUCUAUUCAAUAAAUAAAAGAAAAAACCACCGCUACCACAAAAGUGGAAUUAAAUAUUUCAUAAAUGUACCCACAUCAGCACCCUAUCCAAUAAAUAAAGGGGUGGGGAUUUAAUUGUAAGCCCCUCAACAAUAUAUUCCAUAAUUUGAUGUUUGGAUUUGCUUUAGCACGAUCAAAGUUGUACUUCUUUUACCAAUAGGCCUUUGGUUCAAUGAGAGAAAUCUUACACUUACAAUGUUGAGUGUAAAGGUUCGAACCUCCAUAAAAGUAUUAUGGAGGUUAGUUUCAGUUAUUCCUCAAUUAUCAACUAAUUGAGUGGAGACAGUCUCUCCCUUACGAAAUGUGAGUGGAGUAUGCACCCCUCGAAUAUUAGAGAGGGUUUAAAGUAUUUGGGCAAGUGCUUCAGUGGGUUAAUGUAUGACGGUGAUCACAGUUGUUUAGUAUGAUUGUAAAUAUUGUAAUUAUAAUGUCUUAUAUAAUAUCAGUAACAAUUUGUGUAUAACAGAAUUCAAAAAAAAAAAAAGUUGUACUUCUUUGUGGAUUUGACAAUCCCAUUAGUUUACCUUUAAUAUAUGCAUCAAUCGAUAAUAUUUGUAGUUAUCAAGAUUGAUCACAGUUGAUGUACUAGGGCAUACCAUGUAUGCUUUAAAUUCCAAGAUUUUAUAAUAUGGAUUUUUUAAAAGAAAUUGUAUAAUUUUAAGAACAUCUCCAAAAGACUUUAUUAAUUUUAAUUUUUAAAUAUCUAUUUUCUUACUUAUAUGUUAAAAAGAAGAGUGAGAAAAUAUAUUAUUUUUCAAAAGGCUCUUCAAAUACAAAUAAGUUAAUAUUAUUUUAAUCAAAUAAAUAUUUUAUCAAAGAAAAAAUAAAUGAUAAUUAAAGUACUUCUCUCUCUUUCUCUAAUAAAAAUAAUAAAAUAUAAAUUGAAGUAUAUGCUACUGUAGCAAAAAAAGAAAUAGUUAAUACCAUUAAAUGAGUUUAAACACUCAAUUAGACCUUCAGUAUAUCUUUGUGUUUAACUUAAGAUUUUCCUUCUUGGAUUCUGUUUAUUUCAUUUUUAAUUUCAUUAGGUCGUUAAUUUCGUUCGUUUGGAGGUUUAAAUGUUGAUGUAACUCUUUAAAUAAUUAAUAAAAUUUUAUUUGAAAUUUUUUUUAGAAAUAUUCCAAGUAACCAAUCUUUGAUUGUACCCCAUAAAAACGAGUUGUGUAAAGGGCACUUAUUAAUUUUUUAAAACAAACCCAUAACCAAGGGAUUAUGAGAAAAAUUAAUAUAAAAUGAAAUGGUGACCAUAUUAAAUGAGAACAAUUCUUGACAUGUAUAUAUACAUGAUUGAAACGAGGAAUUUGUUGCUAGAAUUGCAGUUUCUAUUGGAGAAUUUAGAAAACUUAUGUACAAUCACUAUCAAUUAACUUUAUCAACUAAAUUGUUUUUCAAAAGGGGUCAUGCAUCAGCUGAUGACAGUUCAAGAGUAAGAGAUCCUGCUUCAAUGGAAACCACGCUUAACUUGUUCUUCUUCCAUUCCAUGACCCAAUAUGACUUCUUAGCCUUCUUCUCAGUUGCUAGUAAUCCCCUUAUUGCCAAGAAUGUGAUGAGCCCUAACACUUCUAGCAGGAAUUUGCUUCAAUGAUUUUACUGCCAAUGGGUUAUUGGCACUCUGCAUAUUCAAAUAAAAAGAAUCGUCAGGAAAAAAAAAAAAACAAUUAAACAAGUUGCAGAGCAUUAGAACUAAUUAAUGUUGUGAAUUUAAUUAAAUUACCAUUUGGCAAGUUCCAGUUUCAAGGUCACAUAUGGGGAAGUCAUGAGGGCAGCAGCUGUAAUGGUCUUCACAGCAAGUAGCAGAUUCAAUAGGGCAGCAACCCCAUCCAAAGCAGAAGUCACCAUACUCAUACAUGCAGCAGCAAGUGCUCCCCGAGGGGCAAGUGUAGUAGUCGUCGCAAACGGUGGGGGAGCUCGGAGGAGGGUUCACCGGAGAGGGAGGCGAGGGCCCGGGAUUAGGCGGGUUCUGGCCUUUCUUGAUCGGAUAUGACGGCUCAAUGGCAAUGCCACACUUGCCGGUCUUAGUGUUCACAUUACGUUCCAUUCUGAUGUAUCCGCUUUCACCCCAGUCGGGUCCCCAUGAGUUUCUCACAAUCCAGUAGUCCAAGUGACCAUCGGUACCAUAUCCAACAGCAAUAACGCCAUGGUCUAGUUCUGUUCCGCAGAUUCCAGUGAAUACGCCCUAAUGAAUCAACCCAAAAAAAUAUACACCAAGUUUUAAGUCACUGUUCAUGUAAUGUAAUGUGACAAAAAGAAAAUUGUUGCUUCUUAGGAGUUGAGUUGUUAUACCGAAUUGUAGAGCUGGAAGGCCAUGCCGCCGGCUUCAAUGGCAACGCUAACUGGUUGGCUUGCGACAGCCUUUUGCAACGAUUUCUCAUCGUUUUGCGGAACAUCUUCGUACCCAUCAAUGGUUACAACAUGUGCAUUUUUCUGCAUAGGCGAAAAAAGUGAUAGAAAAUUAAUUAGGAGAAAUUUUGAAAGCGGAUUAAUCAAACAUUUGAUGCAUUUAUGUAUAUGUAAGCGUGUCUAUAUGUACCCUGUUGGGAUCACAACUUCCAUCAGUAGCCUUGUAAGGGUAAUCCUCUUCGGUGUCAAUGCCGCCAUUUUUGAUGAUGAAUUUGAAUGCAUAGUCCAUGAGACCUCCAUUGCAUCCCUGGUUAUAUUGCUUGUCACAAUCAACCAGCUCCUGCUCCGACAAGGAGAUUAGAUCCCCUGUUACAAUCUGGUUUAUUCCCUCCACUGCACCAACUGUAGAGAAUGCCCAGCAACUUCCUGUAUUCACCAAAUUUGUCCAAAUUUUAAGGGUUUUUAUAUGUUAUUUCAAUCCCAACGAUUUGAAGAAAGUUUUUAAUUCAAUUCAACCUUAACAAAUAUUAAUUUUUUUAUUUGGAUAAAUAUGUAUUGGAAAAUAGUUUUAAAAAUAUUAUAAGAUUGUAACAUCUAGUCACGUCCAACAACUAUUUCUUAAUCAAUAAGCCCAUCGCAAACUUUUUUAAUCGAAGUCACAUGCAAGAGAUUCCACAAAAUCAAGCUAUUUCAAACACAAGCAAUUAGGCAAACUAGUUUUAAAAAUAUUAUAAGAUUGUAACAUCUAGUCACCUCCAAGAACUAUUUCUUAAUCAAUAAGCCCAUCACAAACUUUUUUAAUCAAUGUCACAUGCAAGAGAUUCCACAAAAUCAAGCUAUUUCAAACACAAGCAAUUAGGCAAACAGAUAUAAUUGAUCCCCACAUGAAAAGUCAAUCAAGGUGCAUAAUACGAAUCAAAUUGCAAAUGACCUUAAAAUAUAUCCAAAAACAAAAAUCCUGACUUACCACAUUGGCCUUGAUCCUUGACAGGUCCAACGGCACCCUUAGCUCUCCAAUCAACGGACUCCGGCAACGCGUCGCCGUGCUUAUACACAUACCUGUCGCUGCUCUUGGCGUUGCCAUUACCGGCCCUAAGAGCCUUCUUCCUCUCCAUCUUGGCACCCAAAUACAUGUUCCUGAACUCAUCGUUAGUCAAAUCCGCAAACUUGUUUAAACCCACUUUGUAGGUCCUGGCAACCGCGUUAUGUUCGUUAACAAACUUCAAGUUAUCCUUGAAAAUCUCGAACCGCCUCUCUUGUUCACCCAACGCAUUGUAGUUCUUGCCGUGCUUCACCAACCAAUGUUCGUACAUCAUCCUCAUGUGGGAUUCCGACAUGUUGCCCCCGCCGUUGCCAUGCAUGCGGUUGUAGUCGAUGAUUGACAUGUCUAGGGCAAAAGUUGACGUAAACAAAAAGAAACACAAACACAAGAACGUAGUCACCAUGGUUAAAGAAGAAGAAGAAGCCGUUGUGAAAGGGGGAGAGUUUAUUGAAUAUGGUGAGAUUUGAAGAUAUUAUAUAGAUGGGAUUUUGAUUAAAGGAGAAGGAAGUUGCGUUGAAAUAGGAGUGUUGUGUAACACGCUAGGUCAUGGGGGCGCGGUGAAUGUUUUUGCCUAUAUUUGGUUAAUUUAACUGCAUGUGUGAUUGUGAUUAAUGGUGGUGAUAAGAUUUUGACCAAAACUAUCGUUUUUAGGGAGAUUUUGUAAUUAAUGAAUGUUGGGUAAUUAUGAGUUCAAAGUUUUGAGUCAUCAUCCUCCUGGCUAAUAAGAGCAGGGCAUGUAUUGUGUUUAUUUAUUUUAUUUCAUGAAAGAAUUGGUUUAUUAUUGAAUUAGCCCUUGUGGUUUCGGAAAGUAACAUUUGAGUCCAUAUGUUUGUUACUUAUGUCUUAUUAAAAAGUUCUUGGUGUUUGUCCACGAGUUUAUUAUUCAUUUUUGUUAGCAAAAAGUAAGUAAUCAAAAUUACGGCGAAAUUUUGAGUGCUCUCAUUAUUUAUACUCUUGUUAAUAUUUAUUUGUAUAUUGUGUUCAUAUUUAAUUAGUUGAGAGAUACAUUUAAUAAGAAUCUAAUGAGAAAUAAUAUAUAAACUAAAAUUAUCUAAAACUUUCUCAUAAAUUAAAAAAAAAAUCUUUAAUUGUUUCUAUCUUCUUCUUUUUUUUUUUCUUGUUUAACUUUGAUACCAAUUUUGUAACACUUUAAUUAAAUAUACAAGGAUAAAAAUCCGCGCGUGAAUUUUUGCGACGAAGUGUCCAAGAUGGAUGGUAUUUGAUGGGGACUAAUAUGAUACAGAUGAUAAGAAUAUGGAACUCAAUGUUACCUUGUUAAAUUAUAGGGACUGACUUGAUAAUUACUUUCUUUUUUUUAUUUUGGCUAAAAAGUUUCUUUAUUGGUUUGGAUUUAAUUAACGGAUUUCGUGCCCAUCAAAACUUGUAAUUAUAUGCUAAAAGUUCUAGGGUGACUUGUUUGAAUAGAAUUGGUUAGCUAAACUAACCUCGUAUUGUUUUAUUUUUUUAUUUGUUUACUAUGAUUAUUGAAUAGUUUUAUUCGAAAGUGGACAUGUGAAAUUGAAUCUGCGUAAACAUAAAAAUAAUGUACGCAUAUCUUUUGUAUUUAGUAAUUUAAUAAUGCUACACAUUCUAAAUUUUUUAUCCCAAAAAAUUAUCCCAAAUGAUGUGGUAUUUAUCAAUUGAUUGAUAAUUCUUUACAAGAUCCAAGUGAAUUAAUUGUAUUAUCUCACCAACUAAUUAAUAAAUGCCACAUCAUUUGGGAUAAAAAAUUUGAGAUGUGUAGCAUUAUUGUUAGUAAUUUAAUAUUUUUAAUCUUUAAAUUGUUGGGUUCACUAUUGUCUAAAUAUAUUUUAGAGAUAAGGGUUAUGACACGAUUUGUCUUCUUCAUCAAACUAUUUGCUGUCCCAUGUGAUCUUGAUCUACUUCAGAGUGGGUGGGAGAUGGGUAGGAGAUUUCCCUGGAUUUUCUUGACUAGAUAAUGUAAGAAUGCAUUGUAUUACUUUUUUAUUCUUCAAAUUUGACAUCCCAAGAGUUAGGAUUAUGAAGUGUGAUAAUAGUUGACAAAUAUUAUUAAAGUCUCACUUCAAUUAUAAGUAACAUUGAAAUGUAUCCAACUUGUGAUAGAAAAAUAUAUGGAAGUUUUUUUUUUUUUUAAUUUUUUUUUUUUUUUUUUUUUUUUAGCCUAAUCAUAUGGUUCGGAUUAGAUAGCACCCACUUGUAUAUAGGAGUACAGAAAAAAUUAAUAAAAAAUAAUAUAACUAAUAAUUGUCUUUAAUCUCAAUUUUUAUUUCUUUGAAACUAAUAACACAACAAACUUUUGAAUACAAUCACACAAAGAAAGCUUGCAAAUCAAUGUACAGCUACGACAUUUUUUAUCGUUAAAAAUAAAUAAACAUAGAAAUUUGUGUCGAAAUUUAAGUCACAUUUUUUUCGAGUCACUAAAUAAAUCUUCCAAUAUAAAAGGGUUGUUGAUUUCUUGGGAGGAGAAAAAAAAAAAAAAAAGAGAUGUGAAGUAAAGCACAAGACUUUCAAUUGUUUACACUUCAGAGGAUUGCUAAGUUUUUGGUAAUAUCAACACGAAACUCUCUAUUCCAUAAACAAUUGGAUUAAUAUAAUUAACAAUUUUUAAGUCAAAAUUUUUCGAGUCGCGAAAUAAAUCAUCCAAUAUACAACGGUUAUUGAUUUCUUGGGGGCCAAAAAAAAAAAAAAACACAAAACCACAAGACUUUCAAUUGUUUAAACUUAAGAAGAUUGCUAAGAUUUUGGUAAUAUCAACAAAUAACUCUGUCUCUAUCCAUAAAUAAUUGGAUUAAGAUAAUUUUUUUUUUUUUUGAAAAUUUUAAAUUGCUUAGAGAGUUACAAUAUUUCACAACCUACGCAUAAUAUUUUAUAUGAUGAACAAAGAAGAGAAAUCUUUUAUUGGUAUGUUUUGAGAGAAAUUUACAUGAGAUAAACUUAUCACACCUCGGCAUGACAAUUUACCACAUAACUCGAACAAUUACCCAUCAUAAAUUCCACUGGUUCUUUAAAUAUAAAAUUUUGUUAUCACACAAUAAGAUCUAUCAAUAAUGUCACUUCAAGAUUUAUUACUUUAUAAUAAAGUAGACUUCGGUGACAAACCUAUCGGUGACAAACCUAUCGGUGACAAACCUAUCGGUGACAAACCUAUCGGUGACAAACCUAUCGGUGACAAACCUAUCGGUGACAAACCUAUCGGUGACAAACCUAUCGGUGACAAACCUAUCGGUGACAAACCUAUCGGUGACAAACCUAUCGGUGACAAACCUAUCGGUGACAAACCUAUCGGUGACAAACCUAUCGGUGACAAACCUAUCGGUGACAAACCUAUCGGUGACAAACCUAUCGGUGACAAACCUAUCGGUGACAAACCUAUCGGUGACAAACCUAUCGGUGACAAACCUAUCGGUGACAAACCUAUCGGUGACAAACCUAUCGGUGACAAACCUAUCGGUGACAAACCUAUCGGUGACAAACCNNNNNNNNNNNNNNNNNNNNNNNNNNNNNNNNNNNNNNNNNNNNNNNNNNNNNNNNNNNNNNNNNNNNNNNNNNNNNNNNNNNNNNNNNNNNNNNNNNNNNNNNNNNNNNNNNNNNNNNNNNNNNNNNNNNNNNNNNNNNNNNNNNNNNNNNNNNNNNNNNNNNNNNNNNNNNNNNNNNNNNNNNNNNNNNNNNNNNNNNNNNNNNNNNNNNNNNNNNNNNNNNNNNNNNNNNNNNNNNNNNNNNNNNNNNNNNNNNNNNNNNNNNNNNNNNNNNNNNNNNNNNNNNNNNNNNNNNNNNNNNNNNNNNNNNNNNNNNNNNNNNNNNNNNNUUUUUUUUUUUUUUUUUUUUUUUUUAGCCUAAUCAUAUGGUUCGGAUUAGAUAGCACCCACUUGUAUAUAGGAGUACAGAAAAAAUUAAUAAAAAAUAAUAUAACUAAUAAUUGUCUUUAAUCUCAAUUUUUAUUUCUUUGAAACUAAUAACACAACAAACUUUUGAAUACAAUCACACAAAGAAAGCUUGCAAAUCAAUGUACAGCUACGACAUUUUUUAUCGUUAAAAAUAAAUAAACAUAGAAAUUUGUGUCGAAAUUUAAGUCACAUUUUUUUCGAGUCACUAAAUAAAUCUUCCAAUAUAAAAGGGUUGUUGAUUUCUUGGGAGGAGAAAAAAAAAAAAAAAAGAGAUGUGAAGUAAAGCACAAGACUUUCAAUUGUUUACACUUCAGAGGAUUGCUAAGUUUUUGGUAAUAUCAACACGAAACUCUCUAUUCCAUAAACAAUUGGAUUAAUAUAAUUAACAAUUUUUAAGUCAAAAUUUUUCGAGUCGCGAAAUAAAUCAUCCAAUAUACAACGGUUAUUGAUUUCUUGGGGGCCAAAAAAAAAAAAAAACACAAAACCACAAGACUUUCAAUUGUUUAAACUUAAGAAGAUUGCUAAGAUUUUGGUAAUAUCAACAAAUAACUCUGUCUCUAUCCAUAAAUAAUUGGAUUAAGAUAAUUUUUUUUUUUUUUGAAAAUUUUAAAUUGCUUAGAGAGUUACAAUAUUUCACAACCUACGCAUAAUAUUUUAUAUGAUGAACAAAGAAGAGAAAUCUUUUAUUGGUAUGUUUUGAGAGAAAUUUACAUGAGAUAAACUUAUCACACCUCGGCAUGACAAUUUACCACAUAACUCGAACAAUUACCCAUCAUAAAUUCCACUGGUUCUUUAAAUAUAAAAUUUUGUUAUCACACAAUAAGAUCUAUCAAUAAUGUCACUUCAAGAUUUAUUACUUUAUAAUAAAGUAGACUUCGGUGACAAACCUAUCGGUGACAAACCUAUCGGUGACAAACCUAUCGGUGACAAACCAAUCUGAUGCAAGUUUUUCUCGUAUCUUUGCUAAUCUACUUAGCAAUGGCAAUCAUUGCACAUUGGCUGCAGCUCUUCGACUAGCGUUGAGCCCAAGAACCUGGCCCAUAAAUAAGCCUAGUUAUGUAGCCCUUGGUUCAUUGCAUUUUUUAAUGGAUUGAUGUAUGACCCAAUUCAGCAUCGUUCAUUGAUAGAUAUUUUGAAAAAAAAAAUAUGUUACAAAUAAUUAUUGAUUUAUUUCCAAAAAAUAAAAUAAAAUCUACCGAAAUCUAACUAAUCAAUUUUAUGAUGAGGUAGCUUGGAUAUCUUUUUUUUAAUAGACCAUAUCUAUCUUUAAAUAUUUAUAAAUAUAAAAAAAUCAAUCUCCACAAAUAUAUACAUGAACAACUUAAAACACUUUUUGAUAGAAGUCAUUUAUCAUUGGGGUUUGGAUGAUUCCCAUUCAUAUGAAUAGAGAUUAGUGGCAACCUUACACUAAAAGAAGAAGAUAAUAAUCAAUAUUUUUAUACUUACGAAAUUGAAUUACAAAACUUGUGUAGCAAACACCAUAUAAUAUGACAUGACGUCAUUAUAAAUUGUCAUCUCUUAUAUGGUUACUUACUUUAUCAUUUUACUUUCAUGUGAUGAUAUAUAAUAAAAGGGUUAUGACGUAGGAUGGUUAUGUACAUUUCAAAGGCAUAAUUUGAACUACAAGCGUCUGUUUUUGGCAUAAAAUAUACUAUUUUGAAGUUUUUGAUAAGACAAAUCGAAAAUUUCACUUCUUUCCUAAUUGUUUUUCAGUUUUAAGAUAUUUUCUUAUUUUUCUUAUUUCUUCUAGGAUUUUUAUCUUUUUUUUUUUAGAAUUCAGAUUUGAACAUUGUUUGUUUUCCUUUUCUUAUUUUGAUUAGGAACAUUUUAUUAUAAAAUAAUAUUUUUGGUUUUCCUAUUUUGAUAAAUUCACAAUAUUUAGGGUUAUUAUAUAAAGGACUUAAAAUCCUAACUUUGUCAAUUUUAUAACUAUUCAAUAAACUUUAUUAUUCAGAAUCUUUGUUUCAACUAUUUUUGGCCUUUUACAUUUAUGUUUCAUCGGGUUAUGUGAUGUCACAUCAAUUGAUAUCCAAAUUUCAUAUCCUUACUUUAUAAGAAUAUUCAAUAAAAUCGGCAGCUGUCUUGUAUUGUUGUUGAGAUGGAUUGUUUUCAGGUUUUUAAAGCUCUCACAGAGAAUUAUUCUUGUCCCAAUGGCUAUGGCAUUAUUCUUGAUGAUUGUAGAGCUUUAGCUCAUUAUAUAGGAGAUGUUAGGUUCUCUUUUGUUCGAAGGUCUGCAAAUACUGCUGCCCAUGUAGCUACAAGGGUGGGGGGUUCUUUGUCAGGCUUUGGAGAGUAGAGUCAUGUUCCACCUCUUUGGUUAAAUCCUUAUCUGUCUGUUAUUUCUAGUUAAUGUAAUUUCCAUAUUACUAAAAAAAAAGAAAGAAUAUUCAAUAAAAAUUUAAUUCUGGCGAAAAUCAAGCUGCUGACCACAAGCUUUCUUAAUUGAUUCUAAUCAAUGAACAAUCUAAUUAAUAUUAGCUUUUAUGCCUUUGCCCUGUUACCUGAUUUUGGUUUCUCAUUUUUCAUGGAUUGCUUCUAUAUAUCAACUAACCAAAUAGUUUUACUUCCCCAGAUACCUGGUGAGACUUAAUAAGUACAGGGGGCCAUUUUUUCACAAGAAAAGGAAAAGAAAAUCCCUAUCCAAGUGCAUGUGUCAUUGCGUUGUGUUGGAUUUUUCAUGUGGUCUUGUCUAUUUUUCUUGAUUGCCAAAUGCCAAAGAAGGGAAUGGAAAAUUCUCAAAUACAUUCAUGACCCAAGAACAUGUGAAAGACAAUGUUUAAAAUAGAUGCUAAAAAUAUUAUUGUUCAAAAACUUGAAAAUUGUUGUUAAUAAGAACAAGCAGAGGUAUAAAGUUAUGGAUAAAACCUUGGCAAUUGAGACUGCAACAACUUGAUGAUGAAUUUUUCAGUAAUGCUAUUUACCCCGGGUCAAACCCCGAAAGUAAUUGAAGCGACGUUGUUUCCUCUUUUUUUUUUUUUUUUUGUUCUCUCUAAAACGACGCCGUUUGGUUUAGUUAGCAUCAACCCCAAUUGCUCUCUCUUCCUCUUCGUUUUAGAACUGAUCCCAAACACUGCAAACCCUUUAAGCUAAACCCACAUAGAUAGACCAACGUACUCCUAAAAAGAACGAAACACCCAUUCAUCUUGAGAUUCUUCACUACUUUGACUCUUCUUGAAUAAUUCCAAAAGGGAAAAAAGAAAAAAAGAAUUAGGUUUAUGUUGCAUUAGAGAGCAAAUUUGUACUAUACAUUCUUCAAGCCGAGCUGAGGAAACUGAAGUUCAAAGUUAUCAGGAUAGAUUUAGAUCCAUAUACAUUUAUACACAUACAUGAAUUACCAGCAACGUGUCAUUGGAUUUUCACAUACACACAUGCAUGUUAUUUUUUGCAAAAUGAAAAGUACUUCAUUUCUCUAAGCAAAAGCACUUCUUAGUUCGUUCUCAUAUGCUUAGAUUACAAGCUUAAUUACCCUUUGAAUUAUACCAAAAAAAAAAGAAAAGAAAGGAGAACUUGUUUCUAAAUUUUACAUUAAGUCUUGUUUCUGCUAUGUGUGAUGGUUGUCGGUGGUGCUGGUGACGAUGGCUGGGUAUGCGUGAUGGUGGCUGCCAGGCUGAUGGCUGUCGGUGGUGGUGGUGGUGACGAUGGUUGGGUGGUAGCUGCCAAGCGUGAUGGCUGUCGGUGUUGGUGGUGUCGAUGGUUGGGUUUGUGUGAUGGAACCUUACGUGAUGGUGGCUGCCAGGCUGAUGGCUGUCGGUGGUGGUGGGUGCCGAUGGUUGGGUAUGCGUGGUGGUGGGUGCCGAUGGUUGUGGAUCGCGAAUGGCUGUGAAAUGAAGAGCAAUGGUUUUACAGAGAAAGCAAUUUGGAGUUGUCGUGGUUUUGCCUUAACCAAGCUAAAAUGACGUCGUUUAAGGGAAAAUGAAUGGAAAAAAAAAGGGAACUGAAACGAUGUCGUUUAUUAGUUUCAAGGUUUGACGUGGGGUUUGACUUGGGGUAAAUAGCAUUUGCCUGAAUUUUUUUAUCUUACUUCCAAUUUUGACACUAGUUUGACAUCUUCAUAAGCAACCAAUAGAACACUAAUGACAUUGAGUUCAGUUCAGAAGUUCAUUUCGGGAACAAAUUGAUAUCAGAUCUUCUAAUAGAGCAUUCAAAUCAGAAAAAGAUGAUCCACCUUCUUCAACAGCUUUCCUUGCCGUCUUUCCUGGCCCCUUAGUUUUGUUUCUCAUGUUAUUUGCACUUUUGCUAACCAUUAACUCAGCUAGUGCCUUUGUAAUAUCAUCUUUCUCUUACGAUAAAUCUUUUCUCAUCCAUCCAUCUAGCCCAUAUUCCAGAGCACCAACUCCAACUCCUAAUCUUAGCGCAUCAGUGACCAGCUUUUUCUUAAGAAACUGCUCUUCAUACAACGGCCAUGUCGCCAUUGGUACCCCGGCAGCAACACUCUCCAAAAUUGAGCUCCAUUCAUAGUUAGUCAUAAUUUUCACCAUUAAUAUAAAUCCAAAAGAAGUCUUGUAUGUAGGCUUCAAGGCCCUCAGAAAUCUGAAGUAGUUGAAUAGCUGAAAACCGUUACACACUUGCAAAACAUACAUAAGAUCAGAGUUGGGUUUCUUUGAGUAUAGCUAUCUUAGGCACUCUUUACUCGCGGCUGUGUUUGUUUUUUGUGUUUUGUCCUUGGCAUACCUGUUGGAGAGUGAAACUGGACCAAAAUGCCAUACCUUUCCGCCCAUGACCUUUCUGUAAUGUUCAGAAUAAGUUGACUCUAGCCCAUGGAAACUAUUUACAAUGACUCCAUAGCUUUUCAGCUCCACUUGAAGAGCCCGAUCCAGAAUGUUUGCAAUUUCAUUUCCUUGUCUUUGGUAGUUGCAGUUUUGUCAUCGUUAUCUAGUCCGGAAGGCGACGCAUGAUGAAUUGAAUGGCUCUAAAUCUGAUCAUGCAACAUUUCUAUGAUGUACAGGCAUCUUAAGCUAUCAAAUGCACAAAAGCGAAAAGAAACUGCUUUCAUAAAACAUCUAGCCAUGGAAUUCCAAGCUUGCUUGCAAUAUCUGUAGACCAAGGAAACACUGUCUUGAUACACAAGAAACUUCUUGAUAAUGAUGUAAUGAAUCAUCUAGUAGAUCUUGAAAUUUUUGAACAAACUGCCAUUUAGCAGUUCAACUAAAUUUGUCCACCUCAAAAUUGGUUAUGUUAGAGAAGAUAGAUAAAUAUACUAUAUAUAGAAAUGAUUUAUUUAGUAACUUUGUCUAUCGUAUAGUGAGCAUUUAAUUUUGUGAACAAAGUUAUAGUUGUGGAUUAACCAAAUAAUUUUAUUUCUCAGUAUCUUUUAUAAUAUCAUUACUCGGUAGCACUUAGCAAGCCGACAAUCAAUCGUAUAUUAAUUAAGCAGAUAAUUAAUUAAGAGAAUCAAUCGUGUAUUGUUUAAAGGGAAAAGGACACAGAGACCCCCAACGUUUGAAUAAGGGAUACAAAAUCCCCUAAAGUUUCAAAAAAGACACUCAGACCCCCAUUUGUUAACAAAAAUUAUAAUUUUAAAAUGCAAUUACCAUUAUGCCCUUAUAGCAUAUUAAAAAAUAAUUGUUCAUUGUCCAAUUUAUUCCUAUAUUAUUAAUAAAAUUACGAAUAUAACUUCAUUACAUAAUUUUUCCAUUUAAUUUUUGUCAAAUUUUCUCUUCAAACUAAAUAAAUUUAAUCCAUUGCUCAAGAAUAAAAAUAAGGGAAAAUAUCCACCGUCCACCCGUUUUUUCUAACUUUUUCAAAAAUACACAAUUCUUUUUUUUUUUUUGCUGGAAUCCACCUGAAGUUGCGUUUUGUUUCACUUUUCCACUUCCGUUUGGAAUCCGUUAUAACAUUACUAAUGUUGUAGGGGUAAAUCGGUCAUUUCAGCAGAGCAGCCCCAAACGACGUCGUUUACAACACAUUGAUCUUCGAACAAUUCAAUCCAGGCUUGACAGAGAAUUUUACUCCAAUUGUUUCCAAAAAUUCUUUAGAGAUCUCCUUUUGUUAUUCAACAACUUCGUAAUUUUCUUCAGAAAAAGCUCUCAGGGCAAAAGAGCUUACUCUUUUAAUUUUCUUCAGUUGUAGCGCUAGUUGCUACUCAAAAUGGCUGAAAGGAUCCACCCCGAAACGACACAGCGCAACGAACAAGAGCCCUCACAUCUGCCGGCGCCCGCGGCCGCAGGAACCUAUGUCAUCCAAAUCCCGAAGGAUCAAAUCUACCGAGUUUCGCCCCCCGAGAACGCCGACCGCAUCAAGGGCCUCUCCCGCCGCCGCAAAUCCCGCAGCACUACCUGCUGCUGCUUCCGUUUCUGCUGCUGCUCGCUGCUUCUCCUCGUCCUCCUCUUGGCCAUCGCCGCCGGCGACUUCUACCUCGUCUUCCGUCCCGAAGCCCCCAACUACUCCGUCGACGACAAGAUCGGCAUCUACUACGAGAGAGGCAGCUCGGUGGAGGUCUACUACAAGGACGUCGGCUUAUGCGACGGCGUCUGGCCUCAGUUUUACCAGCCGACCAACAAUGUCACGGUUUUCUGCAAGCACUCUUGGCUAUUUCAACUCUGCACAAGCUAUAACGGACUAUGCAGAAAUUCUCUUGUAUAUAAAGGAAACCAUAAUGAAGUCAUGGGCAGAGAUAGAAAAGGCAAGACGAUGCCUUGAAAAGAAUGAAGCAGAAUUCACCUUGUGAAGUGAUGGAAGAUGAUGACGGUGAAGAAGAAGAUGACAACGAUAAUGAUAACGAUGAAGACGACUCGGGCGACGAUAGCAAGGAUAGUAAAGUAGAGGAGGAGGAGAUGAUUUCUUUUGAUUAGUUUAGUGUUUUAUUAAGUUUGGGGGGUAAAAUAGUCAUUUGACUAAGUUUCCGUUAGUUUUCCUAACGGAUUCCAAACGGAAGUGGAAAAGUGAAACAAAACGCAACUUCAGGUGGAUUCCAGCAAAAAAAAAAAAGAAUUUUUAUUCUUGAGCAAUGGAUUAAAUUUAUUUAGUUUGAAGAGAAAAUUUGACAAAAAUUAAAUGGAAAAAUUGGGUAAUGAAGUUAUAUUCGUAAUUUUAUUAAUAAUAUAGGAAUAAAUUGGACAAUGAACAAUUAUUUUUUAAUAUGCUAUAAGGGCAUAAUGGUAAUUACACUUUAAAAUUAUAAUUUCUGUUAACAAAUGGGGGUCUGAGUGUCUUUUUUGAAACUUUAGGAGGUUUUGUGUCCUUUAUUCAAACGUUGGGGGUCUCUGUGUCCUUUUCCCUUGUUUAAAAAGACAAUUAAUCAUGUAUAUGUUGAAUUUUAUUUAUUUCCAUAUUUGUUUUGACUUUUUAAAAAGGGACAAAAUGGCCAUCGGGGCUUAGGGGCCAGGUUGUGGUGGUCUUUGUCUGGACAUGGCUGUGGCAGUGGUGAAGCUGGCGGAGGAGCGCACGUGUUGAUGUUGAGCAUGUGGAGGUUCACAGUCACCUCCAACUCCACCUCCAUCGAUCUAUGAAUAUUUCAGUUUCUUGCCUUCUUGUUUCAGCCACAAGGUCACCAGCUGCUACUUCAUAAUGCAAGCAUGAGUGCAAAAUGAAAGUGAACAUUAAAAAUGAAGCACAGAGGAUAUUAACAUUGGUACCCAUUUUGGCUUUCUUCUUCAUCCACAAGAUAAUAAAAGAAUUUCAUUUAUAGAAAGAGAGGAGAUUAGUGAGUCAAGGACUCAUCAGUAAACACAUAUUAAAAAAUACAAAUAAAAUUGUUCUUUUUUUUUAAAUUUUUUUUUUUUUUUUUUUUUUUUUCUUUUCUUUUGGUAGUUGCCCUAUCAUUUGGCAUCAUUUUGUUUUAAAAAACAAAAGGUGCGUCUCACAUGAAGGGACCGAAUGACCAAAUUAUUCAACUUAGCAGCCAUGAAAGGAUACAAAAGCAAGUUCCAAUUUUCACAAGAAUAAUAAUAAUCUGUGAUGAAAGUGGGGUGAAAAUAUGGGCAAGAUUCGUUAAUUCAAUUUGAUUUCAUAUGAAUUAUAUAGGUUUGAGUUUGAAAAAUUAAUUCAUUUAAUAAAUGAGUAAAUUCGAUCUAAUUCGCUAAAUAAACUAAUAGAAUCCAUAUUUAAGUACAUUAAUUUUUUUUUAUUUAAUAAAUAAGUCAAAAAUAAAUCGAAUGCGAAUUAUUUGUUUAAAAAUUCAUUAAUUAUCAUUUAAUUGAAUUAUCUUUUUAUCCUUGCCGAUGCCUUACCAGCGUUAUUAAAUCAUAGCAUUCAAUCAUAAGUGAUGCUUCUUCUCUUUUGCCCUAUGUUCUGUGAUUUUAACUUUUUAAUCCUUACUGUUGUGAAAGUCAUCUUUCGAUCUGUUUAAUUUUUACUGUGUUGAAAGUUAAGAAACUUCUUGAUGGUUGAUAAUGAUGUAAUGAAUCUUGUACGCGUGCAUGCUUGAGGGAUUCAUUAGUUGUGGUGGUCUUUGUCUGGACAUGGCUGUGGCAGUGGUGAAGCUGGCGGAGGAGCGCACGUGUUGAUGUUGAGCAUGUGGAGGUUCACAGUCACCUCCAACUCCACCUCCAUCGAUCUAUGAAUAUUUCAGUUUCUUGCCUUCUUGUUUCAGCCACAAGGUCACCAGCUGCUACUUCAUAAUGCAAGCAUGAGUGCAAAAUGAAAGUGAACAUUAAAAAUGAAGCACAGAGGAUAUUAACAUUGGUACCCAUUUUGGCUUUCUUCUUCAUCCACAAGAUAAUAAAAGAAUUUCAUUUAUAGAAAGAGAGGAGAUUAGUGAGUCAAGGACUCAUCAGUAAACACAUAUUAAAAAAUACAAAUAAAAUUGUUCUUUUUUUUUUUUUUUUUCUUUUCUUUUGGUAGUUGCCCUAUCAUUUGGCAUCAUUUUGUUUUAAAAAACAAAAGGUGCGUCUCACAUGAAGGGACCGAAUGACCAAAUUAUUCAACUUAGCAGCCAUGAAAGGAUACAAAAGCAAGUUCCAAUUUUCACAAGAAUAAUAAUAAUCUGUGAUGAAAGUGGGGUGAAAAUAUGGGCAAGAUUCGUUAAUUCAAUUUGAUUUCAUAUGAAUUAUAUAGGUUUGAGUUUGAAAAAUUAAUUCAUUUAAUAAAUGAGUAAAUUCGAUCUAAUUCGCUAAAUAAACUAAUAGAAUCCAUAUUUAAGUACAUUAAUUUUUUUUUAUUUAAUAAAUAAGUCAAAAAUAAAUCGAAUGCGAAUUAUUUGUUUAAAAAUUCAUUAAUUAUCAUUUAAUUGAAUUAUCUUUUUAUCCUUGCCGAUGCCUUACCAGCGUUAUUAAAUCAUAGCAUUCAAUCAUAAGUGAUGCUUCUUCUCUUUUGCCCUAUGUUCUGUGAUUUUAACUUUUUAAUCCUUACUGUUGUGAAAGUCAUCUUUCGAUCUGUUUAAUUUUUACUGUGUUGAAAGUUAAGAAACUUCUUGAUGGUUGAUAAUGAUGUAAUGAAUCUUGUACGCGUGCAUGCUUGAGGGAUUCAUUAGUUUUAAAUCCUCCAUGUAAAUUGAUGAAUUUUUUUUUUUUGUCUGAACCACUGAGUGGGUCUCAACUAUGGGAGACACAUUUAAGUCCGUACCAUAACCCAGAUUAAUCCCCGUUCACACCGGGUCGGCCCAUAAGAAAUAAAGUGCUGGCCAAAGUGAAUUGCUUAAUUUCUUUUAGCGAAUUGAGGAUUCAUUAGUUUCCGCAAAGUUAGGAGGUCCCAUGUAAAUAUCCAAAAAAUGAACGUUAAGAAUUUCAAACAUCAUAUGGCAAGCGAUUGAACACGUAGUGUGAUUCAUUGAAUUAUUGUAAAUAGUGUUAAUAUUGUGACAACAUUAAAUUGUAACAUAAAUAAUAUCGCCCACUAAUGAAUAAAUACAUAGUUUUCAAUUCUCUAUCUCCUCUUAAAUAUGAUUUAAAUAUGAUUGUAAACAUAAUACCAAUUAAGACAAAAUUUUACAUUAAAAUGAUUUUGAUGUUCUAACUUCUGCCCUCUCAAUAAUCGACCUAGAGUCAAGCAAAAAGUCUUGCUUUUUGUUUUUAUGCAAUCAAGUUGCUUCAACUACGGGUUCAAUCAACUAGCAAAUAGGCUGACAGCUCGCAACGCGGUUCGAAGGUUUGUAUUCGUUAUCUGUUCCCAAAAUUCAAAAUUUCAACUAAAAUUUUCUCCGUACGAUUGAUUCUCUUUCAAUUGCCCACCACCUCACGUGGAUUGUAGACCACGGUUAACAAACAAACCCUUAAUUCCAUUUAAAGUGAUGGGGAACAUCGUAUUGGAAACUUUAAUGAUGGGAAAGUCAGUCCUCUUUGGCUUUGUUUUGUACAAUUUUUUAAGUAAAAUUUUUUUAAGUAGAAUUUUUACUUAAAAGAAUUAGUUGUUUAGUUGUCAAUAAGAGUUUUUAUUAAAAAUUUAUAAAAUUAUUUUAAUAAACAAACGUUUAAAAGUUAUGUUAUUAAAAGAAUAAAAUAAGAUUGUUAAAUAAAUAAAGAAUAUUUUAAAUAUUUUAACAUUUAAAAAUAUCUUUUCAACCUCUAUUUUCAAAAGCUCAAAAUUUGAACUUUUGCUAAUAGAGGCAAAAUAGCGUAUUUAAGCUUCAAAAGCUCUAUUAGAAAAAUAAUCAAACAAUAACAAAAAUUAUGAUUAUAGCUUAUGAGAUUAAAUAAGUACUUAUAACCAUUAAAUAAGUCAUAUCAAACAAGCACUUCAAUGAGAUAAUAUAAUUAAGCCCACACAAUGUGACCUUCAAUUAGAGUGAUAUUUGGUGACCAAAGACUGAAUUAAGAUUAACCAAAUAUCAAAUUAAUAGUGUGUAAGAUCUAACAUGCAUUGACCAGUUAACAUAAACCAUAUAUUCAAUGCUCCUUGUAGUUAUAGCAAAUGGAGUAGAUUAAUUUCUCCCAAUAUUAAGAGUAAACAUAGCAAAUUUAUGCUACAAACUAAUUCGCAUGCCUAGCGGAAAAAAAAAAAAACAAAAUUGAGACAUCGAACACUAAACUAAAAAUAUUAGUUAUAAUUCCUUUUUUUCUUUUUUCAAUCAGAAUUUAACUAUUCUUCACAUAAUCUUGAGCUAUAAAAUUUCAUGAUCUUCUAUCAAGAAUCGAUGUGUAUGCAUGAUUGUGGAAUUGAUUGAAAUGGUUGUGGAAAGUAGAAUUGAAUUGUGUUUGAAAUAAUUGAGGAAUUACCGAAUUAGUUGAAAUGGUAGUGGGUGGGACAUGAGAAUUAAAUUGUGGGUGGGAAAUGGUUUCGGUAGGCCUGACCCGAUGUUGGCCCGAUUCGGGUCGGGCCCGACCCGACCCUAACUAUAAAAAUGUAGGGUUUUUUUUAAGGUUGGACUUUAAUUCUUUAUUGAUCGGGUCGGGUCGGAUUUGGCCAAGCCCGAGCCCGACCCGACGUUUUGCCAUCCCUAAUCUUAUAUCAAGAAUCGAUGUGUAUGCAUGCUUCAUUGCUUCUUGUGAUAUAUAAACCUCUGCACUUAGUUUUCAAGUCUUUAAUUGACAGUGACUUGACCCGCUACUACUUUUAAACCUACUUUGAUUAUUAGCCACCACAUGCGGGAAAUAUCACAAAAUUUUAUGUACCAAAUAUUGCAACACAUUUUACGUAACAUUGAGGAGAAAUUUACUCCUACUAUAUAUAUUAAUUAUGAAAAUGCGAACAAGAAAAAUCCUGUGAAAACUCGAACUAAUAGCUCAACGUAGCCAAUGAUACAUACACCAUACCUUUUACAAUUCAAAAGUUGCAUUAUUGUUGUGAGUUGUGACACAUGGCAUUAUGCAUGUGAGGUGAACUGUAAAAGGUAUGGUGUAUGUAUCUGAGCGCUCUUUGGGUUCUUAUCUACUUUUAAAUAUUAAUAAUGGUUUUGUUUGUGUCACUGCUGGUCCAUUUAACAAUUUUGGCACCGACAGUUUAAAGCAUCAAGUUCUUGCCAAAGAAGUACGUAUUUCAUCGAAUUGUUUCCUGGGAAAAAUUGAAACUUGAAUUUGUCCUUCCAUGGCUACUAGACUGAAUAAUUGGUAAGUUGGACCCUUCAUGUGAGGCGCGCCCAUAUUUUUAAAUCAAGAAGACCUCCAGGUUUCAAUCGUUGUCCUGUCUUCAUGCAGAAAGUGCUUCUGUUGUUUUUUGGCUUCAGCAAUAAAGUUGCAGCUAGCUAGCUAGGAUUAAUUUUGUAAGUGCUUCCCUUUGAACCUUAAAAUUUUUAAUUCCGUUUUUAAUAUGUAUAUAAUAGUACAUAAACGCUUCAUGUUCUUCUUUCUUUCUUUCUUUCUUUCUUUUUUUAGAUGCUUAGUCUAAAAAUGAAGUUGAAUAUUUUUGCCUUCAGAUAUUUGAAAGAAAUAUUUAUAAAUCACAUAUGAGGGGACUUAAAUCUAUAUUCUUACUUGAAAAGAUGAGUGAUUAUCAUCUAAGUAAUGGAUGGUUCCAACUCAAACUCCAAAAACUUAAGUUUUUUAUCAAAUUUUUGAUAUAGAAUCAGGAGGUUACGUAAAGUAAGUGGAGCCGAAGUCAUGAAGCCAAACCAUUAAUUUUUGGACCUACCAAAAAGUUUGAGCAAGCAAACAUACAAUCACUCAAGGGAUUCCAGUGACAAACAGUACUAGCCAAUAAAUAUGCGUUUCUCUUGCUGAAAAUGAUAGGCAAACUACCCCGUAAUACACGUAAUAACAGUGCACAUCAGUAUCUCUCUGUAUGCAUGUGAGUCCUUGACUGAUGACAAGUCUCCGUUUUAGCCUCCGCUCUUUCUCCCUCCGCCUCCUCCGCCGCCUCCGCCUCCUCCAAGACCGCCAAAACCCCCUAGCCCAUUUGGUCCCUUUGCCAGCGAGCGAAUCCAACUUGCAUUCAAAGUAAUUCAAAGAUUCAAAAAGAGAAUCACUUAUGAUCCACAAGGAAUAGCAAAUACAUGGAUGGGUCCUGAUGUUUGCAACAAAUACAAGGGCUUUGUUUGUGACGUACGUCCUGACAUAAAGAAGAAAGCGGUCGCCGGAGUAGACUUCAAUGGCUACCGCUUCAACGGACCAGACUUUAGCCUCUCAGAUUUCCUGGAAAAGCUUGAAGACUUGGCCAUUUUCCAUGCCAAUUCCAACAACUUCACCAAAUCAAUCCCAAAGAUGACAUCAAAGCUGAAGUUCUUAUACGAGCUUGAUGUGAGUAACAACAAGCUAUUCGGCGGUUUUCCAAUGGAAGUAGUUAAUAUCAAGAAUUUAACUUUCUUGGACCUCAGGUUCAACUCAUUCUCAGGGCCAGUCCCUGCCGAAAUUUUCUACCUGGACCUGGAUGUUCUCUUCCUCAACAACAACAAAUUCUCUCAAAAUCUUCCGGAAAAUAUCGGCUCCACAGGAGCCCUUUAUGUCACUUUUGCCAACAACGAGUUCACAGGUCCCAUUCCAAGCAGCAUUGGCAGAGCUAAAUACCUGCUAGAAGUGCUUUUCCUGAACAACUUCUUUACAGGUUGCUUGCCAUAUGAGAUAGGCUUUCUGAGCAACUCUACAGUUUUUGAUGUGGGCAACAACCGCUUGACUGGCCCGAUACCGCACUCAUUCGGAUGCUUGUCCGGCAUGCAAUUCCUGAACUUGGCUAUGAACCAAUUUUACGGGCCAGUGCCGGAGAUUGUGUGCCAGCUGCCGAAGCUUGUCAACCUGUCUCUGUCUUACAAUUAUUUUACUCAGGUUGGUCCUGAAUGCAGGAAAUUGAUAAAGAGAAAGGUUCUUGAUGUGAGAAUGAACUGCAUUUUGGAUCUUCCGAAUCAGAGAUCGCGGGAGGAGUGCGGGAAAUUCUUCUCCGAGUCAAAGAAGUGUCCGAACGAGAGGUCGUUGACUUUGGUUCCUUGUGCGAGGAAUCGUUAUACAUUGAAUUUAACCGAGACGUUUGAUAAAAAAUUAACGGCUCCAGCUCCAUCACCUAGGACUUAUGAUGCCCUCAAAAAGCAUUUCUGAUGAUACCUAUCAUCAUAUGUAGUGCAACCAAAUCUGCAUUCAUCCAAGAUGAUUGAUUGUUGCUAUUUGUACGUAAUUCUCCUACGUUUCUAAGUGAUUUAUAUGUUCUCCGUAGAAGCCAUGUAAACUAGUUAUUUCCAAUCCAAUAAAUCAAUUUUUAUUUAAUUAGUCCUCCUUAAUUUGAACAAUGUUGAAAGUACGUACUUUGAUAGAAUUAAAAACACCAGAGAAUAACUAUCGUACAAUAUUUUAUUGCCUAAUUUUAAUUUAUGAGUUUUUCGUAGUUGAUUCCUUAGAAUUUUUGCUCUUAUCACAGAACUUGGCAUGUUAUUAACAAAAAAAAAAAAAAAAACUUUAAGGUGUAACGAAAAUAGGCCGUCCUCAACGAAGAGGCCUCAACGUUGCAGCAAAUAGCACUGCAUCUACAUUUCAAUUUAAUUGGUGUUGAAUUAUUCAUACAAACCCAAAAAUCAAGUACUUUUCCCUUUUACAGAGGAGAUUGAACGAAUUAAUGCAUGAGGCCGUAAAUAACGGUGUCCUGUUUCUUCGAUGGUAGAUUGAAGUAGGGAUGGCAAAACCCCGGGCCGGGUACCCGAAUUUAUAUUUUUUAAUAUUAUAUGUGUAUAUAUAUAUUUUUUAUUUUUUGGUAAUUUUAUAAGUUUUAAAUUUAUUUUAAUAAAAUUUGACAUGAAAAUAUAAACUUUAAGUGUUUAAAACUUUAUAUAUGUAUAAUAAAUGAGUCAAAUAAAUAUAAAUAUUUAAAAUAAUAUAUAUUUUAUAAUAUUUUUUUAAUAAAAUUCGGAUUCCAAGUUUAUCAAGUGAUGCCCAAAACCGACUCAUCUUCAUACCCAGAUCAGGUAAUACCCGACCCACAACGUUUGGGUACGAUCCAAAUCCGGACCGGACGAAUAUUUUUGCCACCUCUAGAUUGAAGGGACCAAAGACUGACUCGGGUCAAUUAAGGGACCAUUAUUUUGCUGCUUUUCAAAAGUAGAAAGAGAAGUUAAGGAAAUUAGGACCCUGCAUGGGUAUGCUGACAGGAGCUAUAAGUAUCUUUAUUUUUCUAUGCCUGAUAUGGACAAGAAAUCAUUAGCUGUAAGGGGUCAUGUACUCAUGUUUCUUGUAGCUGGAGCUGUGGAGCGAGUGGCCAAAACCCACCUAGUUCAGUCAAUGAAUAAGAAGAGUGGGGACCAAUAUUUUCCUGCUUUAACAAAAGCAUAAAGAAAAGCGAAAGAAAUUGUGACGCUGCAGGGCUAUAAGUGCCUUUGUUUUUAUUUCUAUGCCUCGACAUGGACAAGAAAUAGUUAGCUGGCAUAGAGAAGCCUCCGAAAUGUUAAUACUAUUCCUAAUUCCUUGUUCACCAUGCAAAGCACAGAAGAAGUAAAGGUAAUAUUUCCUCAAUUGGGCUUGAGCCCACGAAGGCACAUUUUCAUGGGCUAAUAGAGUUACAUGGGCCUUCAUGGACCUUACUUGGAGGCCCAAAAGUGGACAUCAUUGACUUUCUCAUGAUUACGCAAGUGUUUCCCUCCACAGUUCCAAUUUUCCCACAACUUUAUUAUUCGUGCCUUAGUGAGCGCACUGAGAAAGUGAAAAUCCUUUUAACAUUUGAUCACUGCUUUUGGAAAUAGCUUCUCAACUAUGAUCUAAGACAAUAAUUCAAUAUUGGACUUCAUAUAAUCGAAUGAUUCAAUGUAUGAAAUUGAAUUUCACCAACUCAUCGAUUUUCUCUUUCAAAAAUUUGAGGGAACGAAUGAGUAUAAAUCUCAUAGGACUCCACAAGUGACCAUUAUUUGUUGUGGCUGGUAAUACAUAUAAGAAGUCUAUCAUAUAUCUAGAAGAUUAGCCUAUUAAGAUACCCACCCACCCACCAACCACUACAGGUGCAAAAUUAGCACAUUUUCUAAAUUGAUUAUGACAUCCAUGAUGAACUAACCAAUCCACAAACAUUACAUUGAAAAAUCAUAUAAUUAAUGAUUCCAGUUACUUUACAAAUGAGACCAUCAACAAUACCUAUACUUCUCAUAUAUAAAAUUCAUAUCAAAGUCAUUUAAUACCCAUCUUAAUUCUUUCCGCUUGUCUCCGAUCUAUAUAAUCUCAUACAUCCAAUAUGGAAAACAUUGCCACUUCCAAAAUCAAGCACUUGAAUCUCUACGCUUGCAUCUACUUCCUCCCAUGCUAUCUCCUCUGCGUAAUGUGCCAUGAUUGUUCUCCAAGCCCCUCACCAUCACCUCCAUUAGUACCAGAAGCCUUAACCUUCUUGGACCAAAGGCUUGCGGCCAUUUACCCAAUAAUUCAAACCUUCAAGAACACAAUCACAUCAGAUCCCUUCAACAUCACAAGCACAUGGAUUGGUUCAGAUAUAUGCAAAUACAAAGGCUUCUACUGCGGUCACCCUCCUGACAAUCUCACAGCCAUCGCCCUCGCCUCAAUAGAUUUCAACGGAUUUGAGCUUGCUGCCCCGACCCUUGACGGCUUCAUCGAUCAACUCCCUGAUCUUUCCCUCUUUCAUGCAAACUCCAACAAAUUUUCUGGCACCAUCUCUCCAAAGCUUGCGCAACUUCCAUAUCUUUACGAGCUAGACAUAAGUAACAACAAAUUUUCGGGUACUUUCCCCGUGGCGAUUCUUGGAAAAAAUGACCUAUCGUUUCUAGACAUCCGAUUUAAUUUCUUUACAGGAUCAGUCCCUCCUCAAGUUUUCAUGCAAACCCUAGACGUACUCUUUCUUAACAACAACAAUUUCAUGCAGAAACUCCCUCAAAAUCUCGGUUCCACACCAGCGCUAUAUCUCACUUUCGCCAACAAUAAAUUCACCGGUUCAAUCCCGAGAAGCAUUGGCAAACUUUCCUUCACAUUAAUCGAAGUCUUGUUCUUGAAUAAUUUGCUCACAGGCUGUCUACCUUAUGAGCUGGGGUUUCUGCGAGAAGCCAGGGUUUUUGAUGCAAGUAACAACCGGUUGACAGGCCCACUGCCGUGCUCGUUAGGGUGCUUGGAAAAGAUCGAACGGCUGAACCUCUCUGGAAACUUACUGUACGGACAGGUACCGGAAGUGUUAUGCGCGUUGGAUAAUUUGGUGAAUUUAUCAUUGUCGAAUAAUUAUUUCACUGGAGUAGGGCCUUUGUGUAGGAAGCUGAUCAAGAAUGGGGUUCUUGAUGUCAAUAGAAAUUGCAUCCAUUAUCUUCCUGACCAGAGAUCGACGCAUGAGUGCGCUCUAUUCUUCUUGCAGCCUCGGUUUUGCUUCUAUCCUUCAUGGUAUAAUUUUAUUCCUUGCAGUAAGGUCUCUCCAUGGAGCCAUCCUCAUUCUCCAUCAAGGACAAAUUCUUCAUCAGUUGCUUACAAUGCUCUUGUGAGAAAUCGAUCGUUGUGAGGAAUAUUCUUGUUGGAUUGUUAGAUAAAAGAAACUGAUCGAAAAAUUACUUGUGAAUGAUAUCAUUAUAUUAUACGGUUGACUCUUUUCCUCGCCUGAACACUCAUGUAACUGUGAGUUAAAUUAUCAAUGAUUGAUGGAAGGAUUUUCUAACGACUGAUUCCAUUUUUAACAUCAUAUACUUUUAUUCUUUUAAGGUAAAACUGUUAAUUUCACCUAAAUUGUUUAGAUGAAUUUAUUGACUUAAUUUAUGCAGGUUAUAAGCGACAAGUUUAUAUUUUUCCUUAGCUUUGAAAGAUCACGUGUAUAUUAAUUGUUAUUCUACAAAUAAUCAAAUCUUUUUUAUUAUCUUUUAUUUUAUUAAUAAAUUCCUAGGUCAAGAGAGAACUUAGUUCGUAAGAAGCUUGAUAAAUUUAUUUCGAUAUGGAGCUUCUUUCUUCUUUUUAUAUCGUCAACCUAAUAAGCGAUAUAUUAGUUGAUGAUCGAGUGGCAAGUGAAGAUUGGAAAUAAUACUCGAAAAAUAAGCCAUCUUGAAUUUGUUUCUCCUUUUGCUUAAUGCAUGGAACUGGUGGUUGAUCAUGAACCAGAAUCAAGCUUUCUUUGAAGGUUGAUUUUGAUUGCCUCGCCACUUAAAACGACCUGGAGGAAAACUGGCGAGUAGGAAUAGGCGAGCAGGCGGUUGAAAUUGGGGACAAACUCGAUCAUAACAACUUUUCCACCUAUCCGAAAAUCUAGGGAUUUAUUUUUAUCCACAAAACCUAUAACCACAUGAUCCCAGGGAGUAAGGGAAGUGGAAUCCUAUAAAAAAAAGCCAUAAUCCUAGAAUUUAGUGUUGGGAAAUUGAUGGGUGAAACAGACGUACAACUAAAGUGAAAUUGAGAAAUAAUGAGACAACAUAAUCACAAUGGAACACUAAAUUUUACGUGAUUCGGCUUUUAACCUACAUUCAUGAGGAAAGACAGAAGAAAAAUAUUUCACUAGUUAUAUAAAGAUUACAAGAAUUAUAAUAUUUUGGCUCGCUACCCAGAACCGCAAUACACCCAAUCUCUAAUUCACUAAUUCACUCUCAAAAUGGAUCUGAAGAAGAAGAAAAGAAUAGGAUACUGAGGAGGGAAAUGAAGCCCUCUAUUUAUAGCUUAAUUUCCUCUCCCUUUUUCAAUUAAAAUAAAAAUAAAAACAAAAAUAAAAAUACAAAUAUUAUUUUAUUAUUUUUUCUUUUCCCUUUUUGGUGCGGCACUACUCUUUUUCUUCUUUUUUUUUUUUUCCUUUGUUCCAGUCAAAGAAGGAAGCAGCACCUCCUUCUUCAAAAUGGGUGGGCUCGCCUUCUAGCAGGGUGGUGCCCGCAUGCCAUUUUUAUCAUUCUCCCACUUGGAAAUUAGAUUGUGAACCAAUUAAUCUCCACAUCAUCCUUUCUGCUUCGUCAUUGUCAUGUUGCUUGCAUUUCUACAAGGCCACAAGAGGAUUUACUCCAUACAAACUUAUCAACAUUGAUCAGCUUAGUCAAAACAUCUGUUAGAUUCUCCUUGGUAUAAAUUUUCUGCAAAUCCACACUUCCAUCUUCCAUUACUUCACGAACGAAGUGAUGUUGUACCCCUAUGUGCUUUGCCCUAGAAUGAAAUACUGGAUUCCUUGCAAUAUGCAAUGCACUCUGACUGUCACAAAACACUGUAACCUUUGUAUCCAAAUAGAUUCCUUGCAAACUUGUGUAUCUGCCAUGUAUUCUGCUUCUAUUGUAAAUAGAGCCACAACGGUCUGCAAUUUUGAAACCCAGUUUACAGCUCCUCCUGCAAGUGUAAACAUAUAGCCAGUAAUGGAUUUCAUUUUAGCAAGGUCUCCUGUAAAAUUUGAAUCCACAUAACCACUGACAGUAAAUUCUAUUCCUCUAUAACAUAACGCAAUAUUUGAGGUUCCUUUGAUGUAUCUCAUAAUCCUCUUCACAAUUUUUCAAUGUUCUCCAUCAGGAUUCGCCAUGUAUCGACUGACUUCUCACAUUGCUUGUGUAAUGUCUGGUCUAGUACAUAUCAUAACGAACAUUAAACUUCCCAUUGCUAAUGCAAAUGGUACUCGAGACAUCUUAUUCCUCUCUGUUUCACUGUUAGUACACAUAUUUGAGGAUAACUUGAAAUUAACAGGAAGUGGUGUAGAAAUUGGUUUACAAUCUUGCAUAUUGUAGUAACGCAAGAUUUUCUUCAAGUAGUUUUUCUGAGAAAACCAAAUCUUCAUGUUAUCUUUGCCUCUGUAAAUUUACAUUCCUAGAAUCUUGUUUCCUAGUCCCAAGUACUUCAUUUCAAACUCCUUAGCCAAUUGUGUCUUCAGUUCUUGGACUCACUCUUUGUUGAGGUCUGUUACCAACAUGUCAUCCACGUACAACAAAAAAAUGAUGAAAUCAUUAUCUUUAAACUUCUUGUAAUAUGCAUAAUGGUCUGAACUGAGUCUGCUGUAUCCAAGGCUCAUGAUUAAGGAAUCAAAUCUCUUAUACCAACACCUUGGUGUCUGUUUGAGACUGUAUAGAGAUUUGUUCAACCUGCAAACCAAGUUCUCUUUACCCUUUUUAGCAAAACCUUCUGGUUGGAGCAUAUACAUUUCUUAUUCAAGUUCUCUAUGAAGAAACACAGUUUUCAUAUCUAACUGCUCUAGAUGUAGGUCAAAUGUAGCAUACAUUGCCAAGACUGCUCUGACUGUUGAAGUCGAACCACCAGAGAAAAAUAUCUCAUUGAAGUCAAUGCAUUUUUUAAGAGCAUAUCUUUUCACCACCAAUUUUGCACGAUACCGCUAUACUUGGUAAUUACCAUCACGCUUGAUCUCGUAGACCAAUUUAUUUCCAAUGACUUUUCUUCCACAUGGUAAUUAUAUAAGUUCCUAUAUCUUAUUCUUGUGUAGAGCUUAAAUUUCUUCCUUAAUUGCUGUCAUCCACAAAGCAACAUCUAGACUGUUUAAAGCUUCAUAGAAAGUUGAUGGCUCUCAAUCAUUUAUUAGAAGACAGUAUGCAACAUUGAUCUCUGUGACAUGAUCCGAGUGUCACACUGGUGGUCGUCUCUCACAAGUUGACCGUCGAACUUCUGGGGCCUCAGACUCGACUGGUUCUUAUUCCUCGCGUUUUGGUACUGUUUUAGAAGAAUUUAAAUCUUCUAAAUUAUUUUCCACAUAUACCGGUACAGUCUCUAAAUUUUCAUUCAGAGUGAUCACCUUCAUCUUUUCUUUGUAAUUGAUAUUCUACAAAGAUAACAUCUCUUCUGAUGACGAUCUUAUGGACAGUGGGGUCCCACAAAUGAUACCCUUUUACUCAAUCAGCAUACCCCAAGAAGAUACACAUUCUAAAUUUUGGAUCUAGCUUUGAUCUUUCCUAGGUAUUGUACAUCACAUAAACUGGACAUCCAAAUGCAUAUAGAUGAGAGUAAUCAACUGGUUUUCCAAUCCACAUCUCUAUCAGAGUCUUCAACCCAAUUUUUGUGGAUGGUGACCGAUUUACUAUAUUACAGGCAGUUUUGGCUGCUUUCGCCCAAAAUGAAUUGGGUAGACCCGCAGUUCUCAACAUAGCUCUUAUUCUUUCUAUAAGAGUCAUGUUCAUCCGCUCUGCCACUCUAUUUUGUUGAGGAGUGUAUGUCACCGUGAACUGCCUCUGAAUAACUUCUUGCAUACAAAAAGCAAGAAACUCGCCUUUUGUAUACUCUCCACUGUUAUUUGUCCUUAAGCACUUUAUCCUCUUUCUGAAUUCAAGUUCUACUCGCGCUUUGUAUUGUUUGAAUAUUAGAAACAAAUUUGACUUUUUCUUGAUUGGAUACACCCAACACCUCUUAAAAUAGUUAUCAAUAAAAGUCACAAAGUAUUUUUCACCUCCCAUGGACAUAUCCGACAUUUCCCAAACAUCAGAAUGAACCAAGUCUAGAAUGCAUUUACUUUUGGCAUCAGAUCUGCUGAAGUUCAAUCUAUGCUGCUUACUUGUAACAAAAAUGCUCACAAAAUGGUAAGUUCACCGAUUUGAGCCCCGAAAGCAAUUUUCGCUCAGAAAGAAUCUUCAAACCUUGUUCUGACAUGUGGCCAAGUUUGAGGUGCCACAUCAUCGUUGAUUCUUCUCUAUUUAACGCGACACACAUAUCAGCUUCCUAUAGUGUUUCCCCUUUAAGCGUGAACAAAUUAGUAGUAAUUUUUUCUACUUUCAUUAAGACAAGCGCACCUUUAGCAAUCUUUAUAAUCUCAUUUUCAAUAUGAUUUUUGCACCCAUGACUAUUUAUUUGUCCCGAGGACAAUAGAUUUUUCUUCAAGGUUUUGACAUGUCCCACCUAGGCUUGGCAAAACCCCGGGUCCGGUCCGGGUUUGGUGCAACCCAGGACCGGACCGGACUCUAAAAAUUGAAACCCGGACCCGGACAAAACCCGGCUUUUGCAUGUCCGGUCCGGGCUUGAGCCCGGCGUGUCCCGGGUCCGGGUUUUGUCUCCCGGGCUUCUAAUCCCGCAAACAAUUAUUUCAGGUAAGGCUAAGAAUUUGAACUUAUCUUUUGCAAAUCAAAUGCCGCAAUCAUGUAAUCAGAAUUGAGCUUACAAAAACCGAAGUGGACAGUUCCAUUGAGAUUGGUCGCCCGAGAACAAUGAUGAAAAAACUUAAAAUCAGUUUCAAAGGUGUUCCAAAGUAUUUCUUUGAGGACUUUUAUCAAACAGUUGAGAUUACGGGCAUGUAUGAAGCCUCUUCAGAAUUUUGCUUCUAAGUUUAAGAUUUCAGAUUUUGGAUUUUUGAUGUCAUCACCACCUGUUAAUAAAAAACUAGAGCACAACACCUUAAUUCCGUAAAAGAAACGAGAAGAGAUGAUUCUGACUGUCGAGUGCCGAGGGGCGACGGUGACGGACUGACAAUGGGUGCUAGCCGACGGUGACGGUGGCAGCGUCGCUGCUUAUGCCUUUGGGUUUGGGUGUUUUGCGAUUUGGGGAAUUAGGGAUUUUCGGAUUUGGGUGUUUUGCGAUUUGGGUUUGGGUAACUGGUUUUUUUUUUUUUUUUUUUAAGUUUAUUCAGAAAACGGGUCCGGGUCCGGGUUCUGGGUUUUUGUUGCUGAACCCGGACCGUGCCCGGAAGUGUCCGGGUUUUAAAUUCUGAAACCCGGAUCCGCUUUUUCAGUAUAUGCGGUCCGGGUUUUGCCCGGACCGGAUUGGCCGGGUCCGGGCCGGAUCCGGUCCGGGCGGGUUUUUUUGACACCCCUAGUCCCACCUCCUCAAUUGUGCGAAUUGUACCAUUAAAUAUUUUUAUUUUAAUAAUACCCAUACCAGCGAUCUCCAAGGCAUGAUCAUCUCUCAUGUAUACAGAUCUUCCUAAGAUAUGUUCAUAUGUUUUGAACCAUUCUCUCUAAGAGGUCAUGUGUCAGGUAGCUCCCGAGUCUAUAAGCCAAACGUCAAAUAACCGUUUUCUGCCUUCUGAAACAAUUGCUUCCUCGUUAUAGAGAAUUUCGCCAUCAUCCGAGGUACUUGUUACACACCCCUGAGCAUUUGAUGACUCAGGAUCUUUACCCUAUUUUCUCUUCUGGUUAUUCCAACACUCUUUUUUGACGUGCCAUUUCUUACCACAAUUGUAGCAUUUGACAUUUUUCUUAUUUCUUGACUUUGAUCUACCAUGGUUGUGACUUUCACUGGGGCCACGCUCCGUUGAUCUCUCUCUCGUCACCGAUAGUGCUUCUGAUUGCUGCGAACUUACUUGUAUGUCUUCUUUAUUUUUAUGUCUGCUUUUCUCAUUUAAUAUGGAGGCCGCAACAUCGUUGAAGACUAGUCUGUCCACUUGAUUGUUGUUCAUCAGAUUGAUGAUAAGAUAAUCAUACGAAUCAGGUAGACUCUAAAGUAGAAGCUAUGCAUGUUCAUUUUCCUCUAUUUGAUGACCCAACGUUGUGAGUUGCGAAAAUAGAGUCUUCAAAGUGUUGAUAUGGUCAGUCACCAAUGUAGAUUCCGCCAUUCGAAGAGUAUAGAGUCUCAUUUUCAAGAAGAUCUUGUUGUGUAGUGACUUGGCCUCAUACAACCUUGUGUGAGUAUCCUAUAUUUCCUUUACUGUUUUUUUCUACCACACUGGAUAAUACCCCAUCUGUAAAUGCCAAGUGUAGAUCAACAAUGGCAUUGCCGUCCAUCUCAUUCCACUUGUCAUCAUCAGUUAUCUCCAUGGGCCUUUCUUCAAUUACUGCCAAGCAAUUAUUGUUCCUCAAGAUAACAUUCAUCUUCAUUUUCCACAACGAGAAAUUAUUCCUGUUGAACUUCUCAAUUUCAUACUUUGCCAUCAUUUUGUUGAUAAAUACCGCACGCAAACUAGUGUACCACCUUGAAUAGUUGCGAGUAUGUGUGAAAAUGCAUGCCAGGAAUGUUUUCAGGAAAGACUAGAGGGAUCACAAUGGUCCCACUUAAAACCCAGACUCCUUAGGCUCUUAUCGCAUUUGUGACAGAACUUUUCUAGACAUUUACAAAACCACGUUGUUAUUCCACUCACACUACUAUUCCCUGCUUUGCACUGUAAAAUUCUUGGAUCGCACCCACUGUUUCUUCUUAACAGUACUGUAUACGUCAAUAGUACCGCAUACGUGAACAAUAUCGUUUAUGUGAACAGUACCUGACUAAAAAACAAUACAACUAAUUUCUCGGAUACCACUGUUAUGAAAUUGAUUGGUGAAGUAAGCAUGCAACUAAAGUGAAAUUGAGAAAUAAUGAGACAAUAGAAUCACACAGGGACACCAAAUUUUACGUGGUUCGGGUUUUAUCCUACAUUUACGGGUGAAGACAGAAGAAAAAUAUUUCACUAGUAAUAUAAGGAUUACAAGUAUUGUAAUAUUUUAGCUCAUUACCCAGAACCCCAAUACACUCAAUCUCUCACUCACUAAUUCUCCUCUCAAAAUGGAUCUGAAGAAGAAUAGAAGAAUUGGAUACUGAGGAGGGAAAUGAAGCCUUUUAUUUAUAACUUCAUUUCCUCUUUGUUUUUCAAUUAAAAUAAUAAUAAUAUUUUAUUAUUUUUUCUUUUCCCUUUUCGAUGCGGCACCACUCUUUAUCUUUUUUUCUUCUUUGUUCCAGUCAAAGAAGAAAGCAGUGCCUCCUUCUUCAAAAUGGGCGGGCCUGCUUUCUAGAAGGGUGGUGCCAGAUUUGUCAUUUAGGGGGAUGAAGAGGAGACUCUAUCCAAAAAUCCCACUAUACCAUAAUCUAUAGGGAGAGAUCUGGUCCCUAUAAAAAUCAUAAGAAUGCCAACAAUUGGGGAUUUUUUUUUUAAAAAAAAGUUCUAUCUUAUAUCAUUCUCUAUGUAUCUUAAUGGAUUUACUUUUUGAACUGAUUCUUCAUCCUCACUCAUCUUUAUCCUUCAUUAUCUUGUCUUUACUUCUUCCUCUUAUUUUAAGGGAGAACUUCUUCUUAUGUUUUUCUUUUUGGUUUAUUUUUAUUCAUUCUUACACAAAAUUUAUACACUUGCGUUAUUCCACGAAAAUCCUUGAUACUGACUUGAGUGUCGGAGGAUUAACGUCGGAAAAACUUCCUACACCCCUGACUAUUUUUCUGGUUGCAGUGCUUGCCAGGAUAGAAUUGUACUCGCCAUUUCCGGCUUCCUGGGGUUGGAUUCCUGGUCGUCAACUUCUACUCAGGUUGUUAAAUCAAAGCUAGAAAUCGUCUCUCUACACAAACAAAUUGAAAUGCUGGCAUUGAAAUUUGGUAGGUAGCCCACACAUCAACACGAUCAGAUUUUGGCGUCAACAGGAACCACAUGGAUAAAACUUUUACUAGCUAGCUUUUGAAAAGCAUUAAUAUUUAAAACGCCAAAAAGACACCAUCAACAUAAAAAUAAGAUUACUGUUCAUACUACAAUACCAUUGAGCACACAAAAAAAAUGCACUAUUCAUGCCAGUGUUGUCGAAUCAUCUUAUUGACUCAACAUCAUUUUUCUUUCUUCAACAAUCUCAAUAUAUAGAAACAAGGCUUUGUGCCAUCUGCCGAGUUUCCACGUGGGCUUUUGAUUUGUCUCAACCUCUAGAAAAAAUUUAGAGUACAUUAGAGGUAGUACACCCAAUUAAUGCAUAUAUGCUAUGUAUAGUUCAUUUAAAUAUAACUACUAAUUGUAUAAUGAUUUUUAUAAAACAAAUAUAUCUAUGACAUAUAUGCAUUAGUUGAGUGUGGCACCUUUUAUGUACUCUAUAAUAUCUCUAGUCUCUGAUGUACAUAUAAUCCUAAUGGUAAUAGUGGCUAUGUAGUAUGAUAAAAAUGAAAGUAUAUUUGGUCAAAUAUAUUCAACGUUAAAUUUGAAUGUUAUACGUUUGGACAUCCUUAUAAUAAAAAUAUAUUGUCUACCCCAUUCAUUCCAAAUUUCUCCUGUUUAAAUUAAUCAAAUUUAUGUAACCGUAACCGACGUCUUGUUCUUAAGCUGAAGUGUUUCCAUUACAAUAUAUCAUGAUAUUUCAACUUCGGUACAAUUUGUUAAAUAAAAUUGAUUUUCUUUUAGCACUCUUUUGAAUCUGUUCUCAACCCACAAGUUACCAGUCAUGAAAAAGAUUGAAUAGAUCCGUAUAAUUGUAAGUAUUCAAAUUUAAUAAUAUUUUGGCGCAUAUGUAUAUAAACAACGAUACUCCCAAAAAAGAAUUUUAAAAAAAGUCAACUGUAAUAUGCCACAUAACGGAAAAAAAAUAGUUGAAAUUAAUCAAUCAAUAUUUGAUUUAGGGGUUGAGAGCUAUUGACUCGAUCCUAUAGGUUAAAAUUCAGAGUAUUUUCAUGUGUAAUUUGAGAGUAGAAUUUUCUUUAUUUGACAAUAGACUUUUCUUUUUUAAGAACAUAUUUUUUAGCUAGAUCUCAAAUGAGCUACGUCAAAAUAAGUCCUGAUAGAGAUUAUGUACUUGAAAAAAAAAGUUAUUAUAAUAAUGUGUAGAGAAAAGAGCAAGAAGUAUUUUUAAGAAAAUAAAUAAUUUAUAACACUUCAAAACCGGCACUUUUUUUUUUUUAAUGCCUCAAUCGGAUGUUUUAAAAUCUAUUUCGUUAAUAUAAGUAAAGAUUGGAUACACGUACGCCAUGAAUGUGUCUUCACGACGUUCAUUUUUUUAUAAAAAAAGAAAAAGAAAAAGUGACAAUAGAUUGAGUACUCUAGUUAGGCAAGCAUGCAUGUGACUUUAAAUCUUUAUGCUGACAUUUUUCACGCAUAGAUAGAUUGAGUCCAUAACCGUUGACCGAUCUUAAACGAAUUACAAAACUUUUUAGUGUGGAAUUUUUUUUUUUAUAUAAGUUGUAGCGUGGAUUUAUUUUACUCAAAAUGUAAAAUAUCCCAAUCUUAAUUUAUAUAUGCGAGCAUGACUUAUGAGUGAUGGAUGAUUAAUUGCAUGUUGAUGUCGAUGUUGCACCAAAAGGUAAGCAGCUAUACAUAAAUUUCUAUGUAUUAGUAGUUUUUUUUUAUCCGAAAUCUUAAACUUAAAAAAAAUCGAAAAAAAAACUUUAAAACUAUGAGUUUAAUAGUAUUAUAAAAUUAAGGGAAAUUUUUAACCUACUCCCAACUUAAUUGAUAUUUUGCACUACACAUAAAAAAAAAAAAUGACGUGUGCACUGCGUCCCCAAUUCCGUUAAUUUUUCAGUUAAGUUUAACGGUGGAGGGGUAAAAUUGGAAAUUUAUUCCUUAAAUUAAUUUUAAUGGGAAUUCUCUUUAUUACAAUUGAAAUAAAAAUCUUUAAAAAAUUAAAGGAAAAAUAAUAGUGGUGACAAUGUAAAAAAAAUGACUUUUUUUAUUGCAAUUAAAUUCCGUUAAUUUUUCAGUUAAGUUUAACGGUGGAGGGGUAAAAUUGGAAAUUUAUUCCUUAAAUUAAUUUUAAUGGGAAUUCUCUUUAUUACAAUUGAAAUAAAAAUCUUAAAAAAAUUAAAGGAAAAAUAAUAGUGGUGACAAUGUAAAUGUAACAAGAAAUUUUUUUUAUUGCAAUUAAAAAAACCUUAAAAAAUUAAAUGAGCUAAAAUUUUUGUUUUUUUUUCAUAUAGAGGGGCAUUUUUGUCAUUCAAUCAAAAGUUAGACGGAACCGUUAGAAAUAACUGAAAAAUUAACGGAAUCGGGGGCGCGGUGCAACACGUCAUUAUUUUUUGGUACACGGUACAAAAUGUCAAUUAAUUUGGAGGUAGGUUAAAAAUUUUCCUAAAAUUAAUCUUUAAAACUGUAAAUUUAAAACUGCACAGUUUUAAAUCUUUCUUUAAUUUUCUCGUACUUAAAAAUACUGAAUUAAAAAAAAUUAUAUAUAUAUAUAAAACAAUUUAGAGAAACAUUGAUUCAAAGACAGAAGUUCAUUCCAAUUAACAAAGUCCUAUAUGAGGACAAUAAUUAAAUAACGUGUUACAAUAUUGUUUCGCUGGGGAUUUUGUCCGAUCUCAAUCCAGUCCGAACCUCCAAAAAAGAUCAUUAUUUUGUGACAAAAAUAUACAUUGAUUACCAUUCUUUUCUCCCUACAAAAUGGAAGAAAGCCAUUCCAUUCAGGCUGUGUUUACUUUAUGGAGUGGGAGUGAGGAGUGUGGAUUCCUCUCACUCUAGUGUUUACUUCAACAAAUUGGCUUCGGAUUGGGAAUCCCACUCCGUGAGCCCCAUCCAUUUUUGGAGUGGGGAGUGGGAGUGGGACUCCCAUGGGGAGAGGUGGGAGUGGGAAUCCCCUCUCACCUCUCCCUUUUCUACCUUUUUUAAUUUAAUUUAAUUUAAUAUUUUAUAUUUAAUAAAAUAAAUAAAUAAUAUUAUAUUUAUUUGAAUAAUAUUAUUAUAUUUAUUUUAAAAAUAAUAGUACUAUAUUUAUUUAAUAUUAAUAAUUAAUAAUAAUAAAUAGUUUAUUCUAAGAAAAUAUUAAUUUUGUACUAAAUAAUAUUAUAUUAUUAUUUUAUAUAAUAAUAAAUUUAAUAUAAUUAUAUUUAAUAAUUAAUACUAAUAAAUAGUUUAUUCUAAGAAAAUAUUAAUUUCAUACUAUGUUAAUAGUAAAAAUAUUUCAUUUAUAUUGCCCUUAUCAAUAAUUUUUAAUUUAUAUAAUUAAAAUUAAAAUUAAUAAAAAUUGUGAUGUUCAUAAUUAAGAAUAUUAAUAAUUAUUAUAAAUUUACAAAUAUAAUAAAAUAAAUGUUUAUUCAUUAAAUAUAUUUUUAUUAACUUUGUAAUUAAAAACUAUAAUUCUUUAAAUAAGGAUAAAAUUAUAAUUUAAAACUAUUUACUCCCAAUCUAAGAAAAAGUAAACACAUAAAUUGAAUUUUGAUCUCCAUUUCAUACUUCCAUUUCAGUGUAAGUAAACAACCUACUCACACUCCCACUCCACACUACUAAUCAUAGGAUUCUCACUUUUCAAAAUUCUCACUGCAAUUCAAAAAGUAAACGCCACCUCAAAAUAAUUGCCCAAUCACAAUCUCAUAUCUAGAAAAAACACCAUGGACAUGGGCGUGUCUUGUUUCCAUAAAUUACAAGAACCCCAGUCACAGAAGUCCAGCCUGUUUCAUUAAAACCCGAGGACCAGGAAACUCAUCAACAUCCCAUGCAAACAAACACAAAACUAACUAAACUGCAAAUUUUAUUGCACCGACAGAAAAGACCCAUUGCCCCUGUCACGCUCUCGAUUCCUGCCCGUAACAUCCGCUUUACCCACGUGAUUCACGUGAUCAAAUAUUUAAGGCUGGAGGUAAAAUGUAUAAAUUAAAGAUUUGAAAUAAUAACAUCCGGAUCCCUAUCUAUUUAGACUUUCCAAAGAAUAAUGUACGUUUCUAACAUUUGUAUCAAAUAGUACCCUAAUCUUUUGAAUUAAAUACCCUUUCGUUUUAAGUUUGUGUACCCUUACCUGUGUUAAAAGUUAAAAUAAAAUAAAAUAAAAUAUAGAACGCUUAAAUCUAUAAGAUUUAUUACACAUAAUCUUUUUAAGUUUGAACUACCAUGCUUUCAUUAAAUUUAUUUUCAUUAUCACAUAGAUUUCAAAAAAUAACAUUUAGCAACGUAUUUAAUUUCUUGAAAUAAGUUCUAAUUAACAAAAGAAGAUUUAUAUUUUAUUCUAUAAUAUUGGAGAUUUAUCUAUAUACUGUUAGGCCAAAGGUUGGGGGUUAGACUUCUCGUUUUGUUAGUUAAAAAGAUUUAUAUUUUUCAACGAACUUGUUGAUUUUUGAAACGAAUGAACAAAUUAUGUAUGUAUUAGGGGAAAAAAAAAAAUAAACAUAUAGGGACAAGAAUGUUAUUACUUAAUUUUAUGUCGCCAAUCCCAUGAACCGGAAGUUCUGCGGAUCAUUCUUUAUCCGCAAAGACGCGUGAAGCAUCGUUAGACAUGGAGGCGCGUGCAGAAGAACACAACAGGCCAGAAACAGUUCCCAAGAUUCGAAAUCUGAAGAGUGAAGACAUUUUUGAAUAAAUACUGCUGGAAUUACUACUGCUCGUUCCACUUUUGGCUUCGCCAAAAGGUAACAACUAUCACCACCGACACCUCGCCGUCAAUUCCUUUUAUCUUGUUUGUUUCCAGAGAAAAUGGAACGAUAAUUGAUCCUCUUUGUUUACGGUUGUUGAGUUCAUUUAAAAUAAAAAAUAAAAAUUGACCAGAACUCUUAGGUGUCAAAUUUUGAUUUUUCUUUCCCACCUUCUUUUCAGAAAAAAGCAAAGGAAGCAUACGGAAACCUUAUCUAAUUUCUAAUUUCAAAACUUUUCCACAUUUUAAACCUGUAAAGUUACACUUCUUAAUAUUGUAAAAAAAAAAAAAGAAGGAAAAACUAAAGUAUGGUACAAUUGUAAUCACAGACGGUAGGGUACCCCGUCUCUCAAUCACGCAUCAUCAUCAUCAUCAUCAUGAUGCCCAUCUUCAAUCAAAGAAUGAUCAUCAGAAGAUGAAGGAGAUGACAAUGAUGAAGAUGGUGAUGAACUUUUGCAAAACUUAAAGCUCUGCUCCUCGUUCCCCUCAAUUGGCGCCAUUGGCUCCACCACAAAAUGGGCUAACUUGUCCACAACCUCAACCAAAUUCUCUUCGCACAAGAACUCCUCACUACAAACCCUUUCAACUUCCCUAUUAAAAUCAUGCACAAACACGUGCGUCUUCUUCCGUCCAGUUUUCUUGCUCCUCGCCAACACGCUCGCCGUAAAAAUCGGCGCCAUCCUCCCCGGAGCCCCCGGGAAGUAGCCGCUCGGGCCGUCGACCAAGAUGACAUCCCAGUCCAUGUCGUAAACGUGAUUGGGCAUGUCGUUGAUGGCGAGCUUGCAAUCCGAGAACAGGAGGUUCUGCACGGGCCUGCAAUCGUCUUUGAACUGCUUCCUUACAGCAUGCAGCGUCGGGUUCAUUUCCUCGACUUUGGUCGUGUACUGGACGUCGUAAAUCUCGAAGCCCGGGUGGUUUUUCUCGAAGGACUGGACCAGGAACUCGCUCUCGUCGACAAAGAUGGUGUGGCCCUGGAAGUUCAAGGAUUUCCAGAGGAGGGUCUCGUGGGUGAGGCCGAAGACGAGGAAGUUACAGGAAGGGGAGCAGCGGGAGAGGGCGUCGGCGACUGCGGUGAGCUCAGCUGAGGUCAUGGUGGAGUUGGAAGUGAGAGUGUAGUGGAGCAAGGCGGCAGUUAUGAUGGAGGAGGAGGAGGAGGAGGAAGAAGAGGAAGGGAGAGAUUUGGCGGUAGAGGCGACGGAGGAGGCGGGAUUGAUUGCGGUAGUGAAGAAAGUGAGGGUGAAAGCUAAGGUGAAGAAAGUGAGGAAGAAGAGGAGAUAAAAGCGAUGCGUUGUUAUGGUGGUGGUGGUGGUGGUGGGCUUGUGGAUAGUUGAAGGGCGGAGAAGAAUUAGCUUUGUGUUUAUGUUGUUCUUCAUUUUCUAUUGAGUAUGGUUAUGGUGAGAGACACAGAAAAGAAAAAGUGAUGAGUUUUGCAAGUUUGUUUGGGAUCUUGAAUUCUCUCUAUUUUAUGGUAAUUUUAUUUUUUGGGUUGUGAAGAAAGAGAGGAAUCACGGAGGGAAUUGAGAGAGAGAAAAUCAUACGGAGAUCGAGAAAGUGACUGGAGGUGGUGUGGUGUUAAAAAAAUGGACAGGUGGGGGGCCCUCGGGAUUUUUGCAUUUAUGUUUUGAAGAGAUUAUGUGUCUCUUUUAUGAAAAGAAAAAUAUAUCCCCCCUCCCUAAAUUGAAUGGCAAAAUUUUGAAUUUGGUUGUUGACUUGUUGCCAUGAUUGUGUUUUUCUCUUUUUUCCUUCCCUCAGAUUAAUAUUUUUAAAUUGAAUGUAUAUAUGUUUGUCAAAAUUUUAUUAGAUAAAUGCGUGAAUGGUGCGGUAUGCUCAUAGAAUGAUAGAAUGGAUAUCUUAUUGAUUUUUUUUUUUUAAAUAAUUGGUUAUCAUCAACAUAGAAAUUAAACUUAAUUUCUUUCUUUCUUUUCUUUAAAUAUUAUCUUUAAUCCCUUGACGUUUAUACGAAAUUUGUGAAGAUUACUUUAAUUUGUCCAACAGUGAUGGAAUGAGAUUAGCUCAAAAGUUUACUCAAACUAGAAAGAAUAUAAAACUCGGGAGUAACAACUCGAGGAAGUAAGGAUGUUGAUUUUUCUCCCUAAGAUUUCGUAUCUUUCCUUCAAAUCUUUGCAUUUACUAUAGUUUAAAUAUCGGUAUAUUAUAACCAGCUGCUGCCCUCCAACUUGGAGGGCAGCAGUUCGAACCCCCACAAAAGUAUUGUGGGGGUAUUUCCUUCCUCAAUUAAUUUGAGUGAAAGUAGUCUUCUCCCUUACCCAUGAGUGAGGAGUAGACAUCCCUCGAAUAUUUGUGAGGGUUAAAAUCUGGGCAGAGCUCCAUUAACAUUGAUGUCAAUUGGUUCCAGUAAUAGUCUGAUUUGUAAAUAUCAGUAAUAGUCUCAUGUAUAUGAGUUGUAAUCUGAGCAAUAGUCUCAUGUAAUAAAAAAAAAAAAUAUCGGUAUAUUAUUUUAUUUAUAUAAAUAUAAAGAAUAUAAUUAUAUUUGAAUUUAAAGUAUACUUUUACAAUCACCAAAUGGUUGUGGCUCAGUUGGCAGCGCAGACUGAGUUUGUGAGAAGAGCUAUCGGGCUCGAUCCCCACUAAAUACGCCAUUUAGAAGGGAUAAAGAGCCUUAACUUGUGACUAUACCGCGAAUUCAGAUUAAUCGGGACUCAAUGUGAUCGUCGGAUACCGAAUAUCUUACACAAAAAAAAAAAAUAUACCUUUACAUUGCUAUGAUACAAUCCAAAAAUUAUCAAAUUCACCAAAUAUACAGUCAAUACAAUUUUUUUCCUUUUUUUGAAUUUCUUUUAUAGACAAAAACUUAAUAUAUAUAAUUAUUACAUUAGAUUCGGAUGCUAAUAUGUUGUUAUAGAAGUAAAAUGUCAAAAGUUCAAUGCCAUCAUCUCAUCUUAUAAAUGAGAUGUCGAGAAUUCAAUUUUAAGGAUAUGAUAACUGACACACAAAUUAAUGAGAGGGAAUCUGCUUAAUAAAUAUUUAUUAUAAGUUCUAAAAAGAAAAAAAAAAUGCAAAUAACCUGAAGCGCUAUUGCAAUUUUGAAUUGUUUUGAACCCAAAGUUGUCCACCCAUUACCAUUAGCAGCAGCAACAAACUUUUUCAAAUGUUAGUGUUUACCAACCAGUGACCCCAAAAUUAUUUCUCUUAAUUUUAAGACAACUUUUCCCAAACACUAUGUGCUUUAUUCUUAAUCCAGUUUUAACAAAUGAUUAAAAUUUUGAAUCAAACGGACCAAUUCCAUGAUUUCAUGUUAAUGAUUAUUUCCACAUGCUCUCUAUCUUUUUAAAAUAAAAGAAAAAAUAUUUUACUGUUAAGUGUUGUUCUAGGACAGUACAUAUUUUGUUUUGUUUAUCUGUAUAAAGAUAUGGUAAUAUAUUCCAAACUGAAGGUUUCAAAAUUUGGUUAAGAAGAAGCAGUCAUUAAACUUAUAUUUUGACUUAAUAAGCUAUUAGUGAAAAAUAAUUAUCUACCUAUUUUUUUAAGUUGUUGUUAAAAUUAAAAAAAAAAUUGAAAUAAACAAUUUUUACAAAAUUUACUAAGUACUGUUUUUGUCUCAAACUAUGAUAAAUUUUUUUUUUUUUUGAUUACAUGAGACUAUUGCUCAGAUUAAAACUCAUAUUACAUGAGACUAUAACUGAUAUUUACAAAUCAAACUAUUACUGGGACUAACUUACAUCAAUGCUAAUGGAGCUCUGCCCAGAUUUUUUUAACCCUCACAAAGAUUCGAGGGAUGUCUACUCUUCACUCAUGGGUAAGAGAGAAGACUACCUUCACUCAAUUAAUUGAAAAAAAAAUACCCCCAUAAUACUUUUGUGGGAGUUCAAACUGCUAACCUCCACUCGGCCGAGUGGUUCAAACUAUGAUAAAUUGAUUAUUUUGUGUUAAACUUAAUUCGAGGCCUAAAAUUAUAGCAAUUGAAUGCGUGUCUGAACAGCAUAGAUUAACUAAGUUAAAAAUCUUCUUAUAAUAAUAUUCCUUUUGCUGUCUUUUUCAAGAAGUCAUAGUCUCUAUUUAUGGUUAAAAGGCCACCUGCCAUUUGAAUUCAAUUGGUGCAUAUGCUUUGUGAUGAUAUUCUAUUUUCUUCUGUACUUUCCUCAGUUCUGCUCUUCUAUUUUGCUCUGGUCUUCUCUUAUUAUAGAUAUAUUUUUACCACUACAUGAACAAUUUAAUGAAAAGAUUGUUUGAUGUCCUUGCUGAUAUCUUUGGAUGCAGAGUUACAAGCCUUUUUAAUUCUGGAAAUUGAAGGUGGAGAACCGCUUUGAUUUUCCUCUGUUACAAAAACAAAGAAUGCAAUGGCGAUUAAGAACUAAAUUUUGCUAAGGAUCAAUCAAAUUGAGAUAACGGGUCCCGUAUUAUAGAUUAUGUACCAGUUGAAGAGCUGUCUGGUGAAGCAAGAGAUUCAAGAACCCUCAGAAACAGAAUGGAUCCCUUGUCAUUUGGAGGAGAAAAGUGAUUCUCUGCUUUUUCUUCUUCUUCUUGCUGUUGUUCCUUGAUUCUGACUCUUGGCCGUGGGUACACUUCAAAGCCCAAAAAUAACACAUACCCAAGUAAGAAAAUUGCAUGAAUUUGAACAAAGAUAAGAAAGAAAGAUUUUUUUUCGCAUGAUGUAUAAAUGCUAAUAUUAUAUGGGAUAUGCGUAAUAUGCAGUAAACAUACUCUUUUUUUUUUUUUCUUGGGUUCUGUCUUGUGCUUCUCUAAUCUCCAGAAUAAUCAAAUUGUAGGAUGAGAGCUAAGAUCAAAUAAACAAAUCCCAGAAGAGAAAAAUGAAAGAAACAAAAAAAGCAUAAGAUCUGUAGACUCAGUAUAGGACUUAAGCUAAUUCAAAUGGCUUUGGCUCUUCCUCUAGUGAAGAAUACGGAAUCAGGCACCUUCAUAACGUAUUAAAAGCAAAAGGCAACGGUCUCCGAUGACUCUGAAAAAGAUGGUACUCUGCGUUUCAUUUCUUGACUUGGAAACCAAGAAGCAAACUCAUACUGCUUAGCUAACACGUGGCAGCAAUGGAUCCCCAUAACAUUACCUGAGAGGCGGGGGCUGACAGACGUGUCUGUGAAAUCUGAAUCGUGGUCGCUUUGCUGGGAGAAAAGUGGAAACAUGAUAGCACUCGCGCUCGCAAUAACUCAAUCAAUUAUAAUUUCCCAUUGCGCCACAAUAUUUAUCUUUUCUUCAAAGCUAUUGACACCCAAGUAUCAAUCAAAGUUGUUACAAAUUAUAACAACUUAAUAAUAAGACCGGACAUAAUGCAUUAUAAGUUAUAGUAAUCAAAUAAUUCACACAAUUUAUUGAAACCCUUAAAAGGACAAGGACGAUUGGUAUUGUUUUUGGUAAAACAAAAAUCCGUUUAAAUGAGCUUUAAACAACAAGAAUAAAAUAAAAAUUAAAAGAAUGGAGUUUAUUAAAGUUAUUUUUGUUAAUAAUAGAGAUGCUUAAAUAAUCUACAUUGUAUUUAAAUUAUUUUAAUUGAGUAAAUAAAGAUAAGGAUUUCAAAAGAUUUUUUUUUUUUUGGGAGUAUCAAGAGCCAAACUCCAAAUAUUAUUUUGGGCAAAACAUAGAGUUUCAAAAAGUAACUUAAAAACAAAACUAAAACAUUUUCCGCUGCCGGGAUUCGAACCCGGAUUUCUGAUGUCAAAUUUGCCAUUGUGCUACAGCGGAAUUUGUUUGAAUGGUGCCUAGAAAAUUUUUUUAUCGAUUAUAAUUACAGAUUAACAUAUCACUUUAAUUUUGGGCUUUUGCCAUUUUGACGACUUUACUUUGGGCUUUUUAGGUUUCUGAUGGCCCAACUUCGGUUUUAAAAGAUAAAAGUUUUUUGAAUGAGUUGGACUAUUGGCACCCCUCUCAUCUCCUCAUAAAAUCCCAUUUUUACUUAUAUUCAUUUUAUUUCCGAAAAUACCCAUUCUUUUAGAUAUACUUUUUUAAGUUCUCAUUUUUCAUUUGAUUUAUUUUAUUGUUAAAACUCAAAGUAUUAUUAUGCUAAUUUUUAAUUAUUUUCAAUUUUAUUAUUAAUCUACACACAAAUUAAAAAGUUAUAUGGGUGAUAAGUUUUUUAGUGUUAAUCAUUGGCUAAAAUAACACAAUUUUCAAAUUAUAAUUUCAAAGCAAUUUUAAGUACAAAAAUAUUUAACCAAUAAGAAAUCAAAAGAGAACAAUAGAUUAUUCUAAAUUUGUAUAAUUUAUUUUAGUUAAAUAAGAAGUAACAUAUAGAUUUUUUAUUUUUUUUUGCAAAAGGAUUGAUUAUGAAUUAAGUAAUUUGCUGGAAAAAAUUUAUGUGUUUAAUUUUCAAUUGUUCUUAAUUAUAAUUUUAUUUAAAGUGGAGUUUUUUAAGAAUAAUGUAGGGGUGCCAAUAGCUCCACUCUUUCUGAAUUUGAUUUUGGAAUUAAAAUAAUUAAAAUUUAACGAUUGGCAACAACAUAUUUAGCGUCUAUUUUGAUAACAAUUUUAUUUUCGAAUAAUAAUUAUUGAAUAAUAAUUUGGGACUAUUUGCAUCCAUCAAAUUUCCCUCUACACCUAUUUAAAAAAAUAAAUUCAUUAUUAAAACUUAAAAAUUUAAAAUUUUAAAAAUUUUAAAAUUAUCUUUCAUUAAUCACUUUCUCUCUCUAAGUUCCAAUUGCAUACUCUUAAUUUGUUUUCACAUUUUCCAAACUAAACACUUUAUUUCACUCUUUCUUGGGUUCAUUUUUUUGGGACAUGCGUAAUAUAUAAACAUUUUUUUUUUCUUGAGUCUGUCUUGUGCUUCUAAUCUCCAGAAUAAUACUUCCCUCUCCGAAACCACUUUCAAUUGUACGCAGAAAGAAAAAAAAAGAAAAAGAGAAAGAAGAAAAAUCUCUCAACUUACAGUGGCGCUGAAACCCUCAAAGCAUUCCAUUUUCAUGGCUGUUAGAAUAAAAGCAACAGCUUAUAGAUGUAAUUUUGUGGUGUUCAUUCCGUCACCCUCCAAAGCCCACAACUCCAAAUUCCAAAAAUGACCUCUCAUCUCCAACGACGAAAUUCCCUCAUCAUUUCAGGGAUGGAAGCUCUCUUUCAAAAAUUCCUAAAAGAUAGUUACAGAUCAGGUGAUGUCACUCCAAAUGAAACUCUCUAUUUCUUUGAUUGCACGAUCAAAAUGAAGUCCUUUCCUCUUAUGCCUCCUUCACUCUGUUGUUAAGCGUGCUCACUAAGAAUAAGCGAUGGCUUGAUGCUUAAUAAUGACCUCAAUAGUUGAUACGAACCAAGCUCGAAUGUUGAUUUGAACUUCAAAUUUCCAACCUAAAAUGGAUCAGGGCUCACCAAUGAAACAAUUUCGUGUUUUGAGAAAUGGCAAGCGUAAACUUAGCAUUGAAACUUAGAAUUGCCUCAGUGAUGCAUUAUGUAAAAUGGGCAAACUUGAUAAUGCCUGGCAACUUUUUCAUUCAUCGCUGCAUGCAGGCCCGACACCAAGUGCUGUAACAUAUGCCAUCAUGAUCCAUGGAUUGUGUAAAGAAGGGCAAAUGGGGAAAGCAACUGAUCUAUUGAUUGAUAUGGAAGUAAAAAGGUUCGGAGCCCAAUAUAUUUGCAUUUAAAACGCUUAUGCAUGGCUUCAUCCAAAAUAAUGAGACAUCAAAAAGUGAUUGAACGCCUUCGCAAAAUGGAAAAGAAAAAUGUAACGCCAGAUGCAUCUAUAGUUUCUAUAGCAAUAGACUUAGUUGCAAAGGGUAAAUUCAGUUUCGACUCGCUUCCUUCAUUCCCUGCGUGAAAGUGCAUGAAAUGAAAGCUAAUGCGUUGAAUUUUUGAGUAGUGGCAUGUGUUUUUACUAUACAAACCAGAUGCGGAGAACUCCAUUCAAUAUUAAAGGAUGCGUUGAAUUUCUAGGUGUGUUGCCAAAUCAUUGCACUAUUCGCUGGUGUUAUUCGUGGAGUCUUUCUCAUUGAAUCCACUCAAACUAUAGGAAUAGUCUCUUUUAAUACAAAAACUUUAGCCUGCCAACUUACUUUGUAAACUCAUAAUGACAGCUUAAGUUUCUUGUGUGAAUGGUUUAUUUGAAAGUUUCGGUUUGGAUUUAUUUUCUUUGAUAUGUUGUACUUCCAUUUGAUAAUUUAGGCAAACCAUGAGUAAUAUGAUGACAUGAAAUAGUGGCAUCAAUUAAAACGAAUUUAAUAACACGAAUAUCAUUUAAUGAAAAAGUUUUGCUCCAGAACUUCUAUAUGCUUUCUCUGUCCUUUUAAGUUUGGUUCCAAAUGAUCAUUCUUUAGACUCUUUUUAGUGUAUGACCUGUUUCCUUUCUCUUAUUUAAUUAUAUUCGCAGUUUGGGUUUCUUUCUUGCUAGAAAGGUUUAUUUUUAAACCGUCUAUUGGAUUUACUAAUAUGUGAUACUUCUAUUUGAUGAAAUUGAGCAUCAAUUGAUAUUUUUCUUAUUGCUGACUUUGAAUUUUUAAAAUUUCUGGAUUCCUCAGCCAAAUUGUUCAAGGAACCGGCAAUUCCACAAAAAGUUAUUAUAUAGAUCUUCCUAGAGCAGAUUUUAAUUUAUGUAGCAUUUUCUAAAAGCUGAACAAGGAUUUUUAUUUUUAUUUUUUUCUGAAGGUUGAUAUUUUACAACAAUGAAAAAGUAACAAGAACAAACUUCCACAAACGUACGUGACAUAUGAUUUCUGGCGUCUUGUAGAAGUUCUUAUAAUAAAUGGCUACGCAAGCUCAAUUCUUCGAUCAAAGAGUUCAAAUUUGAGAAAGACGAACCUCCAUUUUCAACAGCUCUCUGUGCCAUCUCCCCAAAAGCUUUGGCUCUGCUCCUCAUCUGUUCUGCCUUAUCACCCACCAUUAUUUCUUUCACUGCCUUUUCAAUCCUUUCCCUCCUCACAAAUCCUCUCUCAGUUGUAGACGAUUUCCCAACUCCAACAGCAACACCAAUCUUAAGAACCUGAGUCACUAACUUUUCAUUGUAAAACUGAUCCGCGAAGUGCGGCCAUGUCACCAGAGGCGCCACAGCAACCACUCCUUCGAGAGUUGAAUUCCAUCCACAAUGUGUUACAAAACCUCCGACAGCUUCGUGAUCAAGUAUCAAAACUUGGGGUGCCCAUCCUCUUAUGAUUAGUCCUUUGCCUUCCAUUCUCUUCUCAAAUCCUAGAGGCAACCAGUCUUCCUUUUCUUCUUCACCACCACUAUUCUUGUUUUUCCUCACAAUCCAAAUGAAAUUUUGCUCCGAAGCUUGAAGCCCCAUUGCAAUCUCCGUUAGCUGAGCAGAAGUGAAGUUGGCUAGGCUUCCAAAGCAUAGGUAAACAACAGAAUUGGGUUGCUUUGAUUUCAGCUAGUUUAAGCACUCCUGUGUAUAAUCAGUUGAAUCUUGCUUUGCCCUCGAAGCUUUAUCAUUAUCUGUCCUGUUGCAUAGUGAAACAGGACCAAUAUGCCAUGCCCUCCUUCCCAAAACCUUCCUGUAAUGAACAGCAUAGGCGGGUUCAAGCUCGUAAAAGCUGUUGACAACAACACCGUAGCUCUUUAACUCAGAUUCUACAGCUGCUUUGAACAACCUGGAGAAGUCAGUUUCAUCAUCCUGUUUCAUAGUAUCUGGCAACUGGUUUCUUGUGAGCCUGAUAUCACCCGGAAGAUUAGGGAUCACAAAUGGUUCUGAAACUGAUGAAACUUUCUUGUGCGGUUCAUAUAGCAUUAGGCAAGCUGUUGCACACAAAGACAAGAAACUGGUGCCGUGAAACACCAGCCUGGGAAUCCCAAACUUGGCAGCAGCAUCAGUGGCCCAAGGAAAAAGCAUGUCAGCCACCAAGCAAUUCGGUUUAUGUUCUUGCAAGCUCAAGAGGUUCUUGGAGCAUGGUGACGCCCUUCAAAAACUUCACUGGCAUGUCUGGCUGACUAGUCAUUUCGUUCAGAUUUUCAGAGCCCUCCGGCAAACCAACUUCUACGGAAGGAAAUUUGAUGGUCUUGAUGUCAAUUUCGAUACCCAAUUCAUUGGCUCUUGGGAUAGCUUUUGAAAAAAGAGUCGCAUUGGCCGGAGUUGUGAUUACGGUGGUUUUCACCCCUCGACUUCCAAACAGCUUGGCCAUGUCCACCAGUGGGAUCAUGUGGCCAUGAGCCAUCAAUGGGAAGAAGAUAAUGUGAAGCUUACGAAUCUCACCGGCCAUGCCUACUUCUGUUAGCAAGCGCAGAAACCAAGACCAAGGGAAUUAUUAAUUAAAAUAGAAAACAAAUCUCACGUUGUGAAUCCUAGACCACUCAUUAUACGUUGAAAAUCAGUGACGAAUAAACUCUCACUGACGUUUGAAAAUGAAACGACAUCAGAAAAUGCUCAAAGCGGUCGUGCUAAUUCAUAUUUCCUUUUCAAAAAUGCCAUUUAGCGUUUGCCUUUAGUACUGGAAAAGAACCCGUGAGAGGUGCCUCAAUCUGUGAACCCCAAAAGCAGCACCACCAAUCUUAAGAAGCCGAGUCACCCACGUUUCGUUGAAAAAUUGCUCAGCAAAGACUGAGAAGGGGCAUUCGACCAUAGACAAGCCAGUUGUUAGUCCUUCCUUCCACAAUGUGUCACAAAUCCUUCAGUAGCUUCAUGAUCAGAUCAAGUAUCAAAACUUGUGGUGCCCACCGGGCCAUCCUCUUGUAAUUUAGUUAGUCAUUUGCCUUGAUGCAUGCUCUAGUCAAAUCCAUGAGGAAACCAAUGAAUCUUCGUUUUUUUUUUUUUUUGGCAGUAGCGUACGUAGAAGCUGACCCAGAAACUAGCUGCUGCCGCCGUACGCCAUCGAAGAUGAAAUAUACAAGGUUUUAGGAAUAGGGCUCGAGCAGAACUGUCUGUUUCGGUUCGGUUUCCACUUUCUAAAUAUAUAUAUAUAUGUAUUCCAUCUGACAUUUACAAUGUCGUAAAAGAUGCAGGUCGGGCGCAGCGCAUGGACGGCUAGUCGUCUAUUUUACUACGACAUGACAUAUGAUACUAAAACUUUGAUACGACAAGACGUUUAUUUUUUUAAUAAACAAACGACAAAGAGAUCGCUAAAUUUGAAAGCCUGAACCACUACUGCAGUUGGCGUCAAAACUAACAAACUCUAAAUCCUUCUUCAAUUACAAAAUUCCACACCACCCACAGAUAUGAGCAAAGAUUAUUUAAUAAAGUUGGCAAUGCUUCCAAAGCAAAGCAUAUGUAGAUAACAGAACUGGGUUGCUUGGGAUUCAGCCGCUUCAAGCACUCCUGUCCAUCUAUGGCAAUUUUGCCUUCCGGCUUUCCCCUUAAAGUAAGGGUGUUCAUAAUCCAAUCCGAUCCGCUCAAGCCGUCUGAUUUGUAAAAAUUUGAUCUGUAAAAAUCUGAUAUGUGGAUUAGUGGAUUGGAUUUGAUUGAAAAUUUAAAAAUUCGCAGUCAAUGGAUUGGAUAUGGAUUUACUUCUGUAAAUCCACAAAAAUCCGCGAAUUCGCAAAAAAAUAAAAAAUAUUUAUUUAUUUAAUUAAAAAAAUAAAACUUGUAAAUGUGGCAUUACUACUUACUAAUAAAUAAAUAAGUUAAAAUAUAAUUACAUUAACAUUAUACAUAUCUUAUCCGAUAAUAAUAUAUAAUAAACAUGAUUAAAUAAUUGAAUAACUGAAUAAACAAAUAUAGCUUUCCAAAUAGUUAAUUUUUAUAAUUUUAAUUAAUUUUCAUGUAUUGAUUUAAACAAAUGAGAUUUUUUUUUCAUUAUUUUAUAUUUUGAGACUUUGAAUGUAUUAUUCUAUCUUUAUUUAAAAACUUAAUAUAUGAAUGUAUUAUUCUAUUUUUAUUUAAACACUUAAUUUAUUUAAAUCUUAUUCAAUUUUGAAUUUCAUCGGUAAUAAAAAAGUUUUCACAUAAGAUUUUUUUAAUUUAAUUAGUUCAUAGAAUGAACAUAAUUAAAAAAUUUUAAUCCGCAAAAUCGUGGAUUAAAUAUGGAUUAGGUCAAAUCUGCAUCCGAUCUGUAGACAUAUGAAUUGGAUUUGGAUUGAAUUCGUCAAUCCGUAGAUUAGAUUGGAUUAAAAAUUUAUAAUCCGCAAAAUCAUGGAUCGGAUAUGGAUUAAUGUUCAAUCCGCAAAAUCCGAUCCGCGAACACUAUUACCUCAAAGCUUUAUCUUCAAAGUUCCUAUUCCUUAGAAUAUUUUUACAGUUACGUCAAUCGGCUUAAAUUGUAAAAAAUUCUUACCUAUUAUUAAUUUGAACAAAUCAUUCUUGUCACAUAGAAUUGACAACUAAUGCACUUUAUUAUUCCUAGUUAUAAUUGAUACUUUCUCCAUUGACAAUUAUGAUCACGAUGCCGCUACAUACUUUUGUGAUUUUGUGCUGAAUUAUAUAACGAGCACUAAAAUACUUGAUAAUUAACAUUAUGAUUUAUCACGAGCAAAUAAGUUGAAUUAAAUAAAAAUGACGAUUCAUACAUAUAUGUCGAUUAAUUUCUUCACCUGUGAUUGGUCAUCGAUGGGUCGUUGUCUUUGUUUAUGUCCUUGUGAUUGGCUGCACUUGAUGUUUUACUCACCUACUCAUUGGUUGUUGUCUUUUUAAGUUGCUGAGAUUAUGACUGUAAUAAUUGAGAUUGAUUUUGCUCAUUAGAUUUAGUAAACUAAUGUUUAGAUGGAAUGUGAUUCUUUGGAUAUCUUGUUGGUUUUAACAAUCAUAAUUUUCAUCCUUCCUGGCGACAUCAUUGCAAGUCAUAAUCAAUGGUGCGCGCGAACUAUUUUCUUCAAUGGAGAGUAAGAGGUGUAGAUAUGAUGUUGAUAGCUGUAAUAUUUGAUAAACGGCCACUGUAAGGAUCCAAAAAUGGAGAAUGCUGGCCAAACGUCAUUACAAAUGGCACCUUGUUUGUUAUUAUAUAGAUCUUCCGGAGCAGAUUUUAAUUUAUGUAGCAUUUUCUAAAACCGUAACAAUGUAGCUGUAAUCAGAUUACAUGUUUUGCCAUGAACAUAAUCCUUGAAACUUGGUAGAAGGAAAACAAGAGAUUGAAAAGAACAGAGAACCUGACCCUGAGUGCCUGUUUCUUGUUACAAAACGGGCAUGUAUAUUGUUCAUUGUACAUUUCUAAUAGCUGAUCUACAUGUAUUCUUUAAUUUUAAUAGCCGCCAGCAGAUAUUAAAACUCAACAAUGAUUUCAUUUUCUUUAUGAAGGUUGAUAUUUUAACACUCUUCUGUCAGAAGUUACAUUAACAACAACGAAAAUAAGAACAAACAAAAACGAACACGCUAUAUAUAUGAUUUUUGGCUUCUUGUUGAAUCUCUUGGAAUCAAUGGCGACGCAAACUCAAAUCUUCGAUUAAAGAGUUCAAAUUUGAGGAAGAUGAACCUCCAUUUUCAACAGCCCUCUUGGCCAUCUCCCCAAAAGCCUUGGCUCUGCUCCUCAUUUCUUCUGCCCUGUCACCCAUCAUUAUCUCGUUCACUGCCUUUACUAUUGCCUCUCUCUUCACAAAAUCCCCCACGAUUCUACACCAUUUCUGGAUUCCUACACCAAUACCAAUCUUAAGAACUUCAUUCACUAUCUUUUCAUUGUAAAAUUGCUCAGCAUAGACAGGCCAUGUCACCAGAGGUACCCCAGCGGUCACCCCUUCAAGAAUUGAAUUCCAUCCACAAUGCGUCACAAAUCCUCCAACAGCUUCAUGAUCAAGUAUCAAAACCUGUGGUGCCCAUCCUCUUAUGAUUAACCCUUUGCCUUCCAUUCUCUUCUCAAAUCCUUCGGGCAACCAAUCUUCCUUUUCUUCUUCACCGCCAUUAUUCUUGUUUUUCCUCACAACCCAAAUGAAAUUUUGCCCUGAAGCUUCAAGCCCCAUUGCAAUUUCCAUUAGCUGAGCAGAGGUAAAGUUGGCAACACUGCCAAAGCAUAUGUAAACGACAGAGUUGGGUUGCUUUGAAUUCAGCCACUUCAAGCACUCCUGUUCAUCAACUGAGGCUUGCUUUCCCCUCAAAGCUUUAUCUUCAAAAUUCCUAUUGCAUAAGGAAACAGGGCCGAUAUGCCAUGCCCUCCUUCCCAAAGCCUUCCUGUAAUGAUCAGCAUAAGCAUGCUCAAGCUCAUAAAAGCUGUUCACAACAACACCGUAGCUCCUUAAGUCUGAGUCAUCAGAUGCUUUCAUGAACCUGCUGAAGUCAUUAUCUCCCAUAUCCUGUUUUGCAGGAUCUGGCAAUUGGUUUCUCGUCAGCUUGAUCUCACCAGGAAGAUUAGGCAUCACAAAUGGCUCUGAAUCUGAUGAUACCUUCUUGUGUGGCUCAUAUAGCGCCAGGCAUUUUAUUGCACACAACGAAAAGAAACUAGUACCAUGAAACACCAACCUGGGAAUCCCAAACUUGGCAGCAGCAUCAGUGGCCCAAGGAAAGAACAUAUCAGCCACCAAACAAUCUGGUUUAUGUUCUUGCAAGAGCUGCUCAAGUGGUUUUUGGAGCUUCGUUGUGGCCAUGUAAAACUUGACAAUCAAUUCCCUGUUCACUUCAUUAGUGAUUGCGUCAAGAUUUUCCCAUCCCUCUGGCAAACCGGCCUCCGCAGAAGGGAACUUGAUGAUCUUCACAUCCAAUUCGAUGCCCAAUUCACUGGCUUUUUGAAUUGAUCUUGAUAAGUGAGGCGCAUUAGCUGGAGUUGUGAUGACACUUGCUUUCACCCCACGAGUUGUAAACAACUUUGCCAUGUCCACAGUUGGAAUCAUAUGGCCAUGAGCCAGGAAUGGAAAGAAGAAAAUGUGAAGCUGACAGAUCCCACUGGCCAUGCCCGCUUGCUAUAGCCCGCUUGCAGAGACCAAGACAAUGGUUAUUAUUGAUUAAAGUUGAAAAGAUAUCUCAGUUUAUGCCUGUCUGUUCAUUAUAUGUACAAAAUCAGUGAAAAAUAAACACUCGCUUACGUACAGGGAACUAAGUUCAAAGCAUGAAACUUUAUUGACAAACCAAAACGCUGAAAGUAACACAACAAAUUCACAAUAAUGUGAAAAAGAAUAUUCACCGAAUUUACCAUUCCCGCACAUUCCACGCUAGUCUCGAAUCCGAGUGACUGUAUUGCUAUAUUAUAUAUUAUGGGACCGCUAAAGUUUGACGAUUUCAAUUAACGACAAUCAAGAAUGGCUAAAAGUCGUCCUGUUAUUAGUGCUAUUUUCUUUAAAAAGGUUAUCCCAGUGUUUACCUUUAGCAUUGAAAAAGACCUUGGAGUUAGAGGUGCCUCAAUCUCUCAACUCCAAAAGCACACCAAUCUUAAAACGCUGAGUCACCAACUUGUCGUUUUAAAAUUGCUCAGCAGAGACUGAGACAGGCCCUGUCACCACAGACAAGCCAGCUCUCAAACGACAAGAAAAACUUUGUGAAAUUGGAACGGCCUGAACCACAGUUGGCGCCGGAGCCCAAAACAAACGUCUUAAUCCUUCUUCUUCAGUUGCAAUUUCACACAAAAAGAUACGACCAGACUCUCCAGAAUUGCACCAACGUGAGCAAUUCCUAUACGGUAUGAGACAAAAUUUAUAACUACCACGUUCGCAUUCACAUAUCAAUGAGACAAAUUCAUAAUUGCCCAAAACAAAACUUAUCGCAUCAGAAUUACCCUUGGUAUUCCUGGAGACCCGACCUCUUUAUAUUCAUUAAAGACAAACUUGAAUAUUUUCUCUUCAAAAUUCCUGUUCCAUAGAAAUAAGUCAAUUGAAUUAACUGUAAAAAUAUUCUUAUCAAUUAUUACUUAGUGAAUAUGAACAAAUCAUUCUUCUCAUUUAGAAUUAACUACCAAUGCAUUUUAUAAUUCUUAAUUAUAAUUGAUAUAUACUUUCUCCAACACUAAAAUUCUUGUUAAUUAACAGAAAGAUUUAUCAUGAGCAAAUAAGUUAAAUCUUAUUUUAUAUAUAUUUUUUAAACUGUAAUUGGAUUGAUUGGUCAUCAAUCGCCUAUUGUUGAAACAAGGUAGAACGAGGGGAAAACCCAAAUUGAUUUUUCUACCGCUCUCAAAAUUUUAAGUGGGAAGCCAAAUAAAUUUAAUUGAAAUUAAAUAAAAAUGGUUGAAAAUUAUUUCCGCCAAUUCCUGAUUUUCUCCUUUUGUUGCAAACGUCGCCAACAAACCAAAUGCUAGCUGCUGUUCAAGGCUCAAUCCAACCAGCCAAUUGGGAAUCACCCCAAUACGACAGAAUCAAGAACAAAGACAAACAAACAUGCUAUUACGAUACAUCUAGCUUUGUGUGAGUUUAGCUGCUUUGAUGGCGACUUAAACCCAACUCCUCAAUAAGAGCACUCAAAUCACAGUACGAUGAACCUCCAUUUUCAACAGCCCUUUUUGCCAUCUUCCCCAAAGUCUUGGCUCUGCUCCUCAUUUCUUCUGCCCUAUCACCCACCAUUAUCUCAUUCACUGCCUUUUCUAUUUUCUCUCUCUUCACAAAAUCCCCCACAAUUCUACACCAUUUCUGGAUUCCAACACCAACGCCAAUCUUCAGAACUUCAUUCACCAUCUUUUCAUUGUAAAAUUGCUCCGCAGAGACGGGCCAUGUCACCAGAGGUACCCCAGCAGUCACCGCUUCAAUAGUUGAAUUCCAUCCGCAAUGGGUUACAAAUCCUCCAACAGCUUCAUGAUCAAGUAUCAAAACCUGUGGCGCCCAUCCUCUAAUGAUUAGCCCUUUUCCCUUCAUUCUCUUCUCAAAUCCUUCGGGCAACCAAGCUUCCUUUUCUUCUUCACCGCCAUCAUUCUUGUUUCUCCUCACAACCCAAAUGAAAUUUCUCCUCGAAGCUUCAAGGCCCGUUGCAAUCUCCAUUAGCUGAGCGGAAGUAAAGUUGGCAAUGCUUCCGAAGCAUAUGUAAACAACAGAAUUGGGUUGCUUUGAAUUCAGCCACCGCAAGCACUCUUGUUCAUCAAUAGAGGCUUGCUUUCCCCACAAAGCUUUAUCUUCAAAAUUCCUAUUGCAUAACGAAACAGGGCCAAUAUGCCAUGCCCUCCUUCCCAAAGCCUUCCUGUAAUGAUCAGCAUAAGCAGGCUCCAGCUCAUAAAAGCUGUUCACUGCAACACCAUAGCUCCUUAAGUCUGAGUCAUCGAUUGCUUUCAACAACCUGCUGAAGUCAUUAUCUCCCAUAUCCUGUUUUACAAAAUCUGGCAAUUGGUUUCUCGUCAGCUUGAUCUCACCAGGAAAAUGAGGCAUCACAAAUGGCUCUGAAUCCGAUGAAACGUUCUUGUGUGGCUCAUAUAGCGCCAGGCAAUUUGAUGCACACAAAGAAAAGAAACUAGUGCCGUGAAACACCAGCCUGGGAAUACCAAACUUGGCAGCAGCGUCAGUGGCCCAAGGGAAGAAUAUAUCGGCUACCAAACAAUCUGGUUUAUGAUCUCGCAAGAGCUGCUCAAGAGGUUCUUGGAGCUUCGUUGUGGCCCCGACAAACUUGACAAUCAAUUCCUUGUUCACUUCAUUAGUGAUUGCGUCCAGAUUUUCACAUCCCUCUGGCAAACCGGCCUCCACAGAAGGGAACUUGAUGGUCUUCACAUCCAAUUCGAUGCCCAUUUCAUUGGCUCUUUCUACUGAUUUGGAGACGUAAGGCCCAUUGGCUGGAGUUGUAAUGACACUUGCUUUCACCCCACGAGAUGCAAACAACUUCGCCAUGUCCACAAUUGGAAUCAUGUGGCCGUGAGCCAUGAAUGGAAAGAAAAAAACGUGAAGCUGAGGGACUUUACUGCCCAUAUUCAACUUCCGAAUCAAAUACAACGAUAGACUAGAAUUAUUAAUGAAUGCAACUUUGUUAUUUUUCUGUGUUUCGAUAACCAACUAUGUGUGUGUGGACUCAAGAAAGCCGUAAAAUAUAUAGAACACAAGAAUUGGAGAUCAAGAAAUGAUGAAGACUUGGGAAUAUUCUAAGAAGAGGAUUAAUGGUCUUCGAUUCACACGCGUCUUUCUUGCCGUCACCACCUUGCUUUGUGCGUCAGCUUCUUUCACAGUAAUUAAAAGAAAGAAACUUAACCCCUCUGUCAAAUUUUUUGUUUCUUCCCUUGGCCGCAACAGUCUUGGUUCUCAUAUUAGUCAAAGUUUUAUGUAUUGACAAUAAAGAAUGGAUGUUUUAAAAGAAUUUAGAUAAUGAUCUGUGCUGUGAAUAAAAAAACACACUACCAUAUUGUUAUUUUUAUUUAAUUUAUUGAUAAAGCACAGAAAGAAAGCUUAAAAGUUUUCCUUGAAGUUUCCAUCGUGCCAAGUUGAAAAGGACAAAUGAAAAUUAAAAAAAAAAAAAAACUGGCUUCGUCGAUGUCUCUUCGUAGUUCAUAGAGACAAGAACAUGAUUACGUUGUUACGUAAGCUCAUACGUUGUUUUUUGUCAGGGUCACGAAUCAGAAUCCACAUGUCACAAUUGGCAUGGUUUGAGUAUCUAGUGCAAUCCUUGAGCAGUUGCGAUUGGCUAGGAGGAUGAUUCUACAGCUUCAAAGAUUAGCUUAUCCCUAAGUGUCUUACUAAUUUUUGAAGCUGGAUAUUUGUCUAUUCUCUUCUUCUUCCGGGCAACAUUGUCUCUAGGAGCCAUAACUAAAAAAGGAGGGAAAAGAAAAGAAAAGACACUCACCAAGGAAAUUGAAAGCCAAAGCCCUGAGCUCCACGAGGUGGGCGAAUGGUGCAAAGGGUGGUUUAUAUAGAAAUGAAUAGAGAGAAAAACAAAUUGAGCUUUUAUGCUUUUGGUUCUGGUGGAACGAGAAACUAAGAGAUAGGGAGUAGCUGUUGUAGAACAUAUAAAAAAUCAAUAAAAAUGUGCGGAGAAAUUGAAAAAAAAAAUGCUCUCUAAGGAGCAAAAACCCCCAGAGUGGGGAGCAGAAGCCACAUCCCCAAGAGUGGGGAGCAACAGGGAGCAGGAGUCAUGCUCCCCAAGGAGCAGAAACCAUGCUUCCCAGGAGGCAAGAGUAGGAACCAUACUCCUUAGGGAGUAGGAGCAGGAACCAUGCCCCUAGGGAUAACAAUAACAAAAUAAGUCGUGACCCAUGGGACCAUUAACCUGAUUUUGGAUUAUGGACCACACAGAAAAGCCAAGUCUAAAUAAAGAAACUAUUGUUGGAUUAAGUUUAGCAAAUAAAAGUUAACAAUGGAAAGAUAUUACUUGGUCCAGAAGUAAAUUAAAUAAAGUUUGACACAGAUAUGACCAAUAAAAAGAUAAAAAAAAAUAUUUUGUAAUUCAAACCCUAGAGAAUAGAGGAUAAUUAGGAAGAGUUAAAAUAAGAAAUGUACUUUAUCUAUAAAAUGCUAUAAAAUCAAAGGCCUCUCUUGGGGGAUGAGCACUGAAAAAGUAGUAAAGAGAGAGAGAGUUGAAUUGUAAUUGCAAUCUUAAUAAAAGAUUUAUUUUUUUUACCCGUGGAUGUAGUCUGAAUGCCGAACCACUUUAAUUUUAUAUAUCUUUUUUAUUAUAACGCCCCGACCUAGAUUAAUUCCAAUGACAGUGUGUCACAAAUCCUCCAAUAGCUUCAUGACUAGUUCAAGUUCAACUAGCAAAUGUGUCGCCAUAUGUAAUAGUAUAGGGUCAUGUUGAUGAUAAGGUUUUGCAAAAGCAUUGAAGCUGAACUAGAAACUAAUUCUUGCUGCCAUAUACUAUCAACAAUGAAAUAUACAAGGCUUUAGGAAUUUGGUUCCAACAAGUGAUGUAGGUUGGUUGGCGUAGGAUGAGCACGGUAUCUUUUAGAUGGCAUAAUUUGGACUACAAAUGUCCUAUGCAUAUAAUAUAUUAUCUCAAAGCUUGCGAUGAGGUAAAUCAAGCCAAGAACUGCUUAUGCCAUUUAGCUCCAUGGCCGAGCCAAAAAUUUUGUUUCGUUUUUGCUCGCUUUCCUAUUUUUAGUUAUUUUCUUAUUUUUCCUAUAACUUUUAAGAUUUUUUUUAAUUUUUUAAAUAUUAGAUUUAGGUGCCAUUUAUUAUAUUUUCUUCAUUAAAUUAGAAGAAUUAUAUUGUAAAAUAAUAUUUCAAAUUUACCUAUUUAAAAUUUUAAAAUUAGUAUAAAAAAAUUUUAAAAAUCUAAUUUUGUUGAUUCAGACUAUCAAAUAAUAUUUCAUUGUUCAAAAACUUAAUUUUUCUUAAUUAUGAACCUUUUUACACUUCCACAUCGCGACCGAGCAGUGUCUAUUUUAGCUUGGCUUCGAGAUUGAAUGAUGAAUCAAUCCAUGCAAUGGGCGUUCAUUCUUGCACUGCGGGCUACUUGGAUGCGUCUCUGCUCUGCGGUGAACAACAGGCCAUCCUCUUUCUAAAUACGUAUCCGAUCUGACGUUUACAGGCUUUAAUAAGUAAACGACUUUCAUGAAAGACGCGUCGGCCCAAUUCUUGGACGAUAUGUCGUCUACUUUAUAAUGACAUGACAUCUGGUUCUAGAACCUACAUACGAUAAGAUGUUUAAGUUUUUACUAAACAAACGACAAGAAAAACUUUGUGAAAUUUGAAAGGCCCGAACCACAGUAGGCGCCAGAGCCCAAAACAAACAACGUCUUAAUCCUUCUUCUUCAUUUGCAAUUUCACACAAACGGAUAUGAGCAGACUCUCCAGAAUUGCACCAACGUGAGCCACUCCGAUACGAUAUGAGACACAAUUAAUAACUACCAUGUUCGCGUUCAGGUAUCAAUGAGACAAAUUCAUAAUUGCUUAGAACGAAACUUAUCACAUCAGAAUUAUCCAUGGUAUUCCUGUUAAUUGACAGAAAGAUUUAUCAUGAGCAAAUAAGUUAAAUAUUAUUUCAUAUGUUGAUUUUUUUUUUUUCAAAAAACCUGUAAUUGGAUCGGUUGGCCAUCAAUCGCCUAUUGUUGAAAAAAGUUAAAGAGGUAGGGAAAAACCAAACUGAUUUUUCCACCACUCUCAAAAUUUUAAGCAGGAAGCCAAAUAAAUUUACUUGAAACUAAAUAAAAAUGGUUGAAAAUUAUUUCACCAAACUUGCGGGAAGAGUAUUUGACAUCAAAAUUCAUCCAUAACUGGACGUAUGAAAAUAUAUUCAUAUACAUACAUAUAUCCAGUCGAAAGAUUCAUACUUUGUAGUCACCAACCAGAUGACUUCGCCAAGUCGUGAUUUUCUCCUUCUGUUGCAAAAGUCGCCAACAAAUCAAAUGCUAACAAGCUGUUCAAGGCUCAAUCCAACCAACCAAUUGGGAAUCACCCCAAUACGACAGGAUCAAGAACAAAGACAAUCAAACAUGCUAUUAUGAUAUAUCUAGCUUUGUGUAAGUUUAGCUGCUUUGAUGGCGACUUAAACGCAACUCCUCAAUAAGAGCACUCAAAUCAGAGUACGAUGAACCGCCAUUUUCAACAGCUCUUUUUGCCAUCUUCCCCAAAGCCUUGGCUCUGCUUCUCAUUUCUUCUGCCCUAUCGCCCACCAUUAUCUCAUUCACGGCCUUUUCUAUUGUCUCUCUCUUCACAAAAUCCCCCACAAUUCUGCACCAUUUCUGGAUUCCAACACCAACGCCAAUCUUGAGAAUUUCAUUCACCAUCUUUUCAUUGUAAAAUUGCUCCGCGGCGACGGGCCAUGUCACCAGAGGUACCCCAGCAGCCACCGCUUCAAGAGUUGAAUUCCAUCCGCAAUGGGUCACAAAUCCUCCAACAGCUUCGUGAUCAAGUAUCAAAACCUGUGGCGCCCAUCCUCUAAUGAUUAGCCCUUUUCCCUCCAUUCUCUUCUCAAAUCCUUCAGGCAACCAAUCUUCAUUUCCUCCUUCACCGCCAUCAUUCUUGUUUUUGCUCACAACCCAAAUGAAAUUUCUCCCUGAAGCUUCCAGGCCCGUUGCAAUCUCCAUUAGCUGAGCAGAAGUAAAGUUGGCCAGGCUUCCAAAGCAAACGUAAACAACAGAAUAGGGUUGCUUUGAAUUCAACCACUUCAAGCACUCCAGUUCAUCAAUAGAGGCUUGCUUUCCCCUCAAAGCUUUAUCUUCAAAAUUCCUAUUGCAUAACGAAACAGGGCCAAUAUGCCAUGCCCUCCUUCCCAAAGCCUUCCUGUAAUGAUCAGCAUAAGCAGGCUCCAGCUCAUAAAAGCUGUUCACGGCAACACCAUAGCUCCUUAAGUCUGAGUCAUCGAUUGCUUUCAACAACCUGCUGAAGUCAUUAUCUCCCAUAUCCUGUUUUACAAAAUCUGGCAAUUGGUUUCUCGUCAGCUUGAUCUCACCAGGAAAAUGAGGCAUCACAAAUGGCUCUGAAUCCGAUGAAACUUUCUUGUGUGGCUCAUAUAGCGCCAGGCAAUUUGAUGCACACAAAGAAAAGAAACUAGUACCAUGAAACACCAACCUGGGAAUCCCAAACUUGGCAGCAGCAUCAGUAGCCCAAGGAAAGAACGUAUCAGCCACCAAACAAUCUGGUUUAUGUUCUUGCAAGAGCUGCUCAAGAGGUUCUUGGAGCUUCAUUGUGGCCCCGAAAAACUUGACAAUCAAUCCCUUGUUCACUUCAUUAGUGAUUGCGUCAAGAUUUUCACAUCCCUCUGGCAAACCGGCCUCCACAGAAGGGAACUUGAUGGUCUUCACAUCCAUUUCGAUGCCCAAUUCAUUGGCUCUUUCUACUGAUUUGGAGACGUAAGGAGCAUUGGCUGGAGUUGUGAUGACACUUGCUUUCACCCCACGAGUUGCAAACAACUUCGCCAUGUCCACAAUUGGAAUCAUGUGGCCGUGAGCCAUGAAUGGAAAGAAAAAAACGUGAAGCUGAGGGAUUUCACUGCCCAUAUUCAACUUCCGAAUCAAAUACGAUGAUAGACUAGAAUUAUUAGUGAAUGCAACUUUGUUAUUUUUUUGUGUUUCGAUGACCAUCUAUGUAUGUGUGGACUCACGAAAGCCGUAAAAUAUAUAAACCACAAUAAUUGAAGACCAAGAACUGACGAAGACUUGGGAAUAUUCUAAGAAGAAGAAGACGAUCAAUGGUCUUCAAUUCACACGCGUCUUUCUAGCUGUGGCCCACCUUUGAUUGUGCGUCAGCUUCUUUCACAGUAAUUAAAAGAAAGAAACUUAACCCCCUUUGUCAAUAUUUUUGUUUCCUUCCUUGGGUGCAACAAUCUUGGCUGUAAUAUUAGUCCAGAUUUUAUGUAUUGACAAUAACGAAAUGAAAUAGUUUUGGAUGAAAAUCUGAAAUGGACGUUUUAAAAGAACUUAGAUGAUGAUCUGUACCGUGCAGGAAAAACACACUACCCUGUUAUUAUUUUUAUUUAAUUUAUUGAUAAAGCACAGAAAGAAAGCUCAGAAGUUUUCCUCGAAAUUUCCAUCGUGGCAAGUUGAAAAGGACAAAUGAAAAUUAAAAAGAAACUGGCUUUGUCGAUGUCUCUUCAUAGUUCAUAGAUUGUUAGGGUCACGAAUCAGAAUACACAUGAGCACCCUAGGCCGACAAUUGUCACAAUUACAGAAGGGAAAAUUGAGCUGUUUCUUCUGGAACUCUUGAGAGAAACUGAUUGCAAAUUUAGUACAUUCUCUUUUAAUUUGAUUUUUCUAAAAUGUUGAUAAGGUAGAUUUUUUAGGUGAGUUUGUCACUAAUUCAAACAUUAAAGGACAUUCAUUAUGUUUGUUACUACAACCCAUGUUUUUCAACAGCUCUCUUAGCCUCCUCACAAAGCUCUCUGGCUCUCCUGCUUGUCCUCCUCAUCACCAAUCAUCAGCCUCAACCUCGGCAGCAAGUAGGUUCAGUGCUCCAGAGAGACCCAAAUUCACAUUUCCCACUUUCACACCAAUCUUCAAACACCUCAGUUAUCAACUUCUCAUCCGAAAACUGCGCGGCUGUUAUACAUCAGGCAGUUAAAGCAUAUUCUAAUAUCUUAACAAUAACCAACACAUUCUAAUAUCUUAACAUUAACCACAUCAACUUACUUUUGGCCCUAAAACAGGAGAUGACGGAACUGGUUCAAACAUUCACGAUACUUUUUAUCUUUUGAAAGUAAGUCUACCACUUUGGAAGAUAGAGAUACAUCUGAUACUACAAGUUUCUCUGCUGCCAUUUUGUGAAGUAGUACAACUACUUUUGAUUUCUUAUUAUUUUGGACGAAACCACGAAGAAGUGUACAAAACGUUACUUCACUGGGCACACAAUUCUUUGCCUCCAUAUCUAACAAUAAAUCAUUUGCCUUAUCCAUCUGCCCUUCUUUGCAAAGCCAGUGGAUCAUGGUACUACAUGUUACGACAUCUGGUACUGGGCCUUUGUGUUGCAAUCUGUGAAAAAGUUUACAAGCAGUCUUGAGUCUGCCCAUUUUACAUAACCCAUUAAUAAGGCAGUUGUAGGUUUCAAUUCUAAGUUCACACUUGCAGUUUCUGAUGGCCUGAAAUACUUGCACUGCCUCCAAGACAAAACCAUUCUUGCAGAGACCAUCAAUAUAAGUAGCAAAUGUAAAUGAAUCGGGUACAACAUCAUUAAGUUGCAUCUCGUCAAUCAAUUUCAAUGCAUCUCCUAGAUUGCCUACUUGAAAAAGGCCACUCAACAAGGUGUUAUAUGUGAUAACGCUUGGCCUAAUUCGUUCUGAAAGCAUUUCCCUAUAGAGACAUACAGCAUCCUCCACUUUUUGAUCCUUACAGUUCGCAUUUAUUAAAAUAUUGUAACUAUAAACAUCAUGUCUACAUCCCUUACUGACCAUAGAAACAAACAGUUCCCUUGCACGACUAAUUCUACCCACUAAGCAAAAGCCAUCCAUCAAUGAGUUAUAAGUAACCGUAUCUGGAUUCACUCCUCUCUGAAUCAUCAAUUCUAACAAUCUAUUCACUUUGUCCAUCUUCCCGUCCUUGCAAUUAUAAUUAAUCAUUGCAUUAAAUGUCACCACAUCAGGCUGCACACCAUUAUCCAUCAUCUCAAUGAAUAAGCAUUUAGCCUCCUUCCAAUCGUCAACACAACAAAAACCGCAAAUCAGAGAGUUAUAAGUGAUAACAUUGGGAUUAAUAUUCCUGUCCUUCAUUUGCAGAAGCAAUUCCUUUGCCUUGUCUACAAACCCAUCCUUACAAAGACCAUCAAUAAUACUAUUAUAAGUAACAACAUCAGGCUUACAAAUAGCACCAAAUUCAUUAACCAUUUCUUCAAAUAACUUGAGAGCAACAAGAGUGUUGCGUGUCCGACACAGCCCAUUGAUCAAAGUAUUAAAUGUAACCACAUUUGGGUCACAAGCAAACACAUUGAGUUUCUUAAACAACCUGGCGGCCUCCAUAAUUCUACCCUCCGCACACAAACCAUUAAUCAAAAAAUUAAAAGUCACCGUAUUAGGAGUAAAACAACUCCUAAGGAUCCUCCCCAAAACUACAAAAGCACCGCUCGUUAUACCCAUCUUGCAAAGGCAAUUAAUUAAUAAAUUCAAAACAAAAAGAUCCGGAAACAACCCAUUUGAAUUUAGUCUCUUGAAAAGAGAAACAACAGUAUCAUAUUGCUUAUUCUUAGCGAGCAUAGUCAACAAAAUAGUAAAGGAAGUCAUACCAGGAGAGGGCUUCAUUUUGAUCAUGCAAUCAAAGAAAUAAACAGCUUCAUUUGAAGUGAUAUUACCUGAUUUAUGUCUAUCAUUCAGGAAUUUCGCAAUUGAGGUUCCGUCUUUGAAAUGAUGAGAUGAGAGGUCAGUUUUGGGAUUUGGAGGGCGACCGAAUGAACACCAGAAAUUACAUCUAUAACCUGCUUUUGAAGCGAGAGAAAAGGAACGAUGUGAGGAUUUGAACACCAUUACAAUUGGAGAAGGCUUUUGAUGAUUUCUUCUUUCUGGGUACAAAUUGUGAAACAAUUAAACUACUCUCCGGGUUCAAUUUAUAAGAUUAAGAUUUAAGAAGAAGGCGCCUGCAACGCAUAAAAAAGUUUCUAGUACUCUAAUGGGGCUGGAGAAUGGGAGGACUCUCUAAAAUAAUUAAAAUACUGCAUUUUUAUAACUUAAAAUGAGAAAAAAAAAAUUACUACGUCAAGUUCACUUCAUUUUACUUCAAUUAUAAACAUAUACCAAUUAGGGGUGCCAAAAUGAAUAAAGAACUGAAUCUUAAAUGAAUUAGGUUAAAAUUCUACUGAUUCAAAUUUCAUUCGUUUAUUAAACGAAUAUUUAGUUUGAUUCGUUUAAUUUGCGAAUCGAAUCAAAUCCAGAUUUGUUUAUUAUUCGUUUAUCAUAUUACGACUCCAUAACGAAUCGAAUCAAGAUUCAUUUACAAAAAUAUAAUUAAUAAACAAAAUUAAGCAAAAUAAAAGAUAAAAAACCAUAAAUUUAAUAUCCUACUGACAAAAUACAAAUAACCCUCUAACAUUAAAUAUAUAGUCAUCUAAAUUACAAUAUUAACCUUCAAAUUUAAAAAAAAAAUUCAAAUAAAUUUAAGGAUAAAAAAGUAAUUUAAUUAAAUGAAUUUAAAACGAAUCGACUCAUAUUCGAUUUGUUUAUGACCCGUUUAUUAAAUGAAUACUAAACGAAUAAAUGAAUCAAUAUUUUCAAACUCGAAUUCAAUUCGUUUAAUUAACGAAUCGAAUCGAAUUCACCCAUUUAUUAAACGAAUCAAUUUUUUCAAACUCAAACCAAUUUAAUUCGCAUCGAAUUGAAUUGAAUGAACGAAUCAUGACCUAUAUUGUCACCCCUAAUCCCAAUACAUACAAAUAUAUUAAAUAUGUGCCAUUAACUUGUUUAACAUAGGUCCUGAAUUGGUGUGAUGGUUAACCUAACAGUCCAUUACCACUACUUGAAUAACUAAUGUGGUACAAACAAUUUGAUAGAUUCAAAUAUAACACGACUGUUAAACGAAUGAUACAAAUAUAAUUUCUUUACUAACCGUAUUAAUUUUGUUUCAAAUUAUCACCUUAACGGAAGGUGUAUAAUUAUUGUUAAUAAAAAUAUGCACAGCACUUCUUGAACUUGAGGAAUAACUUCUUCAUUUUUUUUAACAUUACAUUUUUCCCCUAAUCUCCCUAAUCUUUAAUGGUUGUCUUCUAAAAUUUAAAAAGGUAUGUUAAACAAUCUCAUCAACUGUUUAAUUUGAUGUCUUUUUUUAAUAUUAAUAUUAAUUUCAUAAUAUUUUUAUAAAAUCUUACUCUUGAGUGUAAAAACUCUUUCACUAAAUCAAAAGAUGAUUUGAUCAUUAAGUUGCAAGUAAAGAAAGUUAAUAACUUUUAUUCUACGAUGGUAUAAAUAAUAUAAGAGUAAUGAUAUAACCACAAACUCUUGUACAAACUUAUGUGGCAUGAUAAGAUUGAUUGAAUUAAAUAUCACUUGGCCCACAUGACUUGUUUUCAUUAUUUUAAAUUUUCAUUCAACUAAUGAAUUAGUGCCACGUCAGUUUGUAGGUUGUAUCAUUACUCAUAAUAUAAAUGUCCUCUUAUCCUAUUGUUUGUCAUAAUCAUCUAAUGACGAAUCAUUUCUUAUUCAAGCCAUUAAAUAUAAGUACUAUUUCACAUAUUCAAAUUCUGGACAGAGACUUGAGCUCCUGAAGCAAAGCCUCGGCAUCAAUAAAAGAUGACCCACCUUCUUCAACGGCAUUCUUAGCUUUCUCACCCAGCUCUCCGGCUCUCCUCCUCAUCUCCGCCGCCUCCUCUCCGGUACCCAUCAGCCUUUUCACGGCCACCUCCACCUUGUCUCUCCCCACAGCAGCACUAGGCUCAGUGCUCCAAGACACCCAGUUCACACUCCCAACUUUCACACCAAUCUUCAACACAUCACUAAUCAACUUCUCAUUCGAAAACUGCUCUGCUGUUAUGGGCCAUGUUACCAUUGGCACCCCGGCACUCACACUUUCAAGCGUUGAAUUCCAGCCACAGUGAGUCAUAAAACCCCCCACUGCCGUGUGUUCUAGUAUCAAAAGCUGCGGUGCCCAUCCUCGUAUUAUUAGACCUCUCUUGGAUUCUCCCAUCCUCUCUUCAAAUCCGCUUGGCAACCAAUUCUCUUCAAUACCAUUCUCCUUUCUAGUUCCAGGAGAUUGAAAUAUCUUUCCUACAACCCAAAUGAAUGAGUGAUUUGAAGCUUCAAGCCCGUAUGCAAUCUCCAGGAGUUGUUCAGGAGACAACCGAGCUAAGCUUCCGAAACUAAUGUAAAGAACUGAAUUGGUUUCUUUACUGUCAAGGAAGCUAAGAAUUUUCCCUUCAUCAAUACUGGUCUUCUGGCCUCUUUCAGCUUUAUCUUCAAUGUUUCUGUUACAUAAAGAAACUGGACCGACGAACCAAGCUUUGUCAUUACCCAAAUCUUGCUUAAAAUACUCCACAUAAGCUGGCUCCAAGUCGUAAAAACUGUUAACAACAAUCCCAAAACUUUUCUCUUCCUGUUUUGCAAACAUUUUAUGAACGGACCCAGCUUCUUGUUGUCUGGCACAAACCGGAAGCUGAGAGCUGUCAAUUCAAUUUUAUCAGGAAGACCAGGAACAACAAAUGGCUCAUAAUCAGAGCUCACCUUCUCAUGAGGCUUAUACUUCCGUACGUUUUCCAGAAUACAACGGGAGAAGCAGCAAUUACCAUUAAACACAAUUCUUGGAAUAUUCAUACUGUUAAUGACAUCAGCAGACCAAUGAUGAAACAUAUCAUGGACUAUGCAGUCUGGUCUGGAAUCGACGAGGAGUGAUUUGAGAGGCUCCUGAAGCAUGGAAGUGUCGGUUCGGGGUGUAGCAGACAUGUCCGUGUCUGGUAUCUCGAUGUCGUCGGGUAAAUGGAGGGUUUUGAUGGUGAUGGGGAGGCCGGAUUGUUGGUUCCGGUUGAUGGAUUUUUGGAAAGAAAGGGCGUGUUUUGGGGAUGUGAUGAUGGUUGAUUUGGCUCCAUGAGCGGCAAAGAUUCUGGCUAUGUCUACCAUGGGGAUUUGGUGACCUCCUCCUACAUAAGGGAAGAAGAACAUUUCAACUGGGGAAGAUUUUGAGUCCAUGAAUACGAGGAGAAUGAGCAAAUUAUUGAAGAGAGAAGCAGGGAAUUUAAAGGGAUUCUACCAAGAAGAAUGUUCAAAUUAUUGAGUCGCUAUUAUACAAAAUAGCUUACCUGUGGAGGGACGUCAUCUAGCACAUUUGAUACAGCCGUCAGUCUCACAGUGCUGUCAAAUAUGAAGAAUCUAAUGUCAUAAUGUAAAGCCUUCGGUAGUUCCUGUUGAGCCAAUUGGACCCCCAGUGCAAUGAAUUAUGUCUGCGCAUUAUCGAAGUCGAGAAGUAAAUUGUAAGCGCCUAGGUGAAAAAUGCCAUGAGAGCCUAGCGAAAUUGUUUUUCCCUUCUAAAUUCAAACUUUGGGCAUGUUUACUUAUCAAAAACUUUGGCUGAAAUUUGUUCAAGUUGUUUGGUAUGUGCAAAAUUCAGGCUCUUUUUUCAUCUCUAUUUAUAGUUUUGAUUGAUUAAGAGGUGAAAUGAAAUUUUAUACUUUUUUUUUUAAUAUUGUUAUACAUGACUAUUAUUGAUAUUACAUCAGGUAUUACAAUUAAUAUUUACAAACAGAUUAUACAAUUGAGAUCUUCUUCGUGGCAUGUACUCCUCUGAAGCGCUAUCCAAAUUCUUUAAACCCUCUCAAAUAUUCAAGAAUUGUCCACUCCACUCACAUUUCGUGAGAGAUGGACUGGCUCCACUCAAUUAUUUGAUAAUUGAGGGAGAAUUGUAAAUAACCUCAUAAAUACUUUUAUGCAGGCUCGAACCCUUGCACUCAACACUGUAAGUGCAAUGGUUCUCCCACCAAAAUUUUAUACUUUUAAAAAGGCAAAAGGAGUCUGGAUUUUGUUGGAAAUUGGGAAGAAGAGACUAUGGAGAGGAGAAAUAAAUGCAUGAUUUUCUAUAACAACAAACAUCAGCAUUUAAAAACAAGAAUCACACACGUCUAUCCUAAGGGUGACUACAAACUAACAAAGACUUGGAAUCUAUCCAAGAGGGACUUAUUUGAUCCCUUGCUAGUUCAGAAUUCUCCCCUGUUCGCAUUUUCGGCAAGACCUAAGCUCUCCGAUGAAUUUUCUCACAUUAACAUAAAGAAGAACCACCAUUUUCAAUAGCUUCCUUUGCCUUGUCUCCCAAUUAUUUUGCUCUCUUUCUGAUCUCAGCAACUUCCUGCUCUUUGCUACUCAUCAGUUUACUCACUGCCUUAACCACUUCGUCUCUCCUCACCUUCACUCUCCUCAUUGCCUACUGAAAUGCCAAUAUUCAGCACAUCUGUAACAAAAUUUUCUUAUUAUAAAAUUGCUUAGAUGUAAUAGGCCAAGUGAUCAUUGGCACACUCGCAGGCACACCUUCUGAAGUUGAGUUCCAUCCAAAAUGUGAAAUAAGUCCUCCCACAGAUGCAUCUUCAAGAAUCAGAAGCUGCAGUGCCCAACCAUGAAUAAUCAUCCCUCUAUUGAUCUUGUUAACUCAUUCUUGUCAGGCAGCCCUUGUAGCUGAAAAGCUUCCAAGUCCGAAACAACCUUCUCAUGGGUUACAUAUUGUCUGAUGCUCUCUUCAGCACACAAAGGGAACAACAACCAGUGCCAUGGAAGAUUAUUAUUGGAAUUCCAAGCCUGUUAGCAAUGUCAGCUCUCCAUGGACAAAACGUGUCGCUGACUAUGCAAUCAGGUUUUGUUUCUACGGAGGAGUUGCUCAAGUGGGUCUUGCAGCUUCAUGGUGGCCGUGAAGAGCUUUGAAGACACAUCAUCAGAAGUGAUAGCUAAUUGGUUUUCACACCCAUCAGGUAACCCAAAUUCUUCUGCAGGUAAUUUGGGUGUAUGGAAACUGAUGUUGAGGCCUAAUUGUUGGUCUCGCUGAUGGUUUUCUGGAGCAGAAGGGCAUUGUGGGGUGUUGUUAUAAUGGUGGCUUUUUAAGGUUUACCCGUGAGAGGCAGAAGCUCUGUCCAAAUUUACUACGGGGAUCAAGUGGCCUUCCGGUAUCUAAGGAAAUAAGCUUAUUUGUAGCAUUGAAGCCUGCGAAUCCAUGGAUGUCAAAGAAGUUGCUAGCAGCUUGGAAAAUAUUGUCUGGGUUUCAGGGGAGUGUUUUGGAUACAACAACGGCAUUGGAAAUAAACCCUUAAUUGUUUUAAGAAGCCUCCAUGUACGAGGACGUUCGACUGCUAAUACGUUAGAAAAACUAUUAACGAAUGGCAACAGAUAAAGAAUACUUGUUUUUCUCAAUAACUGAGAUGAAAUUCAGAACAGAAUUUAAUGCACAGGUAUAUAUAAUGGGCCUUGUCAUCAAUGCCCAGACUGAUAUAAUGGAAAAAUGAAAGUUGCCUCGUUUGGUAGAUGGUUACCAAUUUUUAAGAAGGAUGAGAGGUUAUAAUGAUGGAUAUUAAACAAAUAUAUGCUCGUAACAAAUUUACAGAGGAAUAGUUGUUUAUAUUAUAAAAAGUAGAUUGCAUCCAAGUGAAAUCUGGUCCUCACAAAUGAUAUGGAAUCUUAAUAAACCUAUUAACUACCCUUGCUAUACUCACCCCAAUUAACUACCUAGACUGGACAGAAUAAUCAGUGGGUGCAAAAAGAAUGAAAGCUUUGUUGGAGUACAAAAACCAUGAAUCUUAUGUGAUACUGUAAUUAUGUCGAUCUUUCACCUUCACGUUUUAUCCGGAGGGCAGCUCUAACCACAUUUCCUCUUGUGAUGAGUCCAACCUUCAAGAUUUAAACAAGGGCCAAUAAGUAUACAUCUACUGAUGGGCAAUCCAACUAACGAAAUUUUCAGUAAUCGAUAUUAAAACCAAAAUUCUUACCAGCUUGCCAUCACCAUCUACUACCGGCAGUCUACGGUAUUUUGUUUCAAGCAACAACCUGCCAAUAAAUUAUUAGAUUUAGUGCAUUUCAGAGAUUCAGCUUUUGCAGGCUAGAAAGGAGGGAAUGACAUUAUAGGUAUCAAAUGUGCCUAGUCGUUGUUUUUUAUUUUGAAUGCCAAAUUUGAUAUGAUAAUCACUCUUUGCGUUUGGCAUCAUCAUUUUGAAAAUUAGGAAUUUAACAAUUAGUUCCAUUACCACAAAAGCUUGAAAAGAGGUGCAGAAAAUGCAUCAAAUGCUCGAUACUAGAACUCUUUCCUUCAAUAAACAUAAUCAUUGGAAAAAUACACUUGUUACUUGGAUUUUUGGAUAAGAAAAUAGACUGGACCAUUAAUGAAUAGACAGUUUGUAAAAAAAUAAUUAAAAAGCAGAUGAAUUGAAUACCUAGCAGCAUCUUCUAAGUUGGCGUUUUCAUGAACAACGAGCGGAGCAGGCGUCAUCAAGUCACCAACAACUUUUCCAUUAGUCUUACUAAGAAGUCUCUGUAACUCAUUAAAUGUCUGCCACAAGUGCACAAAUCAGAGAAAGCAGCAGAUGCAAGCCAUUUGUUCACAUAGUUCAUAACACAAGCUAAAGACAAAAACACACACACACACACACACACAAACAAAAUAAAAGAGAUAAAGAGAGAUUGUGGAGGAAGGGGGAGUGCAAUGAUGAUGCAAAAGGUUUCGAAGCUCUCAAUCAUGACUGUUCAGAUUAUGUGCAAAGCCUUUGGUUUCCAUUUUUCACAAAAUAACAGAAACAUCUAAAGGAGCUGACUUAUAAAUCCAAAGUUUCACCCUAAAUAAUAUUCGUGAUUUUGGUGCUCUGAUUUGCCUAAGUUUUUUAGUGUUGAUAUAAUGGCAUACAAGUCCAAUUUCGUUUAUGGAUAUACAAUUCUGCAAUAUGACUUUCAGCCUACUUUUAAUCCUGUGGAUGCCAUCUUCUGCCAAUGCCACAUGCUGAUAAAAUAUCUGAAACACUAAUCUAUUGUUAGCACGAUAUCAUUAUGUUCACGGACCCUGGAUUUCAGUGAAGACAACCCAACAAAAGCUAAUUCCUCUAAGAAAUCUAACAGUCAUACUGAAGAACCCAUAUGAGUAUGUGCUCACAUGCCCAGAUUUGGCAUGCCACAACAAUAGUAGCAUAAUAAAUGGUUUCUUGGAUGAGUGUUGAGAAAGAAUGCAAUUACAAUGAGAUAAAACUAACACAAUCAGUUGCUAUAUCAACAAUUAACAUCUUUUCAUCAAAUUCAAAUCCCAAAGAAAAGGAAAUAAAACUGAACAGUUCUCACAUACUUUCCAAGUGCUAUUGACAUUAGGAAACAAGCUUGUGUCAUUUUGAUUGCCACCUGGUAGCCAUAAAAAGAUAUAUCAGUGACAGUUGCACAGAAAAAUUUCAAGAGGAUCCAAAUGUAAUGUCCAAUAUGGAAAAUUUCAAGAGUUAGUCAAUCAAUGAUGAGCAAAAGCAGUAUCAAAGCACCAUAGAACAGAGCAGCAUCUAGUUUGUUGUCUUAAUACUCAAAUCAUGAUCGAGUUGGACCUACUAAUGUGGAUAUCUUUCCUUAUGUGCUAUGCAAAUUGAGAAAAGGGAGAAUGUUUUUGGCACACAUUUCAGAUCUCCCCACAGACAACCAUAUCCAUUCCAAUUAUAGGCAAAGAAAAAAGCAGUUACUUCACUGACUCAUCUCAAAUUAUUAUAGACAAUUGUUAUCUCACAGAAAUUAAUGUCCGAUCCAGAUUCCUUCUAUAUUUCAUAAACGCCUCCGAAGUUCCUGACACUCUGAUCUAAAAACAAUUUCUAUGUCCUUCCGAAAUUAAACUUCUGAUACUAGAUAGGAAACCUAAACAUGUUUAGAAUAUGUGUCAAGUAAAUUCAUGUCCUCCAUUACUUAUAAUUUUCUACCAAAGGAAAAGGCAAGGGCCAAAUUAAAAUAUUAUACGAACUGCUAUGUCAAGAAGGAAGAUAUUAUAUUAGCAGUCAUUGCCCCUUCUACAGUAAGUAGGAAACCACAGUUUAUUCCUCCAACAAAUUUUAACAACCAGCGAGCAAAAUAAGCAUUCCCAGAAUUGAAACCGAAAUAAAGAUUGAAGCCGAGUUUUCUCAUACUACCUGAAAUGGAAUCAAGUGCUAGCAAGUCAUAAUCUGAAACAACACCAACCUACAGUGAAAAUUAACUGGAAUCAAUGAGUUAACUACUACAAUCAACAUUAUUUAGGAAACCACAGAUACAUCAUAUCAACCAAAACAUAAUCUGAAACAACACCAACCUACAGAGAAAAUUAACUGGAAUCAAUGAGUUAACUACUACAAUCACCUACGUUAUUUAGGAAACCACAGAUACAUCAUAUCAACCAAAACAUAGAGGUGGAUUAGCAGUAGUAUUAGUUAAUUUUUGGAUUCCAUUAACAAAUAAAAAAAAUUGUCACAAAAGGAUUCUACCUUACAAGAAAAUGGCAUGUCUUCAACCACUUGAUUUUAACAUCUAACCAAAGACCGAGGGUUUAAAGGUCCCACGUAGAUAAUAUAAAAUUGUAAAAAACCAUGUGUUCAUUGCUUUGCUCAAAAGUGAAGAUCUUGAGGAGAUGGUAAGAAAACAAAAAUUAUCAUCCUUUUCCUCUGUUAAAAUACACAUUUGCAUUUAAGACUAAAGCAAUAUACGUUCAAAUAUCAAAAAGCGGUACAUCCAUUAUUCUCUCUGUAUAAUUUAUCGGUACUCCAAAGUAAAAUCUCCAGCAAACACAAAAUGCAAGUUGAUAUCGUAAUCACAAAAUCUCAUCUACGAACUACACCAAGGGUGUGUUUGCAACUGUUGUGUUUCUGCAUAAUUGUGAAAACACUGCCUUUUAUUUGGCAAUUGACAUUUACCAACCACUCUGCCAAAAUAUUAUACUCAAUAGGUAGUGAUUCCAUUUCACAGUCAUCGCGGACUGUAUAAUUAUAAGCCACAGCAUCUCAAACGCAAAGAUACUAUAAACAAUAAAAUAUACAUUAUGUCGGUAUACAAACAGUGAAUGAGAAAGUAAUCAAAAUUACCAACUUCCAGUCGUCAUCAAUCACAGGAAAACCGGUAAUUCUCUUCUCCACAAGACGUUCUAAAGCUGUAAUCGCGCAUUUUUAUUUGAAUCAAGUCAAAAUAAUUAAUUAGUAAUAAAACAAGAUAGGAACAGCGGCUGCCACGUGUCACAAAUACCUUCAUCGACCGUUGUAGUAGUCUUUACAGCGUGUAGAUCCUCUUUCUUCGUCAUGAAGUCACCAACUGUGUACGUUCCAUUUCUCGGCUGCAAUAACCGUACAAAUAUUUAUAUCAAUAAUUUAGCACUCGUUAAUUACUUGACACACAAGUUUUUAACCAAAACUGUACGUGAAUCAAAUUCAAAACCGUACGACCAUAUUAUCUCAUCAUCUUAGCGAUCAACUGAAAGCGAAACGGUACUACUUACAGGAACGGAGUUGGUGAUCCCGACGCCGUUGUGAGCAAAAGCCUUCACCUCGCGAGAGACAGUGAAAAAACGUAGUCGUUUGGAGAGAUGCGAAGGAGUGGCCACCGUGAUCGGUAACUGAAGGUGAGGAACGGAGUUAAUAACGCCGUUGGCGUUGAGUCGCGCGAGUGUGAGACAACUGGGAAUCGAAAUCGAGCUCAUUGUUCUCUCUCUUUUUCUUCUCAAUGUUUUAAUAAUUGAAAUAAAAUGGUUUAUUUAACUUAUUUUUAUUUUUUAUUUGUUAAUUAAGAGAGAGUGAGAUUCGGCUUAUAAGAAGAGAAGAUUCAGAGAGAGAAGGGGGCUGCAAGUUGCGUGCGUGAAAGGAGUGACAAGAGGAAAAAGUAAAGAGGAAAACUGUAACUGGUCGGCGGAUACAACUUCCAAGUCCGCACACGCGCCAAAUUGUGUCGCGGCCUGCGGGGCCAGGACUCGCGUUAUUUUAAGACUGUUGUGUGUGUGGAUAUUAGAGGUUUGACUUUAUAUAUAUAUAUAUAUAUUUCACAAUUCUUUCACAAUUUGGCGAUCCGUUUUAUCGACUCUACUCUUAGUAGUAAAAGACGAGUUAUUAGUCAAAGAAAACAGCUUCAAAAUCAUUUAAUAAACGUGAAAAAAACUAGGAGCUGGCUAAGUUACAGAUUCUGUAACGUACAGAUCCAACUUAGCCAGCUCCUGAUUGGUUAGCUACUAGCUACCAAAUAAAAAUAAUUGCAUGCUUUUUCUCCAUAUGCAGGACAGGUGUGGUGCAUGCAUUGGGUGCGUAUGUUACAGAAUCUGUAACAUAGCAACCUCCUGAAAACUAUAUCAUAAUUCAAAAUCAAACUUUCGCUGGGGUCCACUAUAUCAUUUGCAGAGGAGGUGGUAGAAAAUUGGGAAGCAACCAAAACGUAAGUUGUUGGGAAUUAAUGGAAAUUGUUUGUUCAAAUUUGAACACGCAAGGCCUUUUAUCAUAAUACAUGGCAUGUAUGGUGUCUCAACUUUGAGAGGCAUCAUAUUAACCAGUACGUUCAACAUGUGACCAUUUGAAUCACAUGUAUUAAUAAUUUUCUCCAUCUUUCAAGAUUUGUUAUUAAAAGUAUUUCAAUUCUUGAUUUCACAAGCCCAUUGGUAUUAGGCACAUGAGUUCGAGUCCCAGUAAUUGCUAGAACUCAACUCCCCUUUAAUAGUAAUUUAUUUGAUUCUCUGCUUUAGAAAUAGAAUAGAUUUUCUUCCUAUAUUAAGGUAAGGGUUGUUGUUCGGGUUAUGCCAUCUUAAAAUUAUAAAAAGAAAGUAUUGAUUGAUGUCUGAUUGUAAACAUAUCAGUAGAGAGUUUUGAUUGUAAUAUAUAGUAUAUCAAAAAAAAAUUCUUAAUUUCACACAAAUCAAUAUAAUUUUGGUGCUCAAUUCUUUGAUCUUUUAUUUUUCUUGAGCAUCUUUUUGUGAUUUUUUUUAUAUUUUUAUAUAGUAUAUAUUUCUCUGUAUUUGUGAUUGUUGAUGCUUAUUAUCGAUCUAGUCUUUUAUCUCCAAUUAUAUGCUCAAGAUCUUGUUCAUACGGAAGUAUUCAAUUUAUUUUCUCAAGAGUAAUAUUUUAGCACCUUACAUAAUAUUCGAAUCUUGAUUUCAGAUUGCUGCCUGGUCAUAUGAUUAUUUUUAUAAUUUUUUUAAUCAAAGACAUGUUUCUUGAAACUUUUAAGUGUUGCUGAAUUAGUUUUUAAGUUCGUAAAUUAUUUUUUGAAUCAUAAUUAUGUUGGAGUUGUAUUCACUUUUUUCUUUGUUUGUUUCUUCUAAAUUAGUGAGUUCGUAAUUAAGCUUUCUACUUUGAUCCUCUUACUGUAACUUGCUCUCUUCGCUAUUUUAUUUGAAAGUAGUUUCAAUUUUCUUUAGUUGAUGAGGCUUCUUGACUGGAUGAAAUGGAGGAAAAGAUACACAUAUUGACUUUAUUAUCUGCAUAAUUUUCUUUUUUCUAAAGUCCUCUUGUACUAAUGUAUAUGACUUGUGCACUGUUAAUAAGAUUUAUAGAAAGUUUCAUUAAGCAGAUAAGAUAAGGCUGAUACGGCCAAAUUUCCUAUGCUGUGACUCGCAGACAAAUGCUCUUGUAGCUGGAACAAGAUCAGCAUACUGACUUGCCACAUGAAAGUGUCCCUAACUCAACAAUCAGACAAGUUUCUCUUUUGAAAGAGCUUAAACUUGAUCACAGUUUACAGGAUAAGUUCUGUGAUCAAGAACAGUGUAGGCAGUCUUGGUUGAAUUUUAUCAAGAAUAUUGUGUUCAUAAAUAUUGUCAGUAAAUAUAUUUAUGGUUCAUUUUAUUCUUAAUGACUGAUUUGAUGAGCUAUCAAAAGUUUUUUGCUCAUUCACGCAAAAAUUAAAAAGAAGAAUUGAAAAAACAUUAAAAGCAAAGCAUUCUUUGUGAAAAACAAAUUAUUGGCCUGGCACUAUUGAUUUUGAAGAUUCAGAGCUCAUAAUUUCCAAUUUUCUAUCAUGAUUAAACAACUAAAUUAGAAGGAAGAAAAAAAUAUCUCAAAAUAUGUUUAUACAUCAAGAAAAAAUAGUUGAAUAAAGGUGAAAUACUGAAGAGUAUCAUGAAAAUCAGCUCAAGAGCAGCAUUGGCUAGAUGCAAGUAGGAGAGAGGCUGCUGAAGCAACUCUUGUGCAAAUUCAUGCACGUUUAGUUCUACGUGGAAAAUUUUGCAAUUGCCAAUAUGAACGAAGCAAAGAUGCUGAGUGAGAAUGAGAUGAAGAAGAAGAGUGGGUAUCUCUCUCUGCUGAUUCGUUAAGGAUAAUUUUUUUUUAAUUUUAAAAAUGGUAAUUUCAUUAUUAUGGAUUAAAUCUUUGUGUUUGAUGAUCAACUUAAAUGAAAUUUUUAUAAAAAUGAAAAAUUGUACUCGUGUCAUCUAUAGGAAAUGCAACUAUACUUAGCAUGCCUCUUGACCUCUAUGGUUACGUUCUAAAGUCAGAUGCAAGUGCACUUGCACGAGUAUAUAUACAUGCACAUAGACCUCCAGAUCAAGGUAAUAUAAUUUCACCACAUCUUAAAAAUAUAAUAUUCUACUUAUACUAACCAUAAACAUUUUCUUUUCUUUGGUUCCACCGUUUGAGAAAAUAUCACAUAUUUAGACUGGUGAAGAGAAAAGAAGCAAUUUUGUAUGAAUAUGAUAUAAAGAGGAGGUGGCAAGACAUAAUUAAUUACUAAUGGAAGUAAACGUAUUAAUGAAGAGGUGGAAUUAGUUUAAUAAGAGAAGUUCAUAUACCUGUAUUGGUCCUUGAACAGCUCGUAGGAUACAGUGUCCACAAAUGUGUUCGCGAAAGCUUUAACAAAAACAACAUGUUCGAUAAAUUAUAAACAUAAUAUCACAAGCCCUUGUCUUGCGUAAGUAGCCUUUUAAAACUCAAACCAAUUAAGACUCCAUCCACCUUGUCAAGCAUCAUAUUUUUAUUUUUUCAUAAACACCGAGUAAAAUAUAUUCAACUCAGUAGUAAGGCAUGAACCAAUGAACUUUUGUUUUAGUGGGAGAACCUUUGCACUCACAAUGUGUGAUAAGAAAUGUCCGAACCUCCAUAAAAGUAUUAUAGAAGUUAGUUAAUUGAGUGAGAGUGUGAGUUCAUAAUUGACAUAAUUGUGGGGGAGACUGAGUUCAUAAUUGAGUGGAGACAGAUUUGAUGACAAUAAAUUUGAUAUAUUCGAUUCAUUUCAUUCAGGGGAAAAUUUGAUGACAAUAAAGUUGAUAUAUUCAAUUCAUUUCAACUGAAGGAAAAACUAAUUUUGAUCUACACUAAAAAAAUCUAUAAAGUUUAAGGUUUAAAAAACAAGAAUUUUGUGGUGAGGCAUUAUUAUUUUGUUGGGCCAUCAUUUUUGGUCAAUGUUCAAAUUCAAUAAUCAAAUCCCUUGACUAAUCCCUAAUAUAUUUUUCAUUUUCAAUAUUCUAAUCUCAUAUAUUCAAACCAUAACUUGUUUGUCAAUGUCUGGUAUUCUAAUUACUGUAUUUUUUAUGAAACAAAAGUAUAUUUGCUCCAUUGAAGUGUCAAAUAAUAAGCAAGUAUCAUUUUUUUGAAAUAUUCAUUAAUAUCAAAAUAAAUCAUAUCCAAUCAUGAUGUGAGCUGGAAUUAAACUCUAAAGAUUAGGGGUACAGUUAGUGAUUUUUUAAAAUAAUUUUUUUAUCAAAUUGAUGUUUUGAAACUGUGUUUUUUACAACGUUUAAAAUGUGUUUGAUAGUAUUUGUUACAAAAGUUUUCUAAAAUAGAAAUAGUUAGAACAUGUUUGGUGCAUUUUUUAAAUGAGUUAUAAACUAAAGUUCUAAUUUGCUACAAUAGCUAAAUGCAAUUUUUACUUUUUCUGUUUUCAAAAAAAAAAAAAAAAAAAAAUUUUUUUAAUGUUGCCAAACAUUCUCUAGAAAAUUUUAAUAAUAAAAAGAUUUACCUAUUAAAUCAACUAACUUGCAAAAAUGCAAGCGCAAUAAACAAAUUUUAAAAAAAAUCAUUUAUUUAUUUUGGUGUAAGUCAUUCGUUAUCCGGCGACCACAUUGAGUCGCGACUAAUUCGAAUUCGGGGCGUAGUCACAAUUAAUGCUCUUUACCCCUCAAAAAAAAAAUCAUUUAUUUAAGUUGCACAUAAUGAGUUGUUUGACUUACUAUUUAUGUUGGGUCAUACUCGUUAUGAGUUGUUUUAGCUAAUCAUUAAUGUUGUUUAUGCAAAACAAGAUUUUCAAAUUUGUCACGUGUCAAUCGUUUGUAAUCAGACAAUAAACAUGUUAGCUAGAUUUGUUUUAAAUUGUUCUUGAGUUUAUUAUAUAGAUGGAAGAUUUUUCAUUCCACUCAAUUGAUAAUCUCAGAGACUUCUGAUUUUUAAAAUAUAGUAGUUUUCUUUGGUGGGGGUGGGGGGCGUUACACAUCUUCAUUCAAUUUUAACGUUAGCUAAGUGUCGCCAUUUAUAACUUUGACAAUAUUGCUUAAAUGCAACAAUCGAUUGAGAAAUCUAGCUACCACGAUCUUAAGAUCAAAGGUGUCAUUUACAAAUGCACCCAACGCAUUUUUUGAUUGAUUAAUUAUUUAUAAUGAAGUGUCAAAAUUACUUUCAAAUAGUUUAAAGUAAUUUAUUAUCCGUUUUGUAUUGUGUUUGAUUGAAACUUGAGGAUAGUCCAAAAUAUUUUAAAGAGAUAAUGAUAUCGUGCUAUCCAAAAAAAAAUAUAUUUUUGUAAUUUAAGAAAUCGUAGAGAACGAUUCAAAUAAUUAGUUAAUUAUCUUGUUUAAACAAUAUAUAAGAAAAAAAAACCAUUUUUUGAAUUAAUUUUACUCUCAAUUGCCACUAGAUUUUUCUAUUCUUUUCCACAAGUGACCUACCCGACCUGGACUCGGGUCGAACCUAAAUGAUGCGGGCCAAGCAAUACCUUGCCUAGGAUGUGGUCAGGCCGGCCCCGACCAUCACUUGAUAAGCUCGGAGUUCAACCUGAAACUUGAAUUUAGGGGUGUCAAAAAUAACGUCCAACCCGAACUUGGACUGGACCCAAGCUACGCAAGCUAGGUACGAGGCUAGACUGAUUCCGGGCAUCACUUGAUAAGCAUGUGGUUUGGCCCAAAACUUGAAUUUUGUGUGUAAUAAUUAUAUUUAUUUAACCCAUCUACUACAUAUAUCUAAAAUCUUAAAUAUUUAAAGUUCAUAUUUUAAUAUCCAAUUUCAUUAAAAUGAAUUUAAAAAUUAUAAAAUAAAUUAAAGAAUAUACAUAUAUAAUAUUAUAAAAUAAAAAAUUUGAUGAAUAAUAACUCUGAUUAAAAAAAUCCAGUCCGCUGCUGGCCUUUUUAAGCCCAGCCUAGGUGUCUAAAAAAAUAUAUCCGAGCGGAGUCCGGGCAUUACCAUACCCAAAACCAAGUUUUGCCAUCCUUACCUAACCGACUAAUUUUCAAACAACUUUAUUUAACUGUUUAUUUGAGUUCAACUCUUAGAGAAAUAAGAGGUUAAAAAGUAAAUUUAGAUUUUACUCACUUCCUUAUCUUCAAAAAUAAAAUGAAAUGAAAGAAUUAUACCAAGUAUAUAUAUUCACAAUGAAUUUCAAUUAGGGCUUAAGGUCAGUUGAAAGGAAGCCAACGCAUCGAUGUCAAUUCAAGAAUCGGUUCAUACUGAGAUAUAAAUUAUGAAGCAUUUAGUACGGUUCAAGUACUCAAAAAAAGAGAAAGAUUAAAGAAUAUAUACCUAUGAACCAAAUCGGUUUGGUUGGUGAAUCAGGAUUCAGGAUUGGCUCAUAAAAUUUAAAGUGUAAAUGUAUGUUAAGAUUUAAACUUUUUACACUUUUUUUUUAAAAAUCACAUCUCAUACAUUAUUAUGUGAAUUGUUAAAAAUAAAACUAAUUUAUACUUAACUGAGCAGUUUUUAAAAUAUUAUUGUGUUAAUGUACUUUUUCGUUAGAAUAAAAUUCACAUAUCCUUCACUAUUUAUCAAUUAAACUUGCAUCCACUAAUAACAAUAAUUAACAUAUUUGAAACAUGCAUAUAUUAUUAUCUAAACCACUCGUUGAUUUAUACACAUAUGCGUGAUUCACCACAUUCACACCCAUGAUAUUAUUCUGCACUCCAUAUCAUAAUUUAAAUAAAUCUAAAUCCACAUACCUUUGUGCACCAUUUUAAAAAGUCAUUUUGCAGUGAAUGGAUUCGCUGUCAUGGGUUAUAUAAUGCUUAAAUGAAAAACACUAUUUUAUUAUUUUUUGAUAAAAAUUUUCCGUGUUCAAACUUGCCCCCAUUUGAACAAAAUUCACAUAUCUGUCGUUGUUUACCAGCUAGGCCAAUUAACAUCUAUCAAUAUCAGGAAUUAACAUAUUAAAAAUAUGCAUACACUACUAUCUAAACUAUUCAUUGAUUUCUACAAUUAGGUGAUUCAUCACUCCCCAUUAUUGUUUCACCUUGAAUAUUAGUAACCACAUAAGUUAUGUAUCAUUUUAAGAGGAUAUUUCAUUAAGGAAAGGAGCCACUUCAGAGCAUCACUAAAAGGUUUUUUAUGCAUGUAUGGUAUAGUUUAUCUAAUGACCGUAAGUGAUUAUUUAAUCUCAUAAGUUUUUAUUAAAAUUUUUAUUAUUGUUUGGCUUUUUUUUUUUCAGUAAAGCUUUUGCCUCUAUUUGUAAAAACUCAAAUUUUAGACUUUUAAAUGUUAAAAUGUCUAGAAUAUCCUUUACUUAUUUGACAAUCUUAUUUCAUUUUUUCAUAGCAUAACUUUAAAAAACUUAUCUAUUAAAGUAAUUUUAUAAUUUUAAAUAAAAGUUCUCAUUGACAACCAAAUAAUUAAAAAAAUUUGAGUAAAAACUCUACUUAUAAAAACUCUAUACCUCUAUUUAAAUAAGCUAUACUAAACGGAGCCUAAAAUAAGAUUCAUUACUUGUUUGAAGAGCCAUGUAUAAAAAAAAAAAGAAAAAAAAAAGAGUAGAAGACUCUUUAAAUAAGAUUACUCUUUUAUCUUUUUAAUCACUAUUUCAUUUGAAGAGUUUUAUUUGAAAGUCUUUUGAAGCUUUUAUUUUACUAUUAUAUUAUUUUGAGUAAUGAUAGACAUAUCAAAUUUUUUUAAUCCUAAAUUCAACCCCAAAUAAUAGUUUGUUAAUUGAUUAGUUGGUAAUUAUUUACAAGAUUUAAAUGAAUUAAUUGUAUUAUCUUUAUUAACCAAUUGAUGAAUACUACAUUAUUUGAGAUAUUUUUUGGAAUAAACAAUUUGGAAUGUGUAGCACUACUUUAUUAUUUUUUUUCAUUAUUUUUGAAGAGAGAAGUGUUGUGAUUGCUAUUAUUUUAGUAGAGAAAAAAGUUAGAUUGAAAUAAUAAAUAUGCAAACUUUUUUUUUGAAGACGUUUUGAGUUUUGAGAGAUUAUUUUAUUUUUUUGCUUUUCUAUGAGUCACAUAAGUGAUUAAAUAAGUAUUUGAAAAGUUAAAUUAGAAGAAUUUUUUGAUGAUGUUGAACUCUCCAUCAUGGGUACGAUCUUGAAAAAAUAAUUUCUUAAAUUAUUUUUACGAAAAAUUUAUUGUGCUUAAACUUGAAAAUUGUCCCCUUUGAAUAAAGUUCAUAUCUACCCCAAUUUAAACUAAUUAAUACCCAACAAAAGCAUGUCUUAGACAUAAUAAAAAUAAGGAAAAUUCUAUAAUGCCAUGAUUAAAAUUAUAGCAUCAAUGUCGUGAUAAAUAUAAAGUUUGUAAAUUACACAUAAUAUUAAUAAAUGAAUGACAAAAUAAGUAAAUUAAUAUAAGAGUGGUAAAUUAGUAUUUUAAAAUUGUAAAUAAGACAAAUAUUUGCAAAAAUAACAUACAACUAGUAAAUCAAUAUUAAUAUUUAAUUUAAAAAUAAUUUGUUUAUUUAAUUUAUUUAAGUAAAGAAAAAAAUUACUCAACAAUUGAAAACAAAAAUUUUGUAUUGAAAAUAAAUAAAAAAUAAAUAAAUUGGUUUAACCAUAAAUUCCAUAUUCAUGCUAGGACAUUUAUAAACUUUUAUUUCUCAUUUUGUAUUAUAGUAUUUGUUUACUAUAUAAAUUAAUUAAGUAAAAUUAAUUUUCUUAACGUGGAUCAACCUCAAACAAAAUAAAAAGACAUUCUUUUAUUUCUAGACGUCUAUGAAAUAUCAAAAAAGUGGAUCCAAUUUUUAGUUUUGUACAUAUUUUAUGUAGUUUCAAACUUUACUUUUUAUUUGUAUUAAAAGAUCAUUUGUGGCAGCUAUCGAGGAGGUUUAUAAGGAUGCAAAAACACUUAUCGUACAAACAAUUUUGAAAAAUAUAUAAUAAAAAAUUUUAUGCGUUAUUUUACAUUUAAUGUAAUCAAUAUUAUAGUGAUUUUUUUUUUACAUUUGUAAGUUUUUAAUUUUUUUAGUAACUCUUAUAAUAUUUACUUGUUUUAUAUUUCAUUUACAAGUCUUCUAUUUUAUUUAGAUAAUUUAUGUGUUAUUUUACAUUUAAUGUUGAUUUAGAAGUUUUAUAAUACAUUUUUAACUUUAUAUUUUGUUUAUUUUGCCACUCCUAUGUUGAUUUACUUGUUUUACCUUUAUUUACAGGUCUUAUAUUUUAUUUACUUAAUUUAUGUUUUAUUUUAUACUUAAUGUUGAUUUACAAGUUUUAUGAUCCAUCUAUAGGUUUAUGUUUUAUUUACCAAUAAUACAUCAUUUUACCACUCUUGUGUUAAUUUACCUAUUUUAAAUUCUAUUUAUAGGUCUUAUGUUUUAUUUUAUACUUAAUAUUGAUUUAUAAGUUUUAGGUUAUAUUGAUAAGUUUUUGUUUUUAUUUACCAAUGAUAUAUCGAUUUACCACUCCUUUAUAAUUUUACUUAUUUUACCUUUCAUUUACAAGUCUUAUAUCUAUUUACAUUGUUUAUGUUUUAUUUUAUACUUAAAGUUUAUUUACAAGUUUUACCUUUCAUUUACAAGUCUUGUGUUCUAUUUACAUCAUUUAUGUUUUAUUUUAUACUUAAUGUUGAUCUACAAGUUUUAUGUUAUAUCUAUAAAUUUUUUUUUAUUUAUUAAUGAUACAUCAAUUUACCACUCUUAUGUUGAUUUACUUGUUUUACCUUUUAUUUACAAGUCUUAUGUUUCAUUUCCACAAUUUAUGUUUUAUUUUACACUAAAUAUUAAUUUACAAGUUUUUUUGUUACAUCUAUAGGUUUUUGCCUUGUUCACUGGUAAUACAAUAAUUUACCACUCCUAUAUUAAUUUACUUAUUUUACCUUCCAUUUAUAAGUCUUAUGUUCUAUUUUACACUUGAUGUUGAUUUACAUAUAUUAUGUUAAUUUUACAUAACUUACGUUUCAUUCACACAAUUUAUGUUUAAUUGCGAUAUUUUAAUCACGGCAUUAUAGAAUAACCCUAAAAAUAAACAUACAUAAUUACUUAAACCGCCCAUUAAUUUUUAUAAAUCUGUGAUUCAUUCGCCCACAGUGUUAUUCUGCAUUCAAUAUCAUAAUCAAAACAAAUCUAACAAAAAAUUUUUCUUUAAAUCAACACCACAUUCAUUUAUAAAACCCUUUCCUGAUUCACAAUCCUUUCAAUUUCUCUUCUUCUCCUGUGUUACUCAUGCUUUCACAACCUUAGGCAAGCUUUUAAUCUCCUUUCAAUAGCUCCCUAAUUCUUCAUGGUCAACAUUUCAAACCCAUUUUAGCGGGUAAGGUAAAAGUAAAAUCCAUCAUGUUUACGCUUCUAGUCCAGUUACUAAUCCAGUCCAACGCGUUCUCAUUCAUCUAAACUUUUACUGUGCACAUCACGCGCUCUCUUACAGCGAGUGGCUUACGGCAACUAUCUGUACCAAACCAAACCGCAAAUCUUAUCUUCAUCAGUUUUAACCUUUUAAACCCCCCACCUGGUUUAAAACACGUCACGUGGGCCCCACAAAUCGAAUCCAACGGCGAAGAUCUCGUAGAUUUCAUCAUCUUAGGGUUUUGCACUUUAAAGUACUAGCUAUAAGAGCCGGACAGCCUCCCAGGCUUUCCUUUCAGUGCAGUUCAGCUGCCCUCUCUUAUUUACAUUUCCAAAAAAUUGAAAAAAAAAAAACCGACCACCAACUAGUUUACCUAUCUCUCACGCGCCGCCAUCGUCGCCGGCGCCAACAAUUCGAUUAUCCUUCUUUCCGCUUCCCUCUCCUCCCCUUUCUCUAUCCAUCUGAGAGGCAAAAACCAAAAAAAAAAAAAAAGAGGCUUUGAGUUGUUUUUAAUUCCGUCUUUUGUUUAUUAUUACUAUCAAUUUUAGGGUUUCUUUGGGUCCCGAAGAAUAACAAGAGGAGAGGGAAGAAAAAUCCCCAUAAAAAGGAAAAAAAGAAAAAAGGAAAAAAUUUCGAGGGAAAAAAAAGGGAUUUUUUCUUUCUGUAUUUGAGAUGG
rnacentral:lncRNA from 1 species